rnacentral:lncRNA from 1 species
UUCGUUGAUGAACUCAUUCCCCUCUCCCUCCGUACUGUUGAGGAUCUUCACAGCCACCGCAAUCUCACUCGAAAGUUUUCCUCUGAACACAGCCCCAUGAGCUCCUUCUCCUAGCUUUUCCUUGAAGCCAUUGGUGAUUCUUUUCAGGUCAGCAUAGGUGAAUCUUGCAGGCUUUUCUGCCCUGUAGUCCUCUAAAAACUUGCCCACUCUUGCUUGGUCUUCUUGCUUUUUCCUAAAAUAGAGGAUGGUCUUGAAGACAGUAAUGACCAGCAGCCCCAAAAGGAUCGUACCUAGAAUAGCAGUGGGAGACUUCAUUAGAAAAAGAAAGAUUUAUGUACUUGUUUCAGUCUUUACACUUAAACAUUACUUGUUUCAACUCCUAGUCUAUACUUUUUAACGCCAUUCAAUUGUUGACAUCCUAAAUUGUAGGAAUAAGGAAUUGAACUAAAUUAAAAGCGAAUGUGUAAGAGCCUCUGGUGUCACCUGUAGUAGCAAAAAUAAAAGAUAUAGGAACGUGAAUUCUCUUCGGUUUGCAUUUAAAACAUUCGGUGUCACCUGUGGUGGUGUUGGUCUUCCAUGUACAUCUCUUGCCUUUUCCUUUGCACUCAGCACAGUUUGGUUUGGACCAUAUCAAAACCAAAUCAUUCGAUUGGAUGAAUGGGAUUGGCGCAGAGAGGUCGAACAUCUUGGUACAGGAUGUUAGACCCAAUCGGAGGACACUAUCAAAAGAAUUAGAAAUGUAAAUCGGACAGGAGAUCAUGUCUUGUGUUGAAUCUGAGCCAUCGUCGUAGUAGUUUAUGAGGUGUGGAUGCUCAGCUGAAGUGCAGUUGAAGAAGCUCAAGUUAUAGUGUGGUCCAUCAUAUGGUGAUUCAAAUUGGUAAGUUCGAAUAAAAUUGAUGGUUUGGUUAAACUUGUUGGAAAAGCAGUUUUCGGGGUCAAUUAAGUCAAUUUCCUGACUUUCGUAGUCUAUGUAAGUGACUAGGAGUUUCAUCGUAGGAAGCGCAAGCAUGGUCUCAUUAUUUUCAGUGCAAGAAAGACAAAUACGGGGAUAACCGCAAGGCUCGUUCAUCUCCUCUGUGAGUUGGAAGGGAAAUCUGAUAGGGGGUUGGUUCGGCCCACAAGAGAAUUCCUCAUCGCACUCGUUAUGAGCGCUGCCAGUUCUGAUAAGAAGAAGCAUUAGCAGUAGCAUCAUCAAUGCAGAAUCACGUUGGAGGAGCAACACACUUGCCAUUUUGUUUUCUUACGGGAAAACAGCUGUUAACCGAGCUCAGUGCCUCUUUUAGUUUAUGCUAACACUUCUAAUUUGUUACUUUUGCAAUGAGUUGCAGAAACCAUAUAGAAAAGAUAAAAAAGACUUGUGAUUUCUCAUUAGUCAAAGUCCGCGUUAUGAAAAAAUGAAAUCCAGUCCAGUGUCAUAAUUUAGCGAUAACUAUUAUUAUCAUACAUUUAAUUCUAUGAAUGUCAAGGUAGAUGCAUAUUAAGUGCCAAGAAUUGACUCCCCCAAACAACAAUCAUGCAGUGAGAGUCACACUCGUAUACAAUAAUACCACCUUAUCUUCGAAAUUCACAGCCACACAAGUCCAAUUGUGUGAUGGAAGUUUGGGUAUAGUGUCUGAAAUUUCUUCUAUUCACAUUGUCCUGUAUCUUUCACGCGUAAUAAUAUCAACAUAUUAAUUAUUUCCUUUCGUGUAAAUAUAAGAAUUUUAAAAUCCAAAAAUUGACUUAUAGACUUGCAUGUAUUCCACCUACUUCUAAUCUUCCAAGAACCUCAAAGUUGGAAUAAAAAGCUUAGAGUAUGUGAGUAUCAUUUCAACAAUAAUGAAUUCCAUCAUGAUUUCAUGGAAAAGUUCAAUAGCAAUCAUCCUUAUGCUAAACUUAGCAAAACACCAAUAAACUCACCAAUUGAAUCUCUAAAAGAAAGACCUGAAGAGCCCCUAAUGAAGUUAUAAAAAGAUUUUAAUUUUAUUAAUUAUUUCUAUUUUAUAUAACUUGCUUCCUUCCUUUUCUCAUAAAUUUGCAUUUUUAUUUGUAAUUAAAUUUGUUCAUAUAAAAUUGCUUCCAAGGUUAUCACGAAGUGUAUUAUACUUUUACAAAUGAACGUUUAGUGGAUACUAAAGCAUGAGCAUCAAAUUAAGAAAAUUUUCAACACCAAAACACUCACAUAUAUAUGUAUAUAUUGUACAAGUUUAAAAGUUUUAUAAAUUAAUUAUAUAUUCAAAUUUAUUGUAGGAACAAAAGCUUGGACAAUUUGUGUUUGUUGACGUGGUCUUUCAACAAACUCACAUUCAAAAGUGUUGGAGAAAAUAUCAACGAAUAUAUCAUUAAUUUAAGUGAUUUUGAUUAAAUGCUAGGUAAAAAAAAAGAGUAUAAAACGUGAAGGUAUAUUUGUUUAUAAGUAUUAGAUUUUAAAAUAUUUGAGGAGUUUUUUCAUUUGAUUAAUCACAAACACAAAAUGGCUUGCAAUAUAUCUUCAUCUAAUAAGCUCGCUCUUAGACAAAUGAUAUGUAGUUGUUAGCAUUACAAAGUGAAACUUAAAGACUUAUAAAUGCUUUUACUUUGUUUUACCAAGAAUGUUCUCUUGUUUGACCACCAAGAGGAUUUCUCGAGAAAUGUCGAAUAUGUUGAAGAGUAUGUUUAAGCUACUUUUUGUCAAACUCCUCCUUAGGUUAAAGAUAAAAGACUAAAGAGAUUUAGGUAUGAUAUUUUUAUACUACUUCAUUUGAAACACCUAGACUACGCCCACUUCUUAAUUAACAUGUUCCACUAAUGUAAAUUAUUGCUACUAAAAUACAAGUUACUUAUUAUUUGAACCUAGUCACUUUUUGUUAAACUACAAAUAUAAUUUGGACACGACCACUUCUAAUUAAAAACACAAGUAUUCUUUGAACACAAUUACUUCUAGCUAAGUAUGAGUAGUGUUUGGACCCAACUACUCUUGACUAAAACACUUUGAUAAACAAAGUUUGUAAUUUAAACGAUCACGAAUAUUCGAUGUCCAAAAGAUAAUAGCGUCUUAGGACGAAAACAAGAUUGAGUACUCUUUUCUUGGUUGUUAUAAACAUAAAUAAUGUUCUUCCUAAAAAACAAAAAAGGCUAAAGAUUGCUUUAAAGUUGGAGAGUGAUAAGAGUUUCUUUAUAAGUGUCAUCGUUGUCAACAUUUCUUCUUUAUAGAGAUCUUCUUUACAUAGAGCUAAAAAUAAAAGAGUUAUUACAUGUCUUUUUUGGAGUCGUGACGAGACUCUACACCCUUAAUUUUUUUAAUCUUAUGUUUGACCACCUUCAAGUAGGUAGAUCCAUUAAAUGAUUCGUGCAACAUUAAAAGUAUUUGUCUACGUGAUACGACUUAUCAAGCCUAGACAAGUAGUUGACUUCACAAGACUGUCAUUCUAUUUUCAAAAAAAUUGUUUGCGUGGAGUAGCUUUAAGCAUGUUCUUUUAAGAGAUUUUGAAUUUAACACUUUAAAGAGAGAUCCUCUUAAGAGAAAUAAAUAGACCAACAUUCUUUGCAGACAGAAUAAUCAUUUAUAAGUUUUCGAUGUGUAUUAUGAAUGCUUAGACUUUGUAUCAACUUUUAUUUGUCCAAAUAAAAACUUAUUAGAAGAAGUGUACAACCGUGUUGGUGUCUUUUGGGUCAAACUAAGCAUGCAUAGUUGCAUAUUCAAUAAGACAAAACAGAUAACUAAAAAUGCUUGGAUAUUUCAAGAAUUAAUAUUAAUAAACUACAAAUAAAAACAAAUUUAAAAGAUAUCAACUUUGAUGUAUCAAAUAUUUAUUCUCAUCAUCACACUUUUUAUUAUUUAUUGAGUAACUUUUUCAUUAUGUAGUUCAAAUUAAAGAAAACAUAUUCAACACGAAAUAACUAAUAUUUUAUUACAUAAUUUAUUACACAUAACUAAUAUUUUAUUAAACAUAAUAAAUAUUGUAAAAAAAUAGAUAUAACCAUAGUUGAAGUUGAGAAAUAAAAAAAAUCUAAAAAAAAUAAAAUUUAAAUCUAAUUAAUCAAUAAAUAAACUGACUUGUCUAAAUAAAAUAAAAUAAAAACAUAUCUAAUUUUUAAAAAUAAAUACAAAUGAUAAAUUUUGUAAUAAAAAAAUUAAUGACUUUUUAAAAGGUUUAAAAUUAUAAUUAUAUAAAAUAUACUUUUAAAUAUAUAAAUUUUAUUUAUAUAAUAAAACUUGUUUAUUUAUUUAUUUUAUAUUAUACCGGUACGACCAUGGUGAAAAGGUCACAUGACGACACGUGACCGACCGACUCUUGGCGAUGAGUCAUGGGUUGACUAAGUCAGCAGGAUUAAUUCAUAGUUAAGUGUUGUUUAGCGCAACCCUAAACAUGAACCAACCUUCUAAUCCGGCCCACCAAUGAAGGUCCAUUAAGGUAAUAUAAAUAGCAUUCAUUCCAAGGAGAAAGGUACGGUGACACCCGAGUGUUACCACCCGACUGACUUGAGCGUUGGAGUGUCUUCUACACGUAUCACCCCUGCCGGUGGAGUUAGACGACCGAGAGAAGGAAGGUGAAGCAGGAAGCUUAGAGCAUCAGUGACCGACCAAAGGUAGAGGCAGGAGGAAUCGUUCUCUAGGCCCAAACCCAUUCGAGAACAUAUAUCAUUUUAUAAUUGACAAGGAUUUACUACAAGCAGUCAUGAAUUAGAACAAGUUGACUCUAGUAAAAACUUAUACUAUAGUUGUUGCAAAAAAUAAUAAUUAUAUCUCAAAUUUGGUUUUUUUGACUGGUUUAUUUACUGUUCUUGUGUACGUGAAAUUUGGCUUUAAAUGUCAGCUUGGAUUGUGUUGGCAGUAGAAGUUUAAACAGAAAAGUCUUUGGGCGUGAGCAUGUGGAGAGAGAGAGCUUUGAUAGUUUUGGUGUUUCUGCUCCACCUAAUUCAUGGAGAAAAUGCUUGCCCUCCUUCUUCCUGUGGGAAAAUCAGCAACAUAUCUUAUCCAUUCCGAUUGAAAGGAGACCAAGGGUGCGGUCGCAGCAUAUAUGAGCUAUCUUGUGAAAACAAUAUAACGCUCUUCUCUUUGGUCUCGGGAACAUUUCAUGUGCAGGCCAUCAACUACCAUAAUUUCACAAUCCGACUGGUGAAUCCUACACUUCAACAAUCAAAUCGCUCUUCUCUUCCUUGCUAUUUCUUCUCUCCAUCCAAUUUCACAACUUCUUACCGGUCGUAUCUCCUGUAUGAAACUCCCAAUCAUGGUUCUUACCUAACUAUUCCUUGGAUUUACGGCAGUGAUCAUUAUACCGAGCCACAGCAUAUAGUGCUUUUGAAUUGUAGCCAUCGAGUGACUGGGAAGCGCACGUAUGUGGAUACCGGUGGAUGCAUGAAUUGGGAGUGGAAAGGCUACAUAUAUGCUAUGGCUGGUGACCUAAUUGCAGAGGACUUUGAAGUAGGAUGUCAUGUGAAGCUGGUUGCUCUCACAUCGUGGUGGGGUUUGGACACAAAUACAUAUUCCUAUGACAUGAUGCACACAGCGCUACUCUAUGGAUUUGACCUUUCAUGGCUUUCUAUGAUCUGUGAGGAUCGUUGUGGACCUACUUACUGCUAUUUCAAUUCUUUCAGCCAGACCCUUGAAUGCGAAAAGGAAGGUAUAGGGCAGUGCAGGUUUUCUGUUUUUAAUGUUUCUGUUAAAUUGAGUUUGUUUAAUUUUUAUUUUUUUUAUAUUUACUAGCUGAACACUCCAUCGGUAUGAUUUGUUAUAUUAUAUCCUCUUAUAAUUUUUUAUAAAUACAUACAUAUAAUUUUUUAUUUUAUGUGAGCUUUUUAUUAUAUCAAAAUAAAAUAAUUAAAUAUAUUAUAUAUUAUAUUUAAUUGAUAUUAUAAUAAAAAAAUAUAAGGAAUCAAAUAUUUUAAAUAUUUAUGAUUUAUUUAUAUGUAAAAUGUUCAUAGUCAUUUUUUGUUACAAUUAGUUUUUUUUCACUGUAUUUUUUUUAUUUUGUAAAUUUGUAUCGUAGUUUAAAAAUAUUAUUAAAGAUAAAAUAGAAAAAAAAUUGUAUAUACAAAACGAUAAAAUAUUAUUAAUAUUAUUAUAAAUUAUAGAUAAAUAUAUCUAUAUAUUUUUAAAAAUCAAAUCAUACUAAAUCAUCAUUUUAUAAAAAUAGUUGGGUUUCAAUCCACCUAUUUUCUUAAAAAAUUUCAAAACCAUCUGAACCCUUUAAUUUAGUUUUUUCUUUAUAUAGUAAGUAAAUAAUGUAAACAUUAUUGAGUAAUUUCUGUGCAUAUUUGAUAUUGAUACUCUGUUCCUUUUUUGGGUGAAUAGGGAGGAGAUAUUGGUGGCAGCCGUAUAAUUUGGGUAAGGAUUCUAUCUCUUAUUGCCUACGUUUGAAUUAUAUAGUUUUUAAAUUAGUAUCUAAUUAGUUUUUAAAUUAGUUUCUAUUAGUUAAAUAGUUUCUAAAUUAGUAUCUAAUUAGUUACCAAAUUUAGCCACCAAAUAAAUUAUUUAGAUUUUAAAUUUGGUAGAAAAACCUUGGUAACUAACUAGAUACCAAUUUAGAAAUCAUUUGACAAUAAUAAAAACUAAUUUAUAAACCAAUUUUUUUUUUAUUUCUAAAAUAGUCUCUAAUUUAGUCACUAUAACAACUAAUUAUUAUUUUUAUCUAAAUUUAGUUUUUAUUUCAUUAUUUUCUUGUAGUGAAUUAUCAUGUUACUUAUUAUAUAUUUUUUUUUUCAAAUUUUCAUGUUUAAAUAUAGUUGUAAUCUCUUAAUUUAAAUUUGGAUUUCUUUUAUAUUGGUUUGCUAAAUUAAAUUUUUUUCCUUCAUUUUGAAAAUGGUUUUCUUAUCUCUAUGCGUACAGUAUCAAAUAUGAUGUGAUUAAUAUUGUGUUUUCUAACUAUUUAUAAAAUAUGAAUUUUAAUGAUUUUUGUUAAAAUAAUUAAAGUCGUAUUAUAGUUAAAAAAUCAUGAGAAAUGAAGUUUCUAAUAUGUGAUGAUGUCUAAAGAUUCACGUCAUAAAACGACAAAAAUAUAAAUAUGAAAUUUAGAGACUAAACUAUCCUUAUUCUUAUAAUCUUCUGAGACCGAAUGUACCUAUAGAAUAUAUUCUGCCUUUUCUUCUUCUACUUGCCGUCAAGUAUGUCUCAUAGGUGGGGUGGUUUAUAUUAUUAUUAUUAUUAAUAAUUUUAUAUUAUUAUUAUUAUUAAUAAUAUAAUUUAUAUUAUUAUUAUCAUUAAUAUAUUUUAUAUUAUUAUUAUCAUUAAUAUAAUUUAUAUUAUUAUUAAUAUAAUUUUUAUUAUUAUUAAUAUAAUUUUUAUAAUUAUUAAUAUAAUUUUUUUAUUAUUAAUAUAAUUUUUAUUAUUAUUAUUAUUGUUAAUAUAAUUAUUGUUAUUAUUAAUAUAAUUUAUAUUAUUAUUAAUAUAAUUUAUAUUAUUAUUAUUAAUAUAAUAUUAUUAUUAUUAAUAUAAUAAUAAUUAUUAAUAAUAAUAAUAAGUAUAAUAAAAAUCGUGAUAUGACCAAAGAACUUGUCUAGGCGAGUGGUUAAUGUUUCCAUUGGUCACUAAAAGGACUAGUGUGGAAGGGGUUGUCGAAGACAUUCGUCUCUCAAUUGACCCUGUUGGUGGUACUGCCGAGUUGGAUACACCCCGCCCUUGGACUUCUAGCUACAAAUGGGUUGACUCAAAUGUUUUUGGGUAUCCUUCUCAGUUUGGAAUUACUGCUUCCCUGAAAGCUUUUAGUGCAAGUAUCGACAUGGUGGACCCGACUUCACCGGAUGGGGUCGUUUCCCUUCGAAGGUGCUCGCCAUCCGACUCAAUUUGUUUGGUCCCUGAGUCUUCCAAUUAUUUUUUUCUUUUACUCUUGCCUAUUAACUGACGCUCAUGUUGGUUUCUCCUUGAUGAUUUUUCCAUUGGUGAAUGUGGCGCCAUCACAGCUCCACCCGAAUAGCUGGGUGUAUGUCCAAGCUUUCCAGCUUCUUUGUUUAUUUCUUAAUGUAAAACAAACUCCGAGGUCUUCCUGCAAAUGUAUAGUAUGAGGCCGGGUAACCGAGUAGGGUGGUUAUCCUUAAUAAGUCAGCUAAGUUUUUGUUUGCUAGCCCCCUUUACUUCUUCUCAUAAGAAUUUUAAAGGGAGGUUUUUUAAGGUUGUGAUCAGGGAAGAGGGUCGUCCCUUUUUUUAUGACGACAACUUUCCACGUUUUCCCUUUUGCUGGACUCGUAACCCCGCGCAUUUUUGUGUAUGGGCAAGGCCAUCUCUGACCUGGGAAGACUUCGAUACUUUGUCUAUUUUAGACAAACUCCCUCGAAAACUCCCUACCCGAUAGUUGUUGCGAGUUUUCCUUUCGGCUACUCGACUUCAAGACAUCGAGGGUACGCUUUGUUUUUGUGAUUUGUGUUUUGAUUUUGUCUUUUGAUGUUUUUUUACUUUCUUCUUUUUCAUCUAUCAUGGUUGCCACCACGUCGGGAGACGGGAAACUCUUCUAUAAAGAAUUGUUGAAACAAAGGCAAGCCGGGACCCUUUAUGAACCAUUCCUGUUGCCAAGAAACUUCCUCCUAAAGAUCCCAGCUCGAAGAAAGCUUGUCGGGAGCACAAGAAGACUUUACAACGACAUUCUGACAAGUCAUCUUCGAGUUGGUCUUAUAAGAGGCCUCAUGUUGAAGUUGGGCUCGAGCUCAACUCCAGAUUUUCUUGGCCGAGAUAUGUAUCUUAGCGAAAAAGUUUCUAUUUCUCUUAGCUUGUCGAGAAGGAGGAAUUCAUUGUUGCUUCCCCUUCAGAAAUGGCCGUGUAAUUCUUUGAACUGGGUACCUGUACUCUCAUCCUCGGGAAACGCAUGGGCUCAGUUCUAAAGGAGCAAGAUAGCACCAAAGUAGAGGGCCUAAAAACCGAACUAGCCGAGUCUGCUGCUUCCCUCCAAAGUGCACAUGAUUCCAACAGCGUUCUACUUGGUAAAAACAAAGACCUCGCUGCCGAGCUAGCUCGGUUGAAGUUGGAAAAUGAUAGGCUCUUGGCACGCUGCUUAUCGGCCAAAGAGAAGGAGAAGGAAGUGUUGGUCGAGCAGGAGAAGCUGGUUGUGUCUUCUUCGGCCAAGAGGGAGAGGGCUGACCAAUUCCAGCCGGCUCCGCACAAGGUGGGUGAGGAUCUCCAACGCACUCAAGACUUCGUCCUCCACCCACACGAGUCACGUUUCAACAAGGGGCUGGAACAAGCUGCGUUCUUUUAUGGCAUCCCCCUUGAUGAAGGGAAGAUUUUACGUAAAUAAGGAUUUUUACAAGGGGGAGUUGGUGCCUAUUACCGAUAUCCUAGAUGAGGGUGGUGAAGAGGAGUAUGGAUGACUUGCCACUUCCGAUCUUGAUGAUGAUGCCGGCAAGUCUUGAUGGUUUUUCGUUUUGAACUUUACUUUUGUUUGGUCGAGAUGAGCUCGUGCUUAUUUUGACAUCACUAAUGUAAACGAUUGGUCACCGUUGGUAGUUUUCUAUCUUGGACAUUGUAUUGAUUUACUAUAUUUAAUUACGAACAAUUUUCUCGUUUUUACAGCUUGCUCCUUUAUUCGUUUUUUUUAUUAUUCGCCUUUUCGUUUAUUUUUUCGUGCUUGUUUACUUGGUUGUUGUGUUUUUCGACGUUUCGACUUUCUUUUACAAAUCCAUUUUUGGAUUCUUCUUUGGUUUUUCUUUUACUUUGUCGGUAGUGAUCCAUUUUUAGGAUUCUUCCUUAACCGAGAUGGUUGUGUGGAGGAAACUGAUUGCAUUCUCAUGCCUUGUACAACAUUUCCAGUUGGCCGUGCAAUAUGCUUUCGGGACGAGAGUGCAUUACAUUCUUAACUAAAAUAAAAUUUAAGGUGGCUAACAUUUCACGUUCUUGGUAUUGGUUGUCAAUCGAGGCAUUCUAGGCGGUAUGCUCCGUUGUAAAAAGCUUUCGUUUACAUGGAACGGGCCUUCCCAGUUUGAUGCUAACUUUUCUUCGGUUUUGUCCUUCUGAUCAUCGCCCUUCAUUCUUCACACUAGAUCUUCGGGAUUAAAAUCUUUGGGUUUCGUCUUCGCAUUAUAUCUUCGAGUUGCUCGUAUUUUGCAGGCUUCCUCUUGUAUUUUUUCUUUGUCUCAGAGCUCUUGCAGUAGAUCUAGCUCCGUUAUAAUUCAUUCUUCAUUGACUGUUAAGUCAGCCAGUUGUCUUUGAAUUGUUAGCUCCCCAACCUCGACUCGUAACAAGUGUCAUAUGUUAAGUUAUAUAGUGUUUCACCGGUUGAGGAUUGAGGGGUGCACCGAUAUGCCCAUAGUACCUUUAGUAGCUCUUCAGCCCAACGCCCUUUCACUACUCCUAGCCUUUUCUUCAAUUCGUUUAAGAUAACCUUGUUAGCCGCCUCGGCUUGUCCAUUCGUCUGAGGGUGUUUGACUGACAUUACUCUGUGUGUUAUGGCGAAGUCUUCGAAGUACUUUUUUCAGCUUUUUGUCAGUAAAUUUUUGGUAACCAUCGUAUGGGGUAUGCUGAAACGACAUAUAACGUUUUUCCAUACGAAUUGUUGUACUUGUGUCGUUGUUAUCGAAGCUAGCGGCUCGGCCUCGAUCCAUUUAGUGAAGUAAUUGAUUGCCACAAGGAGGAAUUUCCUUUCCUCAAAUGUCUGGGAAAAGGGACCAAUGAUGUUCAUUCCCCACAUAGCGAACGACCACGGGGAGUUGAUACUCUAAAGGUUUUGGACGGGCAGAAGGAUACGAGGUCUGUGUUCCUGGAAACUUUUGCAUUUUUUGCUGAACUCGGUGCAAUCGGCCCUUAGUUCAGGCUAGUAAUAUCCUGCCUUGAGGACACGACUUGCCAUAUUACUUCCUCUCGAAUGAGUUCCACACACCCCGUUAUGUGUCUCAUUCAUUACAUACUCCGCUUCCGUUUUGCCUAAGCAUUUAAGCAAAGGUGUCGAAAAGCCUCGCUUAUAUAGAUCUUGUCUGAUUAAUAGGAAAUGUGAUGCCUUACAGUGUAAUGCAGAGUCAGCUAUCUCUUUGCAUGCAUCUCGGUCUUGGACUCCCUUUUCCAUGAUGGAUAACCAACCUUGGGGCCCGGAAUUCGUGUUUAGGCAUUCCUUUACUGACAUCGUCGGUCCGAGAAUACUUUGUUGAAUGAUUGUACUCAAUCCUUUCUUGUUUUUACCACUAGCGAGCUUGGACAGUACGUCAGCUCGAGUAUUUUCCUCCCUCCUUAUAUGAUUCACUUCCACCUCUUUGAAGUCGGUCAUCAGGGCGGAUACUCAGUGGAAGUAUUUAAGUAGCAAAGGAUCCUUGAAUUGGUAUUCCUUCUUUACUUGGUUGACCGUCAAUUGGGAGUUGCUACGACACGUCACCUUUCGUGCUCCCAUAUCCCUGGCUAGGAGCAGGUCUAGAAUUAGCGCUUCAUACUUGGCCCGGUUAUUUAAUGCUCUGAAUCCAAAAUGCAAGGACUGCUCGAUCCUGAUGUGUCACGGUACCUUUAGGACUAUCCUGGCUCUGCUUCCCAUUUUAUUUGACGAGUCAUCCACAUACAGUGUCCACCAUUUGUCACUCACUUGAUUGUCCUGUAGCUCUGAAACAAAAUACGCCAAACGCUCGGAUUUCAUAAGUCAUCGAGGUUCGUACUUGAUGCCAAACUCGGACAACUCCACAGACCAUGCUAUCAUUCUUCCCAUCAAUUCUACUUUUUAGAGUACCUUGCUUAUCGGGAAGUCAGUUUUAACAAUCAUUUGAUAACUUUGAAAAUAAUGCCCAAGACUCCAGGAGGUAUGCACCAACGCCACUUUUUCGAUCGUUUGGUAAUGGGUCUCUGGGCCUUGCAACACGCGACUGACAAAGUAUACAUGCUUUUGGUCAGUCGUUCCUUGGGCGAUAGUGGCGCUAAUGGCUUCAUUUGUCACAUCUAAGUACACUAGUAGUGGUUCUCCAUCUUUCAGUUUUCUGAGAACUAGCGGUGUAGUCAACCUUUUCUUGACCUCGGUGAAUGCGGCUUCACACAUGUCGUUCCAAUUGAAGAUGUUCGCCUUUCGCAUUAGUUUAAGAAUGGGCCUUAUUUUCUCGGCUAACUUUGGGAAAAACUUUAACAUUCAGGAUAUUCGGCCUACCAGUCUUUACCCUCUUGCCUAGGAAUUUUCCGCCUUCGACUCCGAACACACAUUUGGUCGGGUUAAGCCGCAUAUCAAACUUUCGAAGCUGGGAAAAUAUUUCUUCUAGAUCUUUAGCGUGUUGCUCCGAGUUCUUUGACUUUACAAUCUUAUCGGUCAUGAACACAGUCUUCGAUUUAUCUGCUUCAUGCAUGGGUAUUUGGUUAUACCCAGAGUAGGUGUCCAAAAAACUCAUCACGUUGUGCCCCGCGACACCAUCAACCAACUUGUAAAUGCUAGGAAGCAGGUAAGCGUCUUUCAGACAUGCUUUGUUCAGGUCCGUGUAGUCGGUGCACAUACGUCAUUGACCGUUGCUCUUUUUUACGAGUACAAUGUUGGCCAACCACAUAGAGUACUGGAUUUCUCGAAUGAACCUGGUCUCAAGUAACUUACCCACCCCCGCCUGCGCUAUUAACCUUCUCUCUUCUCCCAACCUCAUCUUUCUCUAACCUACCAGCCUAGCCUCUUGGCAAAUGGCUAACCUGUGGAACAUGAUUUUAGGGUCAAUGCCCGGGAUGUCGUCCGCUGUCUAGGCAAAAAGAUAUUUAUUGUCAGUUAAGAUCUAUACAAUCUUUCGUUUUUUCUUCUUCGUGCAGGUUCGAAUUGAUCUACAUGUCCUGCCCUAGGUUGCCAGUUUGCCAUGGAACAGUUUCGCAUCUCGGUUCUACCCUCAAUUCGUCGUGUGGCCUUGGGUCGAAGUCACCAUUUCCUACAAUGGUGUUUAUCUCCUCUUUUUUUGCAGUCUGUACCUUGGCAGAAUUUUCAAGCUGUUCGCGUAGCCUUCCUGGGCGAAAUUUUCAAGCUGGUCGCGUAGCCUUCCUGGGCAGUUUUCUAAUUUAUUCUUACCCUUGCAAUUUUCCACUUUCGGUCGAAAACUUCAUGGUUAAAUGUGGGGGUGAAACGAUGGCCCCAAUCCAUUUCAGAGAGGGUCUUCCCAACAACAUGUUGUAUGAGGUAUCAGUGUCGACGAUCACAUACUUAAUAUUGACAGUUUUUUGCCUCUUAUCCUCUCCAAACUUGGUAUACAUAUCGACAUACCCUAUUGUGUCCACCCAAUUCUUCAAAAAACCUACAAUUUGUUCGUUGAAAGGGACGAUGGGCGGUAGUCUCCACGACCUGUCCUCAGUUUGCGUCGGUCAAACCUUCUUUUCUUUUGCACGAAUUGCCUCAGUUGGUCGGUCGGUAUGAGCUCCUUUAUCUUCUCUUUUAGUGUGGCACAUUCUUCAGUAGUGUGAUCGAAGUUUCGGUGACAUCUGCAAUGCUUGAUCUAAUCGACAUUGGGUGGUGUAAGGGUCCUCUUUUGCGGCGGUAUCAGAUCCGCGUUCAGGGCCUUUUCUAGAAUCUGGGAUUGUUCGAUCGUGAAGGAGGUAUAGUGCAGGAAUCUAAACGGUUUGGGGAAUUCUUUGGGCCUCCUCAGCGCGCGCAUUCCCUUGGGUGCCUCUCUCUUCGCUCUUCGAUUCUCAGCUUCGUCUGUGAACUUUGUUUUAAAUUCUCACAUUUCUUCCAGUUGCAUGAAUUUUGCAGCCCUUUGCCUCAGCUCGUCUAGGUUGUUUGUCAGCUUUUUGCAUAGGCUGUCAAAGAAUGGUCCUAGUUUGAAGGCAGUCACCAGGUGGUGGAGCGCCAGCAUUAGACUCAAGUCUCUCAUGGAAAGGGCUACUCUUUUGUAUCUAUCCAUAAAGGACUUUAGUGUUUCAGUCCUUUCUUGUUGAAUGUUUAUGAGAGUGAGAGAGGUUAGGUGGUGGGGUGUGCUUGUAGCGAAUUGAGUCGAGAACUUGAAUACUAAGGUAUUGAAGCAGUCAAUCGAAUGUGAAGGUAGGCGGGUGAACCAAUUCAGUGCGGCUCCUUUUAACGAAAUGGGAAACACGCGACCUAAUAAGGCGUUGUCAACAGUGUACAAGCUUGUUUAUGUUAUGUAUGCAUCAACAUGUUCGUCCGGAUCGGUGCUCCCCUCGUAUUUAUCAAUGGACGGGCUCUUCCAUAUAGGUGGUAAUGAUACUUCCAUGAAGUUUUCUGUGAAGGGGUGCCGACGUGACGACAACCCUACAGUUGCUCUAGAAGCCGUAUAGCUAGUAUAAUAGGGUCAAUAACUAUUUUCUCCUUCAGGUGUGUCUGAGUUUUGUUUUCGGACAGGCUGUGUUCCUUUCUAUCAAUGGUGUUUGUCCAAUCUCUAAACUUUUCUUCAUUAAUAAGUUCUCGACCUUCAAAGCCUUUAUCUCUCUCACGUUCUUUUGCUUCAUAUUUUCAAACUCUCUCUUCAUUUCCAUCAUCAUGGCAAUUGGGUCCACUGAUGUUCCUUCGUGCUGUCGGUCGUUUCUUGUCAUAUUUCUCAUUGCUACCAUGUGGCUACUCGAUAUGUUUUUCUUUCGGCCCCACGGUGGGCGCCAAAAUGUUCUUACAAUCUGAGACUGAAUGUGCCCUACCAAAUUUCUUUUGCCUUUUCUCCUUCUGCUUGCCAUCAAGUUUGUCUAAUGGGUGGGGUAGCUGCAAAGACACUCUAACGCUCAAGUCAGUUUGGGUACAUGAGUGUUUAGUGAGUUUGGAACUAGAAAAGUCAUUACCUUUUAUCAUGUGAGUCUUGUCUUAUUUAUAGCCUUAUAUUGGGCCUUCUGUCUUAAUUACGUUGGCUUAGGCCCAAUAAUUCUUAAUAGUGUUUAGUUAUCCAUUAAUCCCAAGUUAUUCUAAUUAAUCAACUAGGCUACUUCUUACGAGACCCACCAAACCCUCCACAACCACCAAAAAACGAAAAGGAGUUAUAAGGUCGCCUUGUCUUAGACCCCUUGUUGGUUUAAAUUCCUGAGUAGGACUACCAAUGAUUAGCACAAAACCCUAAUCUAUUUAGCAUGUAAUACAAAAAAUCUCACCUAAUGGAGUCAUAAACUUUUUCAUAGUCAACUUUUAUGGUUACUACUAGCUUAUUGCCCUUCCUUAACUCCUCCACCACUUCAUUUGUUACAACAAUGUUUUCCACUAGACACCUAUCUCUCAAGAAAGUAGAUUGUUAGUUGUCUAUAAUUUUAGAAAGGAUAUUUUUCAAUCUAUUGGCUAGAAUUUUAUAUAUAAUCUUAUAUAUUGCACCCAAAAAAGAGAUAAAUCUGUAUUAAGUAAUAUAUAUAUUAUAACAUUUUUCUUAAAUUCUCAAAUGUUUAUCUGUAAAACAUGAAAAUGCUUAACGAAGUGGGGUUUUAUAAAUAAAUGAACAAUAUGCAUAAAUGAAAAGCCAUGGUUGGUUGAAGUUGAUAAAAAGUAACAUAGUUAAUUUCAUAAUGUUUUGUGUGAUGAUGAAAGACUUAAUUUUAAGCAAUUUGAAUAACAAAAGUCAUAAUACAUAUGAGUUGGUCUAGAAAGAUAAAAACUAGGAAUGAGACUAAUGCAACCAAACUAUUUUAAUAAUAAUUAAAAUCAUAUCAGGAUAUUCAACUUUAACCGGAUGAGGUAGAAACUGUUUCUUCCUUUUUCAUAGAUAAGAGAAUCUCCUAGAAAAAAUAAAAUAAAAAAUUAGAAUUUUUAAUUGGACAAGUGUUUGUUAUAGUAAGAAACAUACAUACCCUAUUAAAUUUAUGUAAAUCUUCUUUAUGAGUUGUGCUUACUCUUUUCCUUUUUUUGGGGGGCGAAUAGUUGAAUAUGCACGUUUGAGGCCUCGGUGGAUGAAGUAUGUUUUUGGUAAGAAUUAUACCUCUUUGGAUUACCUAGGUUUGAAUGGUAACGUAAUACCAACAACUAAUUUUGAUUCUACAUAACUAUCAUAUUACCUAUUAUACAUUCUUUUUUUCCCUUUUUUUUCAUGUUUAAAUAUAGUUUUUUAAUCUCCUAAUUUAAAUUUGAAUUUUUUUUAUGUUGUUCUUCUAAAUUAAAACUUCUUUCCCUUCCAUUUUAAAUUUCUAAAAUAUGAGUUUUAACAUUUUUUAAUUGAAAAUUUAAAUUAGUGAUAUAAUAUUAUUUAUAGAUAUUUUUAGCAGUCAUAACUAAGAACAUAUGAAAAAGAAGAGUAAUAGAAUUUUUAAUAUUAAUUUUAAGAAGUUUUUAAGACAUAAAAAUCACAUAAAUAUAUAAAUAUUACAAUAGAUAAAGUAAAUUUCUUUAAUUAAUAUAUAUAAUAUAACAUCUCUCUUAAAAUCAGCAUGCAUUAGUAUGAAACAUAAAAAGUUGUCAUUCAAAAAUUGAAAACGUUUGAUAAAGUGAGAUUUUGUAAAUAUUUUAACAAUCUACCUAGAUGAAGAAAUGAAAUAAAAUGUAAUGGUUUUAUGUUGAAGUUGAUGAAGAGUAAAAUGACAAUCAAUUUAAAAAAAAAUUAUACUCGUGAAAGACUGAGUUAUGAGUAAUUUGAAUAACAUUUUUCUUGUUGUCAUUAUACAUAGGAGUUGAUCUAUAAAGAGAAACAUCCAUGUUAGAAAGAAGUCAAUGCAACCAAACUAUCUCAGUAAUGGCUAGAGUCAUGACACCAUAUUCAACUUCAUUAGAGGAACCAUAAACAUUAUCUUGUUUCUUGCUCUUUCAAAACAUAAGGGAAUCUUUUUAGAAAAAUGCAAAAAAACAUGUAGUAGACUUAUGAUGAGUAAGGUCAUGAAUCCAAUCAACAUUAGAAUAAGCACACAACUUCAAGGAAGAUGAUGAGGGAAAAAGAAAGCUCUGAAAUUAAGUACUACGAAGAUAUCUAAGAAUGCAGAAAACAACUAUGCAAAGCACUAGUAGGAAAAACAAGAAACUAACUCACAACAUGAACAACAUAAGCAAUAUCAAGAUGAGUAAUGGGUGGAUAUAAUAGAAUAUCAACAAUAGUAUGAUACAUGGUGAGAUCAUAAGAGAAACACCAUCAGAAGAAGUAUAUUUCACAUUAAGUUCAAUAGAGGUAUCAAUUGUAUGCGUAUCAGAAAGACGAGCAUGUGCUAAAGUGACAAUAUACUUAGAUUGAGAGAGAAGAUAACAUUUAGGAGAAUAUGUACCUUCAAUAUCCAACAAAUAAUGAAAAGAACACAAAUCCUUUCAUUUUAAACUAUUUUUUCAACUACAAUUUCAACUAUAAUCCGAUCUACAUCAUCUCUGAUGAUUAUCAUGUCGUCAACAUAUAAAGAGAUAAUAAUACGGUCAUGAGAAGAAGUAUUUCAAAACAAACCAGAUUCACAAUCACUAGAACAAAAUCCAAGAGAUGCAAUAACUAUGGAGAACUUUUCAAACCAAGUUUAAGAGCUUGUUUGAGAAACACCUAGAGGAGGUAUCGUGUAUACCUCAUUUUAUAUAUCUUCAUUUAAGAAAUCAUUUUUAAUAUCCAACUAAAAAUAUCCUAUUGACGAAUAGAGACAACAAUAAUAAGAGUACAACUAUACAAAUGGUAGUCAUCUUAGAAACCGGGACAAAGAUUUAUGCAUGAUCUAUAACAUAUUCCUAAGAGAAUCCUUUAGCAACUAAACUAGUUUUGUAAUGCUCAACAAACCCAUCCAACUUUGUUUUAAUUUUACAAAAAGCCAUUUUUUCUUGGAGGAUAUCAAGUCUCAAGUAGCAGUCUCAUAUAAAGUAGAAAGUUUCUCUUACAUAGCCUAUUGCCAAAGUGAAUCAAGGACAAUUUUUUUAUAAGAAGAGGACUCAUAAAUUUAUGAAUUAUGGUUAAGAGGAAAGCAAAGGAAGAAGAAUAAAAAGAAUAAACAAAAUUUGGUGAUUGGGUGGACUUAUGAACACAUGGAGGAUACCAAGGACGUGAAGGAUCAAUAAUCACAAGAGAUUUCAGGGAGUUUUGGGAGUUAAAAGAAAAUUAAUAUAAUGGAAUGUGUUCAAGGAAGACAACUUAACAAGAAAUAUAGAGUUUGUGGUUGGUAGGAUCAUGGCGAUGAUAAUUCUUUUGACAAUCCCAUAACUAAGAAAAGUGCAUAUUACAAAACUAGAGGACAAUUUAUUAUGUUCUUGUGGAUGAAGAAAAAAAUGUAGAACCAAAACCUUUCAAGGAAGAUUAAUUAGAAACACAACCAUACAACUUUUGAAAUGGAGACAUGAUUCAAUCUAAGCUUGCAUCUUCUUUUGUGGAUCUUUUUCUUCAUUGUUUUGAUUUGAAUAUCUUCUACGAAUGAUGAAAACUAUUGCAGAAGCAUGAAGAAUUGUAAAAUUUUUGGAAGAAAUGAAAAUUAUGUUAGUGAAUCUAAGUGGGGUUAGGUGAACACUUAGUUUCUAUAGUGAGGUUAAGCCAAGACUACUAGGAGGAGUCUAGAAAUUUGUAUAACAAGAAGACAACUCUAGAGAGAAUUUUGAACAAGUAAAAGUGUCUUAAUUGGACAACAUUUCAUUACUCAAAUUAGAGUUAAAAAUCAUGUACAAGAGACUCCUAUUUAUAGGAGAAAGUCUCGCAAAACCUCUCAAAUGAGAGUGUGACAAGUGUCACACCUUAUUGGUGCAAAUCCUCUCCAUUGAGGAGAAGGCAUGUGGAGCCUCAUGCCUUCCUUGCCUACAUUUCUAUUUACACCUCUCUUUUACUAUUAUACAUUCAACUUUCUUUUCUAUUUACAUCCUUCUCUACUUUGGCCCAAAAUACAAGACCCAAACCUUCCUAACUACUUUAUACAAUUUUUACAAGGCUAAGAAGAAGAAAAACACUUUACAAUAUCUUCAAUAAGUCUCAAUCUUUUUCUAUCUUCUCAGCUGAAAGUUUCGAGGUCGGAUGGUUUUCAUUAAGACAUACCUGAGAUAACAGAAGAUGAAAUUUGAAUAAUAACAUGAACAAAAUAAGACAUACCUAAAUCAUACAAUAAAAGAAAUUGGUAUAUUCAAGAUUUCUUUCAGCAACUCCCUUCUGUUGAGGAGUAUCAAUACAAGUUUGAUGAAGAGUUCCACUGAUGAUAAGUAAUUCACAAAAAAUUAUUAGAAGUGUAUUCACCACCCAAAUCCCAUUGAAAACAUUUAAUAAAAACAUUAUAUUUGGUUUUAAUCAUAAUAUGAAACAUAAGAUAUACAUAAAAACAAAAAAAAAAACUCAAAACAAUGUUUCAUAAGAUAAACCUAAUAAUAACAAAUAUGUUCAUCAAUAUAAGGAUACAUAAUAGUGAGAUUCACCUUUGUUAGGAACCAAAGAUGGACCCUGUGCAUGAUAAUGAGCCAAUUCAAAAAGGUGUAUGAGACCUAAAAACACACUUGAUAAAAGGUAAAGUAGUAAAUUUGACAAGUUUACAACCACAAUAAUUAGAGAUAUCAUUGGUCUGUAGCUUGCCUAAAACUCCAGUGGAGACCAAGUAAUUUAACUUAGUGAAAGAAACAUGUCCAAUACAUAAAAAUGAUAAAUCAAAAUGGAGGUUUCAAUAAUUGGAUUCUUUAGCUCAUCUAUUAUAUAAAAUCCCCAUAUCUACAACUUGUCCGAAUCAACCUCCUGAAUUGAGGAUCCUUCACAUAAAAAUUAGUAAAAGAAAAAAGAAAGCGAGUAAGUAAAGUCACAUAGUUGAGCGACACAAACAAGAUUUAAAGUGAGAAAAUAAAUGUGGAGACAAAUCCAAUAUCUGCUAAUGGCAUUGAGGAACCACGAGUAGUCCAAAUAGAUAUAGGUGAAACGAAAAUUGAGGACUAAAAAACAUAAGAUCAUAUGACAUGUGAUGUGAGACAUCAAAAUCAAGGAUCCAUAAGAAAUGAGACAUAUUUGAUGAAUUAGAAUAAAAAUUUUAAGAAUUAUGACUUGUGACGAAGUAGUAAGAAACUUUUGAAAUUCUUCUGCAAUAUCAAAUACACUGAUGAAAUUCAAAGAACCCUCAUUUUCACCUACAAUAUUUAAUUAAACAAUAAAAUAUUUAAGAAUAAUAAAGAAAAAAAUAACAAAACAAAGAUGACACAGGACACAAAUUAGAUUGCAAAUAGGACCUUGAACCCCUUAAAACUCCAUUGUCCUACAAUAGUUCAAACAAUAUGAAAGGAGAUGUGGAAAUCUCACAUUAUUUAUCGAACCAGAUGAGUUUAAUAGUAAAUGAUUAUCAAACCAGCUAUGACCUUUAAUACUAUAUUAUAUUUUAACUUAAAACCAAUUGACAUUAUGUGAAGUUGUUUAUACAUAUAUAAACUGCACUCCCAUACUUGAUGCAGGCCAUGUAAGACUUCCCAACACCCCUUUUAGACAGUUAAAAAUCGCAGUAAAUUGGAAAUCCAAAACCACCUUACGUGUCUAGAAGAAGAUAAAAAUAACAUUUUCUAAGUUAUGUAACUACAAAAUAUUUUUUUAAUGUAAUGCAUAAAAAAGUGAGUUAGAUUUGAGGGAAAAACAUAUUUAAACUUUUUUAUUAAGUUUAAAAUAUAAGUAAAUUCAAAUUCAGCAGUCAUGUAGUACAACAGUUCCUCGAGUGGCAUCAUGCAUGUUCCUCCUUAAAGAUAUUAGUUAAUUCAGACAAGCGUGGAUUACUCACGUAACAAAUUUAAACAAAGAUUUCACAAUAAGAUAUAACAUAAUGCAACAAAUGAGUAUUUAAAACACCAACUUGUUCCCUAGAUUUUACAUUACUUUUUAUUUUGACCCUUUACAUAAAAGAAUAUUUUACUUUUAAUUGUGUCAGAUUAUUUAUUAACUCAAAGAUUGUUUUUUUAUUUUACAGGGACUAUUUAUAGUAUCAAAGAAGGUGAGUUCCUCUAUUUGUAUAUUUUUUUUUAGGUAAAAAUUUAUUCCUCUAUUUAUAUAUGUUAUAAGUAAUAAGUUGAUGGAACAAGUUUCUUUAUAAAUAUAUUUAUUUGAAUAAAAAUAUAAAAACAUUAAAUAAAUUAUUUAAAAGUUAAAACUAAUUUAUAUUUAAACUAUUUUUUACACAUUCUUUAAUAUAACCUUUUCAAUUUCCAAUUUAUAAACAAUUUGAUUUAAUUUUUAAAUUUUUAUUUUUCUUUUAUAAAAAUACUUAUAAAAAAUUGUACAAAUAUAACUAAUAUUAUUUAUAAACUAUUUUUGCCAAAACAGUCCUAUAAUAAUUUUUUAUUAUGAUGAGAUCUAUCACUUUGAUUUUUAACUCUUCCAAUGACAUACUUUUAAAGAUAAGAAUUUGUGUACAGGUUCUAGGAGAGUAAUUGUUUUCAUUUUUAUUGACUAUUAUAUGUUAACUGAACAGCAUCCUUUAUUAAUACUAAGAAAACUCAUAUCCACAUUUUUAUUUCAUUAAAAUAAUAUAAUUUUGCAAACAAAAUAUUAAAAAUAUAUUAAAAUUAUAAAAUUUAUAUUUAUAUAAUUUUGUAAAAGUAAGAUUAAAAUAAUAUAUAUGGUUAUACAACUAUAUAUAGAGGAUCCUCAAUGUCAUCUUUUAAAAAUAAAACUAAUGUUACACAACACAUGUUAUUAUAUGAAAGAGAGACUAUAUUAGACUGACGUAAAAAAACAAAAAAAACACUUAAGAGUAACUUAAGCAUUUACAUUGAGAGUUUAAACCAAAAAAUAAAAAAAUUAAAUAAAGAUAAAAAGAAAAAUAAAAGAAGAUUUUCUAAUAUGUAGCUCCCAUAAAGAUAGCACGGAUAAACAAUUGAAUUCCAAAAUCCUAUGAUAUUAAUGCACAUCCAGACCAUUACUUUUGUUGGGUUGACUUGCUUUGGAGGUUUUAUUAUUGGCUUUCACUCCGACUUUAUAGGACGUCCCAAUCUCCUGAAAGUUUGAACUGGUUCAUUGUCUUCACUUAAUGAUUUCUCCUUAUCCAUCUUUUCAGCUCCGAACUUAGAAACCAAAUUGACUUCUUCUAAGAAAAUGUCAGCCAACGUAGAUUCAACUAUACUCAUUACCAAGAUGGUCGAACAUGUCUCUGAGUCUCUUAUUCACCAUCUAAACGAGAUUCAAAACAAUUUGCAAGGCCAAAUUUUGAGAAAUAAAUUUAAAAGUAACUCAUUUGGCAACUGCAAAUUUAGGACUUUUGCAUUAGUUGUAGAUUCGAGAUGAAAAAAUCCUUCAAAAAGACUAAAUUUUUCAAGAGGCAAGGAGUCUUUUUUUUUUGUAGCAAAUCACUUGAUUCGUGGACAUUCUCCAAAGAGAGUAUAUCAACAAAAAUAUCAUCCUGAGAUCGUGAACCAGACCUUAUAUCAACAAUUAAAACAAAGAAACAUUAUCAACAACAAAUAAUUCUUUUGUAGAUUUCUUAAACUUUUGACCAACAAGAGAUCCAACCUCCACUUGGCCAACAACAACUUCAACUAAGCGUAUCAAGAUCAAUAGCAACUCCCUCAACUUCCACCACCCCUGUCUUAUGAACAAGUACAUCAUAUUUCUAUAUCUCUACUGCAAAAUUUUGAUUCUCUAUGACACUAACCACUUCCUUGUGAGGGGCAUCUUUAAUUUCUUUUGGUAUGGAUAGUCACAGGUUUAUACUCUGCAACAAGUUUGGAUAAAAUAGUAGACGGUUUGAUUAUGUCAUUAAGGUUAUUAGGAUUGUUAGAAUAUAGGGCUGAAACAAGAGGGGGUGAAAUGUUUUCGCAAGAUUUUCAAAAAGGCUGGAAGUAGAUUAGUAGAUUGAAAAGAUCAGUUAAAUCAAUCAAUUGAUUUAUUUUUUCAACUGGUUACUCAAUAGAUUACAGUUAUGUGAAAAAUAUAAACCUAUUGUUUUUUACAAAUCAACUAAUUGUUUAAUGCAGAACACACAGAGAAGUAUUUAAAAUAGUUUAUCAGAGUAGGGAAGAGAGAUUCACACAAAGAAGUUUAUAUUGGUUCACUAUAAACAAAGAGCUACAUCCAAUCCCCCGCAAACCACUUGGAAUUCACUAAGUAAUCAAAAAAUAGAUUACACCACAACCAAGAGUGUUGAUCUUGAAUCCUUCAAGAACACACAACACUUAACAAAAACACAGUUUCUAGAAACACAAUAUGAAAUUGUUUUACACACAAUACAAAUUAAAAGAAUGAAUUAGAAUACACCUAAGCUUUAUACAGUUGAAAAACAAUAGAACAUAAAACUCAUAAUCAUAUUUCACACAAAAGCAAUGAUCCAAGACUUCAAGAAUGAUUAAAAGCUCUUUAGUCUUCUCUCUUGAAAAACAUGUUCAAUAAACUCUCUUUUUCUUUUUGAAAUGAUGAGAAAACAGUCUUUAUAUAGACUUUAAAAGAUGGGUAAAACAGUUUGAUCAUUAAAUGAAAUCUAUUACAAACAUUUAAAAACAUUUGAAAAUCAUAACAAAAUUUUGUUAAAAUCACUUAAUUGAUUUUUAAAACAAACUGAUUGUUUUCACUUUCGGUUAGAAACUCAACAUAAAAAGUUUGUUCAUUUAUCGAAAUAACUAACUAUUUUUUCUUUACAAAAAAGACAAAAGAAAACAAAUCAUUUUUAAAUCCUUUUAAAAACCGUAAGUGUAAUUCAAUUGGUUGUCGCGAUAAAUUAACCAUUUGAAAAACUUGUUGUAGUCACCAAAUUAGAACAAAAGCUUUUUCAACGAUUUAAAACACGAAACAACUAACUAAAAUUAACACAAAUUUGAAAAACAAAACUUUCAAAAAAGAUUUCAAAUCAUACGAACUUGGAUCAUAACUAAGUGCAAAUUAACAACUCAAAAUCUACCUAACUACACACAACAGCAAAUUCUUCAAGCUGGAUUUGGAAAUCAUCAAAGCAACCUUGUUCAAUAAGGAUGUCGUCUACAUUUAGAAAUAUCAUACCCUGUCAUUUUACACAAAGAGAAAAAUGGAGACAACUUCUCAAAUUCAAUAUCUGCAAAAAAGCAAAACCAGGUAUUUCCACCAAAAUUUGAUUAGGGAAAGCAUAUAACAUAUCAAAUAAGCAAAAAAACCUCUAAAUUUAUUCAGGUGCGGUCAUCAAGGGAAAAAGGAGUACUAAUCCAUUUCUCUAUAGAGAAAAUUGUUUUUGGUUUCCAAUAUUCCAUAGGAAGACUGGAUUUUCACUCAACAUGGAGCUUUGGUGAGUUUCAUUUAAGAUGGCACAAAGUCUGGUUCAAGCAAAGACUAUCAAGAUACCCAAAUUGAGAUUCCAUAACCUCAUUGCUAGGACUCUUCUAAUGUCUUCAAGAGAAGAAAAAACAAAUUCAUAAAACCCUUUUCCCAAAGGAAUAACUUUCCAAAAUCCUUGAGACUUUCAUGUAAGAUCCAACUUUUUGCUCAUGUUCAUAUGAGUAAGAGGUUUGUCACCUUUGGAUAGUACUAUUCUUCCAUGAAGGUGAUUUUACCUUCUUCAAGACUUACGAGAUACACAUCUACAUCAAUUUGAAUAGAUAUCAAAUCUCCAUUCACUAGUGCAGAAACAUAAAACAAAUGCGGUUGUUUUGAAUUUAUAAAUGCGGCUUUAUAACCGCAUUUGAUCAACACGCACUUGUAAAUCAAGAAAUAUAAAUGCGGCUAUAUAGCCGCAUUUAUAAAUACCAUUUACAAGUGCGGUUAUUUGCUUAACCGCACUUGUAUAUGCCGAAUCAUUAAAAAUUUUAAAACAUCGUCAAUCUUGUGUGAAGCCAAGAUUGAUGAAGAGUCACGGGAGCGAACAACGGUGGCGGCAGCAGAAGGGACGACGGACAGGGAAGCAGCAACGAAGCAAACCAAAAAAUCCACAAGAAACCACGAAGACAAUGAAAGAGUGCUUCGAGACCACUAAUGCAAGGAAAAAAACAUAUAUAAGAAAAACGAAAAACAUUUAUGCAUAUAUUUGUGAAGAUGAAGAGGAAAAAAGAGAGUUCAAGAAACUUACAUUGCACAAAUGGAAUGCAAAUGUAGUAGAAGGAGACGAACUCAGAGUGCAAACGCGAAACGAAGGCAAAGACGAGAAAUAAAGUUUGAAAUUGUGUGUGGCGCGCUUCAAAAUUUAAGGUAAAAAAGGAUUUACGAAUGCGGUUAAAGGUAAAACCGCAUUCGUAAAUCAAAGAAUUUUGAUUUACGAAUGCGGUUAUUCAAAUAACCGCAUUUGUAAAUCAAGCGCUUUGAUUUACAAGUGCGGUUAUUCAAAUAACCGCAUUCGUAAAUCAAGCGCUUUGAUUUACGAAUGCGGUUAUUCAAAUAACCGCAUUCGUAAAUCAAAAUAAUUUCAAAAAUGCCACCGCGUUUUUAUUGAAAGCGGGUAGCGCAAAAGCCGCACUAAAUAAAGCGUAUCCUUUUCUUCUUUUUGCACUAGUGAUUAAUGCAAGAAGAAGAUAACAGUGAAAGAGGGAUAUCACCAACAUUAUUCAAGGUUUUGCAAAAUUCAUCUUUUGUGUUUAAGUCCUAUAAGAUAACUUGAUUUGCGAAGAACAACCUUAGUCCUUGAGACACCCCUAAAAAAUUUAAAAAUUACAAGAAUUUGUCCCAAUCCCACAACAUUAGAGAGAAAAAUAACCUAACCGCUUAGAAGAGAAGCGCCGACAAACCUUUGCUUAACCACCGAACUCUAAUUUUCAAGGAUAUAGUUUUGUCAUCUCAAUAAAAAAUUUAUCUUUAAUUUCAUCUUUUUAAUUGAUAAUUUUAUCAUUUUAUAAUUUUAUUCUUUAGUAAAAAGAGGAAUCCUGUUGUUGUAAUGGUCUAACUUUCCCAUUUAAAAUAACAUAAAUAUACAUUUUCUUUUAACUUUUAAAUCAUUCUUUUAGAAAUACUUUUUAAAAUUUUAUUAUCUGCAAUAACAUUAAUAAAGAUAAUAUUCUCUUUGGUACAUAAAUUCUCACUGUCUUAUCCUUUGAUAUUUUUUAAAACUAAAAUAACUACUUAUAUAACACAUUACCUACAAAAUAAGAAAUUAUUGUUUACAAAAUUAUAAAAAUUAUUUUUAAUUGGACAAUUUUAUCCUUUAUUAAUAAAAAUAAUUUAUUUAUUUAUUUAAUAAAAUAAAUAAUAAAAUAAAUUUAUUUAUUUAUUUUAAAAUAACUAAAGAACUUAUCUAUUAAAAAAUAAUGUUUAUAUAAUUUUUUAAUCCUAUUUUUAUCCUUUGAGUAGCGAUUUUUUAAAGCCAAAAUAACUAUGUAUAUAAAUAAACUACCUAUGAAAUCAGAAAAUAAUUUAUCUAAAAACUUAUAAAAGUUGGUUUUUUUUACUAUGAUGGGGUUAUUGUUUUUUGGUUUUUACCAAAAUGGGGUCCGUUUAAAAAAAAUUACAAAUUUAGGCAAGUCGUGCCUAAUUGGGACGACUUCAUAUGCAGAAGUUGUCCCAAUUAGGCACGACUUCUGCCCUGUCAUACUGAAGUCGUGCCAAGUUGGCACGACUUCUGCCCUGUCAUAUUGAAGUCGUGCCAACUUAGCACGACUUCUGCCACCUCAUAAUUUUUUAUUUUAUUUUAAUUUUAUUGUUUAUAUAUUGGAUAGUAAGUUAUGUAAUGUUACAAAUUAAUUUCUUCUCAUCAUUACGUGUUUUGUAAAAUCAUUACUUCUCAAACUAUUUAUUUUGCAAAUUCACAACAAUAAUUCUCUAUUUAUUUUCCAAAUAUAAUAAUUUUUCAUUUAUCUAUUUAUUUCCAAAUUCAAUAACAAUUUUCUUCAUUUUUUAAUUAAUCAAGUUAUUGUAUUACAUUACCGUCAAACAUGAUCCAUACACGAUUAUCCAAUUUUUGUUCCUUAAAACUAACACUCUUAGAAAAUUAUGUAUCAAAUUAAUUUUUAACAUUACAUAACUUACUAUCCAAUAUAUAAACAAUAAAAUUAAAAAAAAAUGACGUGGCAGAAGUCGUGCUAAGUUGGCACGGCUUCAAUAUGACGGGGCAGAAGUCGUGCCAAGUUGGCACGACUUCAUUAUGACAUGGCAGAAGUCGUGUCUAAUUGGAACGAUUUCUACAUAUGAAGUCGUGCCGAAUUGGCACGACUUGCCUAAAUUUGUAAUGUUUUUUUCAACGGACCCAUUUUGGUAAAAAUAAAAAAAAAUAACCCCAUCAUGGUCAAAAAACCAUAAAAGUUAUUUAUAUUUAUUUUUAAUUGGACAGUUUACCUUUUAAUAAAUAAAAUUUAUAUUUUUUAUUUAUUUAAUAAAAUAAAUAAUUGGAUAAAUCUUCUUUAUUUUAACAAAAUUAAAGAACUUCUUUUUUAAAAAAUAACAGCUAUAUAAUUUUACAAUACUAUUUUUACAAAAUAAUAUAUAUUAAUUUAUAUUUUUUAAUUAAAUAUUCAUAAAAAUAAAAUAAAAGACUAUAAAAGUAUUAAAAUUAUAAUUUUAUCUAUUUGAAUAUAAUAAAGAUGUGAAUACACAUGUGAGAAAAAUGUGUUUUCGUUAGUUUGAACAUAAGCGCGAGAACUACUGGAUUCUACUACUUUUUAAGUAAAAAAAGUUAUUGUUUUGGUAGAAAUAUAUUAUUUAAUUAUUGUUUUAUUAAUUAAAUAAAUAAAAAAUUAUUAAAAGAUAAAAUUAUCUAAUUAAAAAUGACGUUAAAGAUAGUUAUCAAAAUAUCUAUUCUUUUUAUUUAAUGAUAUAUAUUAUUUUUAGUAGAAGUAAAUUAUUCAAUUACUUGUUUUAUUAAAUAAAAUAUAUAUUUUUAUCUAUUAAAGAAUAAUUAUUUUUAAUUAAAACAUAACAUAAAAAAUAAUUAUAAAAAAUGUAUUGGCACUAUAUAAUACCAUAAAUGAUGAAAAUAAUAAUAAGUAUAAAUAACUUUAAAAGUUUAAGGAUUUUAUUAUUAUUAUAUUAAUAAAAAGAAGUUGAUAAGUGAUUUUUAUUUCAUUUUAAGGAAGUGUGAUUUUUUUUUCUUUAUUAUAACAUGAUGACAUUUGCGAUUUUAAUUCACAGGCUUGGUUAGAACAAUAAAUGGACAAAACAAAAAUAUUGAAUAUUACGGUGCAAAUCAAUUAGUAUUAAUUAAGUUGGGACAGUAUGUUAUACCAUACUUCAUAGUUAGAUAUGUUGUUGGCACCAUAUUGUUUAUUGCUCUUUUGACGUAUAAGUGGAGAAGAAGGCAUUCGUCCGAAUACGAAAAUAUUGAAAGUUAUUUAGAGCAAAAUAGCUUGAUGUCUAUUCGAUACACAUACAAGGAGAUUAAGAAGAUGGCCACAGGUUUCAAUGAAAAAUUAGGUGAAGGAGGUUAUGGCUCUGUAUUCAAGGGAAAGUUGCGUAGUGGACCUUCUGUUGCUAUAAAAGUGUUACGAAAAUCAAAAGGUAAUGGACAAGACUUUAUCAAUGAAGUUGCAACCAUUGGAAGAAUACAUCAUCAAAAUGUAGUGCAGUUAAUUGGAUAUUGUGCUGAAAGCUCAAAACGUGCCCUUGUUUGUGAGUUCAUGCCCAAUGGAUCUCUUGACAAAUUUAUAUUUUCAAGUGAAGGAAAUAUGCAUUUAACUUAUGACACAAUAUAUAAUAUAGCAAUGGGAGUAGCACAUGGGAUUACAUAUUUACACCAUGGUUGUGAGAUGCAGAUUUUGCAUUUUGACAUCAAACCCCACAACAUCCUACUUGAUGAAAAAUUCACCCCAAAAAUCUCUGACUUUGGAUUGGCAAAACUAUAUCCAAUAGACAAGAGUGUUGUGACUAUGACAGCAGCAAGAGGGACAAUUGGAUACAUGGCUCCAGAAUUGUUUUAUACAAAUAUUGGAAAAAUAUCAGAUAAGUCUGAUGUUUAUAGUUUUGGAAUGCUUCUGAUGGAGUUAGCAAGCAAGAGGAAAAACUUAAACCCCCAUGCAGAGCGUUCAAGCCAACUUUAUUUUCCCUUUUGGAUUUAUGAUCAACUUGACAAAGAGAAAGAUAUAGAAAUGGAAGAUGUCAUAGAGGAUGAGAAGAAAAUUGCAAAAAAAAUUAUGAUAGUUUCACUUUGGUGCAUACAAUUAAAACCAAAUGAUCGUCCUUCCAUGAAUAAAGUAGUCGAAAUGCUUGAAGGAGAUAUUGAGAACCUUAAAAUACCUCCCAAGCCUUCUCUGUAUCCACGUGAAACUUUGGAAAGAAUCUGCUUUGACCAAACAACAAUGUCUGAGUUCAUUAGUUCUUCAAGCUAUUCCAUGGGGAUUGUCACUAAUGAUCCACUAGAUGAAAGUAUUUAAUAAUGCAUAUUAGUUGUUUAUUUACCUCAAACUUAGUGACGACUUAAACAUUAUUCAUCUAUAAUAUUUACAUUGUCUAAGUUAUUUCCUAUUGUUUUAUACUUCAAAGUUUAAAAUGAUGGUUUACCAAAUUUAAACAUUUGUUUAAAGAUUUUCGAUAUGUUAAUUAUACUAAAGUAGUUGUAGCAUCCUAAGUUUUUUUUAAUUGUUAUUUAAAACUUAAUCAAAUAUACAAGUAAAUUUAGUUAAAAUAAUAAAUUAAAUAGGUAUAUUUUCUGAUAAGUGCAUGUACUAAAUUCUACAAUAAUUGGGAUUUUGUAAGCUAGAUAAUAGUACUUUAUUGUAAGCUAGAUUAUUGGCAUAGAAAGACUGGAGGAAAGAACUUUGAAGGAUCAACCUCACAAGAUUCUAUUGCAAGUACUUUAUAAGACAAACAUAUUUUGACGAGAGUAACAAUAAUUAGCUCUAGUGGUGGAAAACAAUGUUAUGUGGAUAAUGGAUUUAAGUGCAACUUGGCACCUUACCCUGCACCAAAAUUGGUUUUACACUUAUGCACCUAUUGUUGGAGUCGAAGAUUGAGCCAAAUUAUAUUUCAUGAAUUCAACCCUCAUGACGAUCGAAGACUUUGUUUAAUGAAGAAAACUUUAUUUCAUAUAACAUUUGUGUGUAUGUGUGUAUUUUAGUCUAUUUCAUUGUAUGGUUCGUAUGCUUAUAACUAUCAACAUAAAUGAAUCAUAAGAAAUGAUCCAAGGAUAAUGAUUCAAAUUUUUUUAAAUUGUUUAAAACUUAGGUAUUAAGGCAAUUUCAAUUAAUUGAAAUUAUGUUUUAAUAUGUUAAAAUUACUUACAACCUCAAAAAGUUCUAUACAGAUAUUUAAUUUGUUAAAAACAGUUGUUUGACAUAUUCAAAACUCUUGGUUUUAAGGAUAUUAUUAUUUUAUAUGUUUAACAAAUUUAAAUCUUUUAAAAUUUUAGGAUGUCUUAUCUAUUUUGUUUUAAUAGAUUGAAAACUCAAAUUAAAAAUCAACAAAUUGAUUGGAAUUUUUAAUCCAUUAAACUUUACAAAUCAAUUUUUGAAAAGUAUUUUUUUUUUAAAAAACAUCUUUUGAAAAACUUUGAAGAUAGAGAACUUAGGUUUUUAAGAGAGGAUUUUACUCUGAGCAAAAGUUUUUAUUCUUGGCUGAAUUUUUAGAACUUAGCUGGUCCUACUUGUAUUAAUGUGUAGUUCUUCCUUGAUUCUUUUUUUUAUGUGUAGGUGAAUUGAAAUUAGAUAGUAUUUCUAAUUUUUAUAAUAACAACAAGGUGUUGUUUCACUACAAGAAAAAAAUGAUUUUAACAGGGGUUUAUUUUUACAUCACCAAGGGUUAAAACCUUCAUUAAGUCACUUACCCAAGAUUGUAGUUUCCCAACCAUCCCUGAGGAAGGUGUUCCCCGACGUUUUUUAAAACCCCAAGAAAAGUCUUUCAAAACUCCUGUUAAAUACCAUGGGUUUAAGAACCUCCGUAAAAUACCAUGGGUUUUAGGACCUCCAUAAAAUCCCACAAGUUUUGAAACAUUCGUAAAAUACCAUGUGUUUUAGAACCCCCCGUAAAAUAACAUGGAUUUUAAUACAUCCAUAAAAUACCAUGGGUUUCAAAACCUCUAUAAAAUACCAUAGAUUUUUAAACCUCUGUAAAAUACCAUGGUUUUCAAAAUUCCUGUAAAAUAUCAUGGGUUUUAAAACCCACAAAAAAUACCAGAGGUUUUGAAACUAAAAACAUUUGUUUUUUUACUCAUUUUAUCGUUAAAACAUUCAUGUGCUUCUUCAAACACAACUAUAAGAAAUGAAUAUAAGAAAUAAAUUACAAACUUUCACUUUAUAUAUAUAUAUAUAUAUAUAUUAUUCACUGGUACUAUUUACGAUAAAAGUUACUAAUAAAAUUUUUUUAUCCACAUAUCCAAACAACAAAAGAGUUCAAGAGUUAAAACCCUUUUUUCUUGUAGUUCUUGUUGGGUAUAACACUCUUGUAGGGUUCAAGAGUUCUGUUUUUGGUAUUCUUUGUGUUGUAAAGAUUUUUUCCAUAGUGAAAUCUCAAAUAGUAUGGUUGGAAAACUAGAUGUAACUCUAAUAAAAGAGUGAAACUAGUAUAAAAGUUCUUUUGUGAUCCUUUUUCUCUCUCUAUUUACGUUUUUGCAUUUAGUUCUUGAAUUGAUUCUUAUGUUUUAGAAAAAAUUAACAAAUUGAUAUUCUGAUUAGAUCUAAUUUAACCGAUUGAAUUUUAAAUUUUUUACCAGUGAACUAAAAUUUUAAUUUGUUAUCUGCAAAUAAUUUAAUCUGUUGAUUUUUUAAGAACUCCAUUCUAAACUAUAUUUUCAAGAAAUUGUUUUUAAGUUCAAUUCACAUAGCCCCCCCGAACUCGACCUAUCAUUCUAACAAUUUCAAAGCUAGUUAUUUAAAUUUAUUAAAGUUUCAGUCCUUGUUUUAUGAAAAUGGUUGAGAAUAAAUUUCUUAUGCUGAGGGUGUCUCUAUUAACAAGUCAUCCAAGUUUGGAGUUGUUAAUUAUCAAUUUCGGAAAGUUAAAAUGAAGAUCUUUAUACAAUCAAUUGAUCAGGGUAUUUGGGAUGCAGUUGUUGUUGGAUCUAUUAGUGUCUAAGUUCAAGAGGGGAGGGGUGAAUUGAGCUUAUAAAAUUUUCGCAAGAACACACAAUUUUCAGUAUAUCAGAGGCAAAAGAACAGAUUGUUUUUACAUGAAACAGAUUGAUUCUUCAGAGCAGUCUAGCACAAUUUGAAUUUGUUCAAAUUAAAAUUGUGAUCAACAGAGGGUUAUAACAGAAUCAGAUUAGUUGGAUAUUAUGAGUAUGAAGAAUACAGCUAUGCUCAUAAAUCAAUCAAAUUCAUUCAACACAAGGUUUUAAGGAGAAUGACUCUUUCUCUGAUUUUAAUGAAUAGACUAUUUGUUCACAGAUCAAUUAAAACAUCAUAUACAACUGCCUUGUUUGUGAUCAGAGAGCUUUAACAAAUCAGGAAGAACAGUUUUUAUUAAACCCAGAAUUAACAGAUUCAAUUUCAAAAGAACAGAUUUAGUUCUUGACAGAAUUAAGCAAAACCAGAAACGAGUGCAGGGAUGAGAGGAAAAAGGCAAGCAGGUUUUUAUACUGGUUCACUCAUACAGAGCUACAUCCAGUUUCACCUUACCCCAAGGUGGAAUCCACUAAAAAUAGUANNNNNNNNNNNNNNNNNNNNNNNNNNNNNNNNNNNNNNNNNNNNNNNNNNNNNNNNNNNNNNNNNNNNNNNNNNNNNNNNNNNNNNNNNNNNNNNNNNNNNNNNNNNNNNNNNNNNNNNNNNNNNNNNNNNNNNNNNNNNNNNNNNNNNNNNNNNNNNNNNNNNNNNNNNNNNNNNNNNNNNNNNNNNNNNNNNNNNNNNNNNNNNNNNNNNNNNNNNNNNNNNNNNNNNNNNNNNNNNNNNNNNNNNNNNNNNNNNNNNNNNNNNNNNNNNNNNNNNNNNNNNNNNNNNNNNNNNNNNNNNNNNNNNNNNNNNNNNNNNNNNNNNNNNNNNNNNNNNNNNNNNNNNNNNNNNNNNNNNNNNNNNNNNNNNNNNNNNNNNNNNNNNNNNNNNNNNNNNNNNNNNNNNNNNNNNNNNNNNNNNNNNNNNNNNNNNNNNNNNNNNNNNNNNNNNNNNNNNNNNNNNNNNNNNNNNNNNNNNNNNNNNNNNNNNNNNNNNNNNNNNNNNNNNNNNNNNNNNNNNNNNNNNNNNNNNNNNNNNNNNNNNNNNNNNNNNNNNNNNNNNNNNNNNNNNNNNNNNNNNNNNNNACAGAGAAACAGAUUCAUUUUUGUGCAGUAUCCUGAUUUUAGGAGAAAACUCCAAAAAGCUUUUAACCACUUCAUGUGCUUAUUCUAGGCUUGGUUAGGCAUCUAGAAUAGAUCAUGUAGCAAAAGGCAACCUUACACAUACACCAGCCUACAUACAAGAUCAUCUAAACCUAUUACAAACUUUACAACAAACUAGCUAUUUUCUACAUCAAACACAAACUAACACUAGGUAGAGAAGAGACUUCAUCCAUCUUCAACAGUUGCUAAUGGUUAUUUUGUGCCUAAGCAUGUCAUAGAUGAUGAAACAAUUGCUAAUGGUUAUUUUGUGCCUAAGCAUGUCAUAGAUGAUGAACUUCUUGAAAAUCCAUGGGUUGACUGGUUUGAAAUCGAAAAUAAAGAAAUCUCAAUAUGAGUGCACUCCAAAGAAUAUUAUAACCUCUACGUUGAAUAUGAAUUAAGUUUUUAGGGUAUCACAAUCUUCUCCGGCUAAGGAAAUGUGGGAGAUUUUGGAAGUAACUCAUAAAGGAACUUCAAAUAUAAAGAGAGCCGAAAAACAUGCUCUGAUACACAAGUAUGAACUCUUCAAAAUGUAAUAGGGAGAGGGAAUUACAUAUGUGUAGAAAUGGUUUACAUAUGUUGUAAAUCAUCUCAUUUGUUUAGGAAAGAUCUUUGAUAGAGAAUAGUUGAAUAUCAAGGUUCUGAAGUGCUUAGAUAGAAUAUGGCAACCCAAGGUCACGACUAUUUCAGAAUUAAGAGAUUUGACCACCCAAACAAUAGCUUCCUAUUUGUAAAAAUGAGAAAGCAUGAGAUUGAAAUGAACAAACUGAAUGAGCAGAAAAGUGAAGUUAAGAAGACCAAAGGAAUUACUCGAAAAUCUUGUCUUCACAAAAGUGAGGAAGAAUCCAAUGAAUGUAGUGAUACAAAAACACUUAACAUGUUGACUAGAAAGUUCAGUAAAUUCUCAAAAAAGAAAGGCAAGAAUAAGGUGCAGUGAACAAAAAGGUAUAAAUUUAGAAAAUCCUAUUGAAUUUGGUUCAUCUAACUACACCUGUUUUGGUUGUGGCAAUACAAUGUCCAAAUGUUUCAAUCAAAGAAAAAGGUUAUGAAAGGAAACAUGAAAAAGGAGGAAAGUCCAAAAGAGCAUACAUAGCUUGGUAAGACAAUGAUGAGUCAUCAUCCAACUCCACAUUUAGAUAAGAAGAAGUUAACAUAUGCUUGAUGGUUGGAUAUGAAUCUUGAACUAGUAAUGUAAGAUUGAACUCUUCUUAAAAUGAUGAAAACUAUAGUCAAUUGUUAGAUUCAUUUAAGGAAACUAAUGAGGAAGGAAAUAAAUUGGCUCUUUCAAUGAAUAGAUUAAAAGGCCUAAACAACUAUUUCAAAAACAAGGUCAACACUUUGGAAGAAAAGUUAAAGAAUACCAAGUAUGAUUUUAAAAAUUUAGAGAUCAUGUACAAAAACUCUUCUUGUAAAUGUGUUGAAUCUAGUAAAUCAGUGAAGAACUGUGAAAAUUGUGAAGUUUAAAAAAAAAAGUUCAUUAUCUUAUAAAAAAUUUAAGUAUUUUUUUAUAGGAAAAGGAAAUUUGGAAGCUCUACUAGGUUCUCAAUUUUUUAUUUUUUUUAUAAAGCUAGUUUAAGGUAUAAACCUGAAUUUCAAAAUAAGACAAAAUAAUAGAAUUUUUUUUAAAAAUUUAGUAAAACACAAUCCUCACCUCUUGUCACCUGUUUAGGUUAUUUAAGAGGUCAUACCACUAGAAACUACAACAUAAGAAAAUUUGAAAUUCCAAAUGGCUUAAUUAGGUGGGUACCAAAAAGUAAAAUUAAUAGUUCUAGACCUAAGUUAAUAAGAGGCCAAAACCUGUUCCUUCAAUCUAUUUUGCAGGAUUCAUUGACAACCAAAAACCAUCUAUGGUAUCUUGAUAGUGACUACUCAAAGAACAUGUCUUGAGACACUUCAUAAUUGAUUGAUUUGCAACUAAAACAUGAGGAAUAUGUCACUUGUGGUGACAAUAAUGAUAGAAGGAUUCUUGGCAGAGGUGAUAUUGGUGAUCAUAAUUGAAUACUUAUCAAAGAUGUGUUGUAUGUAAAAGAACAUAAGCACAACUUGUUGAGCAUUAGCCAACUUUGUGGAAAGGUUACCAAGUCAUCUUUAAGCCACAUUCGUGCCUAAUUUUCGAAGUAGGUUCAAGAAAAGUCUUUCUAGUAGGUAAAAAUUCAUAAUGUUUACAAGUUGGAUAUUACAAACACUACAUCUAAAAUUUAAUGUUUACUUCUGAAGCCCAGUUGUCCAUACAACUGGGCUGGUACAACAUCUUAUAAAUAAUGUUAUAUCCUUUAAAGGGAAGAACAUGUGUGAGGCACAAAUAUAACAAAUGAAGGCUUUCCCAAUUUUUAUGUAUAAGGGUAGGAUGAGGUAUGGAUGAGUAUUAGUUUAUUUGUAUGGUAGAAAGGAUAUAGGACAAAAAAAGAUUGCCUCAAUGUGACUUUCUUCUACUUGUCCUUUUGGUUGAAAAAGAAAUGUCCCCCUCUUCUAAGGCAUUUCAAUCAUCAUAUCAUUUACACAGUUUUUCUCCCUUUAUCUUUUCCUUUUCAUUCAUUUUUAGCGACCAAUGUUGUUUCAAUAAUUUGAAAGAAUGCAUUACUAUAUUUUUUUUCCCAAAAAGGGUGAAAAAAAUAUUUUUUUUUUUGAUAAAGAAACAUGGUCACAAAUUAUUUCAAAUCCUAGUUAUUCCCUUUUUUUCAGAAAGAUUAACUCUAAAACAAUAAAGAUAAACCCCUUAGCCAGACGAGACAAAACUCAACAAAUCUGCCACAACAUAAGAUAUUCUUGUUUUUCUAAUUCAGACAAUGAUGGAACCUACCAUAGGAUUUCAAGUGACAUGCGUAUGAAUGCUUCAAAAGAAAAGGUUGGUUGGUUGUUAAAACAUUAUACCACGAAAAAGCAUGACACACAUUUGUCAUUAUUAUCCUUUUUAUUUAUUUUUUGUUUUUAGUCCUUAUUUGCUAUUUUUGGAACAUCACAAAUUUGAUGAUUUUGCCAAGAGAACAAAUGAAUCAAUUUCUUUCUGUUAUAUUUAUUUAUUUAUUUAUUUUUACUUGAAAUAAGUUUUAUUUAUACAAAUGAAAUUUACUAUUAACCAGAACUAAUAAACUAUUUUAACCAAAUGUGUUUAGCAUUCAACUGAUCUAUCAAACUACUGAACAACCUCUAUAGACAUUCAGAUUGUCUAUUAUAAUUGCAGUUUCACAAAACACUGUUAGAAUGUUCAUAUCACAAAUAAAACGUUUAGUUUAUUUCUAUUAUCAUCAAAACUCAAACUUCACAUACGAUGCAUUGAUAAUCAAACUAUCUAGUAGAGUACAGACCAUCCAGGUUCUCAGCAUUGUAUAUGUCAUAAGACUUUACCCUUUUUAAUGAGUUAAAAUUGUGAUAUAUUUAUCACUCAAACUUUGUGUUUGUAUAAGUCAAAAGUGGCUCAUAAAAAAAUACUUAUUUAAGCUAAAAUUGACUUGUUGAAAGUAUACUUGAACAGGGUCAGACAGAAGUAGUUAGGAGUCAAAAGUGGAUUGUGAGAAUACUUAGGUUAAUCCAUCAAUGAAUUUUUUAAAGAAUAGUUGAGCAUGCUUUGCAACAAUAGUCUGCUUACUAGAACUUGACUGGUCGAUCAAGAAUUGAAUGUAGUUUUUUGAGGUAGAUAAACUAGUAUAAAAUCACUUGUCUCCUUUGUCUCUCUGUAUAUUGCAUGUUAUCUAAAUAACUAACCUAAGGAGGGUGAAAUGUUUAAACUAAGGUUACAAAACUUAAAAGUUUUCAUCUGUUGGAAAACUAAAAUUAUCAUCUGACUAUCACACUAUACUUAUGAAAAACAAAGAAAUUUUAAAGACACAAUUCAAUUUUCCCUCGUAUUUUUAUUGUUUUAAAAAAAUAUUGAAAUAUUGUUUUCAAAACUAGAGUAAUUUAUCACUUGAUAAUUUAUCCAUAGAAGUUGUGAGCAGUAGCUCACAAUUGACAUGUACUCGACCUCUUUUUAUCCACAUAAUAUAGUUUGUGUGGUAGAAACCUUCUAAUAUGAAACUUACAUUUUUCUUAUAACACAAGCAUAAAUUAUUUGAUCCUAAAAGAUAAUAAAAGAUCCAUUUUACAUCCUUUAAGUAAGACUCUUUUAGAAAUUAUUGGAAUAUUGCAGAUAGAUAAAUGUUAUGCAUAAUACCACAUUCCAAAAAGGUUUUGAUUUUGUAAAGUCAUUUAAAAAAAUUUAGGAUCUCUGUUUUGAAUAUUUCUCAAAAAAUAGCUUUAAUGCCAAUUGUUAUAAAAGGAUAAAUGACUUGUUUUAACUCAAGAAGGGGUGAAUUGAGUUUCAAAUCUUUUUCAUUGGUUCAAUUUUAAAUUAAGUUCUUGUUCAUUGUUCCACCACCGUGCACCACUUUUCUUCCACUGUUGUCACUGUUGUCGUCGCUGUCCUUCACCGUUGCCCUCCACCGCUGCCAUCACCUUGAGGUUGGUGUUCUUUUUACUUUUUAUUUAAUAUUUUUUUAGUCUAUAUGUGGCUUAUAGAUGGCGGUUCUACCUCAAUAGAAUAGACUAUGUGUUGAUAGACAACAAUUUUGAAAUCGCUGUCUAAUUGCUAAAAGAACUACGUACUGUCUUUGACCUUUUAUGUGUUAGUGUAUGUCUUUAUUAAUUAACUUCAUUUUGAGUUUGUUCAUGUUUUUUAGGUUAUCUAUAGUUCCUCUACUUUAGAAUUACUUGUUUAAAAAUGUGAAUUUAUUUUCAUCAAGUAUACUUUUCUUUAUUCUAUUUUAUAUAAACAAAAAUGCAUUCACAAUGAAUGUGAUAUUCUAACGAAAUUGACAUCAACAUUAAUAGUUUACGAGAUGUUAAACCAAUAAAAAAACAAAUAUAAGAUAAUUAGGCCAAAUUUAUGAAAAAAAUUUAUAAAUAACUAUAUUUCAAAAAGUCAAAUCUAUUCGUUAAAAAAGAUGUCGAAUAUAAGAGAAUAAUUUCACCAAAGAAAACCAUAUUUGGUAUUAAUAGUCAAAUUAGCUUUUAAAAUCUAAAAUUUCACUUAUAAACUUGCAUUUACUCCAUCUACUUCUAGGGACCUCAAAGUUGGUAUAAAAAGCUUGAACCGCUUGCAUUUACUCCAUCUACUUCUAGGGACCUCAAAGUUUGUAUAAAAAGCUUGAACCGCAACAGUGAGUGACAUUCCAACCAUAAUGAAUUACAUUUUUUUAUAUAUAUAAAAGCUUUCAUGUUAGGCAUCACUAUGCAACUUGACAUCUCAGUUAGGUUAACACCUCAAGUAACAACAAUCAUAUGCCAUUACAUGAAAAAAAUAUUUUUAAAAAAAAGGAAAAAGAAAGAAAAUUUAAAAAUAAAAUAUGGGGAAACUAGACCAAAACUCAUAUGUUAACAAAAAUGAUAGGUAGACUAUACCUAUUCAUAAAGAAUUAUAAGAACAAACUAGAUGGAAGCCUAUUAUACAAAUGAAAUUAUUCUUUGUGAAUAAAUCCUAAAUUAGCCAACUUAUUAGCAUACGCAUUCCCUUCACGAAAAAUAUGAGUAAUCCUAAACCUAAUUUUCUCACAAUAAUUAAGACAAGUAUUCCAUUGAAUACGAAGCAUCCACAGGACAUCAGUUCUAGAAGUAAACGCAACACAAACCAAGGUAGAAUCACAUUCAAGUCAUACAUUAGUAAGCUCCAUCUUUUGAGCUUCCUCCAUAGCAUGUUUAACUCCAUAAAACUUAGCAACCAUAGCAGUUUGAACUUCAAGAAACCAGAGAAAGCACCAAUAAACUCCCCCAUACUCCCAUGGAAAAUUCCUCCACAAGUAGCAAGACCAGGAUAUCCCCUAGCAACCCCAUCAAUGUUAAUUUUAACCUAGCCUAGUGAAGGGAACUCCCAUCUAACAAGAAAAGGACAAAGAACUUUACCAGUACGAGUAUGUAUAUCCCAUGGGUUGUUUGAUGGAUCAAGAAGUGUUUCCUAUUAAGAAAGUGUUUUUUAUUCCAGGCCAAAGGAAGACUUUUGCUCAGGCUUUGGGAAAUACAUGUGACAUUCCUUUUUCCCAGUUACCAACUCCUUGUAUUAUGGGAGACAUGGUUGUUGUCCGGGUUGAUGAGGAAGAUUACUUCGCUGGUCUUGAGGAUUGCAAGACCCAUCUACAUGGUUGGAUUAUUCUAUCUAAGGGGGAUAAACAUCUCACACACCUUGAUUUUACUAAAAAGUUGCAACUUGUGUGGAAGGUUAUUAGAUCGUGGAAAGCAAUCUUUCUUGGGAAGGGUUUUUAUGAGUUUGAGUUCUCUUCUUUAGAAGACAUACGGUGGGCUCUCGAGAUGGGGUUGCUAGGGGAUUGUUUGCCUGAAGAAAAAAAAACUUUGUUCCAUCUACUAUGAAGAGUACUCAAAACCCAGACUUGGGUUAGAAUCUACCAUUUGCCUUUGAAAUAUUGGAGACCAAGGGCGAUAUUUUCCAUCACCAGAGGCAUUGGAAUUCCUUUGUCUUUGGAUGAUCAUACCAUGAGAAAGAAUAGGUGUUUGUUUGCUAGAGUGUUUGUGGAUAUUGAUCUGUUGUCCCCUUUUCCCGAUCAGCUCUUGGUUGAACGUUCAGACUUUUCUUUUGUAACCGAAGUGGAAUAUGAAUGGCUCCCUCCAUUGUGCUCUUACUCUAAGAUGAUUGGGCAUGAGCUUGCUCAGUGCCACGUGAUUCAUGAUCAGGGUCAUGUUUUUGGACCACAACAUAAACCUUCUCAGAAGACAACUCCUGAUGAACAGGAAUAGAGAAAGGUCGCAGUUCCUAAACAACAUAAAGAGUAUCGGAAGAAAGAUUCGCAGUCGAAGCUCUUGGAAGGCCCUAUUGGUAAUUUGACAACUGAUGCUCCUGGAGGGGCUAAUGCGGGGUCACUCUUGGGUCACCUUUCUUAUGAUAAAACAAAUGGAGGGGAGGAUGAUAUUGUAGAUAUGCCUCAUCUCGAGGAUGUCUCAGAUCAUGAUAGGUCCUCACCCAGGCACAGGUUGUUCACUCCACUUCUAAUACAGUUAAAGUUUCAAAACCGGGGAUGGUAAGGAAUUCACCGGUUGUUAUGCAAGUCAAGGGCUCAGAGUCACAACUUGUAGUAGAUUCAGUUACGAUUCCUAUUGAUGGUCAUCAUGAGGAGGUCUCAACUACUAUGGUUGUACCAUUUCCGUCACGUCAUAUCUUUCCUCAGAAGCCUAAAUCACUUGGGGAUGCUAAAGCACUAGUUACAACUUCUAUUAAUGGUCAUCAUGUGCAAGUCUCUACUAUUAUGGUUGUACCAUCUCCGUCGCGUCAUACCUCUCCUCGGAAGGCUAAAUCACUAGCGAAUGUUAAAGCACUACUCUCAGAUAACGAUAUGUUGGUCUUGCAAAAUCACUUUUCCUCUCUUGAUGGUUUGGAAACUACAGAUGCGGGAGGUGAUCCUCAUAAUGGUACGCCAAUUACUCCGACUGUCGUUAUUGAAUUUAAUUUUGAACAUAUAACUGUUGAAAAUCAGGUAGUCUCCAAAUUUUGGGCAAAUCCUAAUGAGAUGGAGGAGCAUGCUAGCGAUAUUGGGGAGGAAAUUGUUUGCACGAAAAGAAAACCAGGGAGACCACAUAAGGAGACUGGUAAAUCCAAAAAAAAACUGCUAAGGCAGUUCUCUCUAAAACGUCGCAAUAGAGGUCUUUUCAUUUCUUUGGAAUGUUAUAGGACUGAGAAACCACAAAAUUGUGAAGAUGUUGAUUAGCUUACAUAAACUCCUUCUUGUUUUUCUUGUUGGACCUAUGAUGUCAUACACUGAUGCUUUCGAUGUCCUUUUCAAAUCUGUUAAUAUGCAUUUGGUGACUACGUCUCCUAUUGUUAAUAAAGUUUUUAAGCUUUGGUGUUUGUCGGUUCCAAAUCUUGUCCAAAAUUUCUUGGUCAAUGAUCAAUUUAUUUUUGUAACUUGCCUUCUGUAUGAUAAAUGCUUUAGCUUUACAGGUGUUUAUGGUGCCAACACAUACUUAGUUAGAUGUUUUUUUUGGAGGGAUUUUAGUUUCUUCAUAGGGCCUUGGUGUAUUCUGGGAGAUUUUAAUGUUGUGCUCUCGGCGGAUGACUGCAAAGGGGGGUGGCUCCUAAUCAGAUUUCUCGUAAUGAAUUCCUUGAUCGGAUUAAUACUAAUGAUCUUUCUUGUAGACCUUUUACUAGACCUUGUUAUACUUGGUGUAAUGGAAGGAGAGUUUUGCAUAGAAGUUAUAGAAUACUGGAUAGGGCUUUAUGUAAUGGAGUGUGUCUAAAUGAAUAAGAUUCUUGUACUUAUUAGGUUCUUGUUAAAAAUUGUUUUAACCAUUCACAUGUUCUUGCUAGUCUUGCUAGUAAUUGUUUAAGGAAGGUUAGCAAUUUUUGUUUCUUUUUCUAUGUGACUUCAGGACACUUCAUGUAUGAAGCUUAUUCAUGAUUCUUAGGCUAAUAAGGUUGUUGGUUGUCAUAUGUUUAUUUUGCAACAUAAGUUAAAAAGGUUGAAAAUUGAGCUCUGAAACUGGAAUAAAAAUUCUUUUGGUAAUGUUCAAAAUGCAGUUCUUCUUAAGUAGGGUCUCUUCCUUGGUAUUCAACAAACAUUAGAGACUACUAGUUUGUCUGAUAUUGAUGGGUUUCUCUGUCAAGAAAAGAUUGCUAAGGAGGAACUUGAUCAUGCUUUUCACUAUCAAUAUUUGUUUUGGAAAGAAAGGGCCGAGAUGUUUUGGUUUAAAGAUGGGGAUAGAAAUACUGCUUUUUUCCAUGUUGUGGUCAAGAGGAGAAAUAAUUCUAGUGGGAUUCAUCGUCUACAGAUUGAUAAUGAGGUUAUUGAGGAACCUAAACUCAUUGAGGAUCAUAUUUUGAACUUUUAUACAAAUCUUUAUGCUGAGUUUAUUUCUAAUGUUCAAGAUACAAGAAAUUUGGAAGAUUUUAUUGGUACUUAUAUUCCCAAACUAGUUUCCUGUGAGGAGAAUAUGAUGUUGAUUAAAUGUCCUGAGUUUUUGGAAAUCAAAAAUGUUCUUUUUAAUCUUAAUGGUAAUAGUGCUCCUAGUCCUGAUGGUUUUGGUGGUGUUUUCUAUCAUUCUUGUUGGGAAAUUAUUGGGAUAGGUGUUUGCAAUGUUGUUCAACAGUUUUUAAACAAAAUUGGGUUCUCCCUGUAAUGAACAAAAAUGUGGUAUCUCUUAUUCCUAAGAUUCAGGGUGUUGAAUCCAUUAAAGAUUACAAGUCAAUUGUUGUUGCUAAUUUCAAAUUUAAGAUUAUUUCCAAGAUACUGGUGGAUAGGCUUGCACUUGUGGCUGCUAGAGUCAUUUCUCCUAAUCAAUAUGGGUUUGUGCAGGGUAGACAUAUUCAUAAUUGUAUUGAUAUUGCUUCUGAAGUUAUUAACAUGUUUUCUAAAAAGGUAAGAGGAGGUAAUGUGCCUUACAAAGUUGAUAUUCAUAAAGCCUUUACCACUAUGAGUUGGAAGUUCUUAUUAUUAGUUUUGACACGCUUUGGUUUUCACCCAUCGUUUGUCAGUUGGAUUAGUACAAUUCUUCGUUCAUCUAUGCUUUCUAUCAAAAUAAAUGGCAGUUUGGUGGGUUUUUUUCUUUAUAGUAGAGGUGUUAGACAAGGUGUUUCUUUGUCUCCUUUACAUUUUUGUCUUGCAGAGGAAGUUCUUAGUAGAGGUAUCUCUAAGCUUAUGAAUGAUAAGAAGAUUCUACACAUGACUAGUCCGUAAGGUUAUCUCACUCCCUCUCAUAUUUUAUAUGUUGAUGACAUAUUUGUUUUCUGUAAGGCAAAUAAUAAGUCUCUUAGAAAUUUGAGUAUUUUUCUUAAAAUAUAUGGUGAUUUUUUGGGUCAAUAAUAUAUGUUAAUAAUUCUAAGAGUAGUUUUUUCACCAUGGAUAUUCUGCAAGAUUUUGUCACCAUAAUUCAACGUAUUCUUUUUUGUAGUCAUGGUUGUUUUCAUUUCACUUAUUUAGGAGUGUCUAUCUUAGUUUGUGCUCCAAAGUGUCGAUUUCUUCAACCUUUGGCUGAUAAAGUCAAAUUGAAUCUAGAUUGGAAAGGUAAAUCUCUUAGCAUGAUGGGUCAGAUUCAGUUGGUCAAUAGGAUGAUUACUAGAUUUUUAUCUUAUAGCUUUAAUAUGUAUAAAUGACCUGUUUCACUUCUUAAGCAAGUUGAGCAGUGGUGUCGAAAUUUUAUUUAGACUGGUAAUAUUCUGAAAAAAGGCAUAGCUACCGUUAAUUGAGUGACGAUUUGUUCACCUCUUGAGAAUAGAGGUUUGAAGAUUUUUAGCCUUCAUCAUGAAAAUAAUGUGUAUCUUCUUAAGCUUGCUUCGAACUUUGCUUAUAGCAACAUGCCUUGGUCUUUUCUCCUGAAAGUCAGGGUUCUUAAAUACGAGUUUAGAAUGGUUUAUUGAUCCUCGUCUCCUUGACCUAGAAUUAAGCAGUUUUACUCUACUAUACUUGAUAAUAUUUCUUGGACUAUUGGUACAGGUAGUUUUAUUAAUUUCUGAAAUAUGAUAAAUGGUGUUCUACUACUUCUUUAACAAAUAUUCCAGGAUUAUUUGUUGGUGCUAGCAUUCCGAAUAUACAAUCUACUUUGAAAUGGACAAAUUCAAUAGCGAUCCUAAUCAUGCAAAACUUAGCAAAAAUUAAAUUAGAAAUAGUGUUAAAAAUAGUAAAAAUACCAGUAAACUUAUCAGUUGAACCUCUAAACGUACCAACUAGAAAAACCUCAACAACCCCUAAAGAAGUAACAAACUAGCUCUAGAAAGGAUUUCAAUUUUAUUAUGCUUUUCUAUUUUAUAUAACUAGCUUCCUUGGUUGUCUAAUAAAUUUGAACUUUUAUUUUGUAAUUAGAUUUGUUCCAUCUACUAGAAAUGUUUCCAAGCUAUCAUAUAAAGUGUAUUAAGUUACAAUUCCUUAAGUAUUGGAGAACAUGGGAAUGAUAACGAAAUCCAAUAAGGAUUCAAACAACAAUAUUGCAAUUAAAAUUAAAGAGAAAAUAAAAACAUUAUAAGAUGUCUACAACACCUUCAUCUUGGGUCAUCAUCAUCCAAACAUUUUCACUUGUGGCUUCAAGUUUUCUUCAUGACCAACAAGUUUUCUUGAUUACCAAAUGAACCUUGAAUCAGACGAAAAUACUUAACAAACUAAUUUAUUCAUUUAUUUCAUUAUUGUUUCUAACACUACAAAAUACGUUUAUAGACUAGAUGUUAUAGAUUUCGUCAUCAUAUUUCAUAAAAUAAUGGACCAUAAUUUUUCUAAAAGUUAAACAUUAAUUUUGUCCGGUGUAAAUAAUUCUUGAAUCACUUCCAACUGCAAAGGUCGUCUAGUAGAACUGAGUCCCUUAGCUAUAGUGGAAGUUGUUGAUUGAAAUGGAUUAGGAGGCAUAACAAACUGGUUUUCCUCUUCAGUUUCUAAGAUAAUUAGGCCAAAUUUAUGAAAAAAAUUAUAAAUAACUAUAUUUCAAAAAGUCAAAUCUAUUCGUUAAAAAAGUUGUCGAAUAUAAGAGAAUAAUUUCACCAAAGAAAACCAUACUUGGUAUUAAUAGCCAAAUUAGCUUUUAAAAUCUAAAAUUUUACUUAUAGACUUGUAUUUACUCCAUCUACUUCUAGGGACCUCAAAAUUGGUAUAAAAAGCUUGAACCACAGUAGUGAGUGGCAUUCCAACCAUAAUGAAUUACAUUUUUUUUUAUAAAAGCUUUCAUGUUAGGCAUCACUAUACAACUUGACAUCUCAGUUAGGCUGACACAUCAAGUAAUAACAAUCAUAUGCCAUUACAUGAAAAAAGUAUUAUUAAAAAAAAGAAAAAAGAAAGAAAAUAUAAAAAAAAUGGGGAAACUAGACCAAAACCCAUAUGUUACCAAAAAUAAUACAUUGGUAAACUAUAUCAAUUCAUAAAGAAUUCUAAGAACAGACUAGAUGGAAGGCUAUUAAACAAAUGAAAUGAUUCCCUAUGAAUAAAUCCUAAAUUAGCCAACUUAUCAGCACACACAUUCCCUUAACGAAAAAAUAUGAGUAAUUCUAAACCUGAUUUUCCCACAAUAAUUAAGACAAGUAUUCCAUCGAUUACGAAGCAUCCACACAACAUUAGUUCUAGUAGUAAAUGUAGCACAAACCAAGGUAGAAUCACAUUCAAGCCAUACAUUAGUAAGCCCGUCUUUUGAGCUUCCUCCAUAGCAUGUAUAAUUCCAUAAAACUUAGUAACCAUAACAGUCUGAACUUCAAGAAACCAGAGAAAGAACCAAUAAACUCCCCAUACUCCCAUGGAAAAAUCCUCCACAAGUAGCAAGACUAGAAUAUCCCCAUCAAUGUUAAUUUUAAUCCAUCUUGGUGAAGGGAACUCCCAUCUAACAAGAAGAGGACGAAGAACUUUACCAGUACGAGUAAAGGAGGCGCCUGAGGCCCAAGCCCAAGAAGCCCAAGCCCAAGUGGAAACCCAAGCCCAACCUAUGAGCUCAACAUCCUUCAUGCCUCAAAGGAUUACUAGGAGCAAGGCCAAGGCUUUGGGAGAAGAGCAUCAUUGGAUGUCUCUUUUUGUAAUUUCUUUUGAGUAGUUUUUUUGGUAGAACAUAAAAGGAAGGUGUAGAUAUAGAUAUAAGGGGUGCUAAUGUACAAAGGUAAGUCACACCUUCCAUGUGACAUAAAAGUAAGUGUAGAUAUAGUUUUAGGAGGUGCCAAAGUAAGAAAGCAAGUCACACCUCCCAUGUGGCUUGUUUUGGCGCCGAAUUUGAAUGGUUUGUGUUUGUAAUUUUGCCUCUUCAAAUUCAUCCCUCUCACACUAUAAAUAGAGGUGCCAUGCUCAUGUAAAUGCAGAUUGGAAAAUUGAAGUAAAGUUACUCUACUCAAAUUGAGAGAGAUUUGUGUGAGACUUUUUCUCCUUCAACUAGUCUUAUCUUGUGAGUUUUGGGAGCUCCAAGUGGCAGCAUCUUGCACUUAUCUUGGAUCAAUCACCAUCCAAGUGACAUGUUCUUCCUUUCCAUGGCUUCAACCACAUAAGUCUUUCUUAUUCCAUCUCCAUUUCCAUUUCUGAAUCAUGUUUUAGUAAUUCCAAUCAAUAGUUUUGUGUUCUUUGUCUUGUUCUUUCAUUUCAAUCGGUUAAUCUUGUUCAUCUUGUGUUUCCUUUCAAUUCUGCAUUUUAAUUCUCCAUUUCAAUCGGUUCAUUUGUUGUAUAAUGUGUUUUCUAUUCAUUUUAAUGACUUGUUCUUAUCUUCUUUAAGUUUCCGCAUCCUAAUCUUGUUCUAUUGUUGAUAGUUUGUGUUUUUGACUAUUCAUUUGUGGUAUAAGGAAAUGAAACUCAUGUUCAUGAGUUUGGUUCAUCAUUUGGAAGACAGUGAACUCCAUUGAUGUUUCCUUAAGCCUCCUUAAUGUAUUGCACCUUGUCUUUUUCCAAUUCAACUGACAUCAAUGAGCUUGCUCACUGUUGCGUGAUUCAUGAUCAGGGUCGUGUUCGACCACAACAUAAACCUUCUCAGAAGACAACCCUGAUGAAUAGGAAUAAAGGAAGGUCGCGGUUUCUAAACAACAUAAAGAGUAUCGGAAGAAAGAUUCGCAGUCGAAGCUCGUGGAGGGCCCUAUUGGUAAUUUGACUACCAAUGCUCCUGGCGAGGCUAAUGCAGGGUCACUCUUGGGUCACCUUUCUUAUGAUAAAACAAAUGGAGGGGAGGAUGAUUUUUCAUAUAUGCCUCCUCUCGAGGAUGUCUUGGAUCAUGAUAGGUCCUCACCCAGGCAGGGGUUGUUCACUCCAACUUCUGAUACAAUUAGGGUUUUAGAACCUGGGAUGGUAAGGAAUUCACCGGUUGUUAUGCAAGUCAAGGGCUCAGAGUCACAACUCGUAGUAGAUUCAGUUACGACUCCUAUUGAUGGUCAUCAUGUGGAGAUCUCUGUUACUAUGGUUGUACCAUCUUCAACGCGUCAUACCUUUCCUCAGAAGCCUAAAUCACUUGGGGAUGCUAAAGCACCAGUUACGACUUCUAUUGAUGGUCAUCAUGUGGAAGUAUCUACUAUUAUGGUUGUACCAUCUCCGUCAUGUCAUACCUCUCCUUGGAAGGCUAAAUCACUUGGGGAUGCUAAAACACUACUCUCAUAUAAUGAUACGUUGGUCUUGCAAAAUCACUUUUCCUCUCUUAUGGUUUGGAAACUACAAAUGCGGGAGAUGAUCCUUUUAUUGGUACACCAAUUAUUCUGACUGCCAUUAUUGAAUUUAAUUUUGAACAUAUAACUGUUGAAAAUCAGGUAGUCUCCAAAUUUUGGGCAGAUCCUAAUGAGAUGGAGGAGCAUGCCAGCGAUACUGGGGAGGAAAUUGUUUGCACUAAAAGAAAACCAGAGAGAUCACCUAAGGGGACUGGUAAAUCCAAAAAAAAAAACUGCUAAGGCAGUUCUCUCUAAAACGUCGCAAUGAAGGUCUCUUCAUUUCUCUGGAAUGUUAUAGGACUGAGAAACCACAAAACUGUGGAGAUGUUGAUUAGUUUACUUAAACUACAUAAACCCCUUCUUGUUUUUCUUGUUGAACCUAUGAUGCCAUACAUUGAUGCUUUCGAUGUCCUUUUCAAAUCUGUUAAUAUGCAUUUGGUGAAUACGUCUCCUAUUGUUAAUAAAGUUUCUAAGCUUUGGUGUUUGUUGAUUCCAAAUCUUGUCCAAAAUUUCUUGGUCAAUGAUCAAUUUAUUUCUGUAACUUUCCUUUUGUAUGAUAAAUGUUUUAGCUUUGCAGGUGUUUAUGGUGCCAACACAUACUUAGUUAGAUGGUUUUUGUGGAGGGAUUUUAGUUUCUUCACAGGGCCUUGGUGUAUUUUGGGAGAUUUUAAUGUUGUGCUCUCGACGAAUGACUGCAAAGAGGGGUGGCUCCUAACGAGGUUUAUCGCAACUAAUUCCUUGAUUGGAUUAAUACUAAUGAUAUUUCUUGUAGAUCUUUUACUAGACCUUGUUAUACUUGGUGUAAUGGAAGGAGAGGGUUGCAUAGAAGUUAUAGAAGACUGGAUAGGGCUUUAUGUAAUGGAGUGUGUCUGGAUGAAUGUGAUUCUUGUACUUAUCAGGUUCUUAUUAAAAAUUGUUUUGACCAUUCCCAUGUUCUUGCUAGUCUUGCUAGUCUUACUAGUAAUUGUUUAAUGAAGGUUAGCAAUUUUCGUUUCUUUUCUAUGUAACUUCAGGAAACUUCAUUAUGAAGCUUAUUCAUGAUUCUUGGGCUAAUAAGGUUGUUGGUUGUCCUAUGUUUAUUUUGCAACAUAAGUUUAAAAGGUUGAAAAUUGAGCUCUGAAACUGGAAUACAAAUUCUUUUGGUAAUGUUCAAAAUGCAGUUCUUCUUAAGCAGGGCCUCCUCCUUGGUAUUCAACAAACCUUAGAGACUGUUAGUUUGUCUGAUAUUGAUGGGUUUCUCUGUCAAGAAAAGAUUGCUAAGAGGAACUUGAUCAUGUUCUUCACUGUCAAUAUUUAUUUUGGAAAGAAAGGGCCAAGAUGCUUUGGUUUAAAGAUGGAGAUAGAAAUACUAGUUUUUUACAUGUUGUGGUCAGGAGGAGAAAUAAUUCUAGUGGGAUUCAUCGUCUACGGAUUGAUAAUGAAGUUAUUGAGGAUUCUAAACUCAUUGAGGAUCAUAUUUUGGACUUUUAUACAAAUCUUUAUGCUGAGUCUAUUUCUAAUGUUCAAGAUACAAGAAAUAUGAAAGAUUUUAUUAUUACUUAUAUUCUUGAACUAGUUUCCUCCGAUGAGAAUAUGAUAUUGAUUAAAUGUCCUGAAUUUUUAGAAAUCAAGAAUGUUGUUUUUAAUUUUUAUGAUAAUAGUGCUCCUGGUCCUGAUAGUUUUGGUGGUAUUUUCUAUCAUUCUUGCUGGAAAAUUAUUGGGACAGAUGUUCGCAAUGUUGUUCAACAAUUUUUUAAAUAAAACUGGGUUCUCCCUAUAAUAAUUUGUUUGUUUUUUAUUUUUGCAAUCAGUUGCAGGAACCACAUAGAAAAGAUAAAAAAAGGAUUUGUGAUUUUUCAUUAGUCAAAGUCUGCGUUAUGGAAAAAUGAAAUCCCUUAAUUAGGCCAGUGUCAUAAUUUAUCGAUAACUAUUAUCGUACAUUUAAUUCUAUUAAUGUCAAGGUAGGUGCAUAUUAAGUGCCAAGAAUUGACUCCCCAAAGCAAUAAUGUAGUGAGAGUCACAAUCGUAUACAAGACCACCUUAUCAAAUUCUUCGAAAUUCACAGGUAUAGUGUCUGAAAUUCCUUCUAUUCACAUUGUCCUAUAUCUUCCACGCCUAAUACUGCAGAAAAGUCAAGCCAAUGACUAAUGAAUAGUCCAUGUGACAAUAACAAAAGUUUCUUCCAAGAAAUAACUGGAGUUUGUUCCAAGAAACACAUAAAGAUUAAUAAGUACUCUCUCUUUACUUUCAAUCUUUUUUUUUAAAAAAAAACUAAGGAGCUUAAGUAUAAGCAAAUUUCAACAUCCUAAACUACAGUUAUCUUUAAAAGUAAGUACAUUUUUUUAAUAUAAAUUCUAAAAUUAAUAGUUAAAAUUUUGAUGACUAAUUUAAAGACUAAUUUAUAAAUUUAUUAACAACAAAAAUUACUUUAAAUAUUAAUAAUUUUUUAAUUUAUAAAAUAGUAUCUAAUUUAAUUAAUGAUUAAUUAUUUUUUAUUUUUGAAAAUAAUUUUUAUUUAAUAAUUUUUUUAUGUAGUAAUUGAAUUCGAUAUAUGAAGAAGUUAUAUAGUAGUUAAAACUACAAGUUUGAAAAAAAUCAUAAAAUAAAAUAAAAAGAAAAAUCUAAGUCAAUGAACGUGAUAUUCUAACUAAAUUGACAUAUCAACCCUCACAAAUAUUUUACACCACGUUAAAUCAAUAAAAAGAAGAAAAAAAAACAUUUAUAAGGGUACUAGGCAAAAAUCAUGAAACAAAUUACAAAAAAUAAUAUUUCAAAAAGUCAUAUAUUCUUAGAAAAACACCAAAACAAGAGUAAAUAAUUUCACCAAAAAUCAGAUUUGGUUUAGGCAGAGUAGCUAAAAUAUCAACAUAUUUAUUUCCUUUUCGUGUAAAUAUAAGAAUUUUUAAAAUCCAAAAAUUGACUUAUAGACUUGCAUGUAUUCCACCUACUUCUAAUUUUCCAAGGAACCUCAAAGUUAGAAUAAAAAGCUUGAACCAGAGUAUGUGAGUGUCAUUUCAACAAUAAUGAAUUACAUUAUGAUUUCAUGGAAAAUUUCAUUAGCGAUCAUAAUAAUGUUAAACUUAGCAAGGAACAUUAUUAAAAAUAGAAAAAGCAUCAAUAAACUCACCAAUUUCACCAAUUGAAUCUCUAAAAGAUGUAGAAAGACCUGAACCCCGUAAGUAACAAACUAGUUCUAGAAAGAAUUUCAAUUUUAUUAUUUUUAUUUUAUUUUAUAUAACUAGCUUCCUUCCUUUCCUCAUAAAUUUGCAUUUUUAUUUUGUAAUUAGAUUUGUUUCAAAAAUUUGUAAUUAUAUUUGUUCCAAAGUGUAUUAAUGAUGGACGAGAGCCCAAGCUCACCACACAAUGAAAGCCAAGCCUCCAAGACUAGACGGUCUAGCCUAUGAUGGGGAGCGUCUAGACUCAAAAAGGAGCGUCUAGCCCAUGAUGAGGAGCGGCUACAUAAGGAGCGUCUAGGCCAUGAUGAGGAUUCCUUCUAGACCGUCUAGCUUCACAUACACAUGGGUCAAAGCUACGGUUUUGGGAAGAGAAGACCUUUGUAAUUGUUACAUAAAGGCCUAUUGGGGGUGCUUAGUAAUUAGAGUAGUGUAGAAAGCAUAUUUGUGUGAACAUUCUAGAAAGACCAUGGAGGGGGUGAGCAUAAAAACUAGACACACCCCUCCCCAUGUGCUCAUUUGUGCACCCAUGUGCCAUGUGCACCCAUGUGCUUCACAUUUACAUUUCAUUUGGCUAGCAUUAGGGUUGCAUUAUGGUCCUCCUUAGCCUAUAAAAGGAUGAGCCUACACCUUGUAUUUGGCAAGUUUAUUGUGAGUAAAGUUAUGCUGCCAUUUUGUGCCAAGCUUUGCUUCUCCCUAGAAUCCUAGGCUCUAAACUUCAAUUCCUUCAUCUUUUCCCUUGGGCUGGCCGAACCACCCAAUACCCACACUUAACAUGCACCUACAAGAUCAACACCACUCUUAGGAGGAUCUUGCUCACCUCAUCCAUUGCUUUCGCCCCUUUGCUCUACUUUGAUUCAAGAAGAACUUCAUGAAAAUGCCAUCAUUUGGUACAAUUUCUUAAACCUUUAACAACAUGGAAAUGAUACUUAAAUCUCAUAAGGAGCAGUAUUGGUUACAUUUUAAGGUAACUUGUUGAUUUUGUUAACUUAAACCAUAUUUUAUGUUAAAUUUAUAAUGUUCUCUUGUUUGGCCACUAAGGGAUCUCUCGAGAAAUGUCAAAAUCAAAUAUCUUUUAAAUAGUUUGUCAAAACUACUUUAUACUACUUCAUUUGAAAUAUCUAGACUACACCCACUUCUUAAUCAACAUGUUCCACUAAUGUAAAUUAUCACUACAAAAAUACAAGGUACUUAUUAUUUAAACCUAGUCAUUUUUUGUUAAACUACAAAUAUAGUUUGGACACAACCACUUCUAGUUAAAAAAACACAAGUAUUUUUUAAACACAAUUACUUCUAGCUAAGUAUGAAUAGUGUUUGGACCCAACCACUUCUGACUAAAACACUUCGAUAAAAAAAAGUUUGUAAUUUAAACGAUCGCAGAUAUUCGCAAAUCAAAAGAGAAUAGCGUCUUAGGACGAAUACAAGAUUGAGUACUCUUUUCUAGAUUGUUAUAAACAUAAAUAAUGUUCGUCCACUACAAGAAAACAAGUUAUUAGCUUCCAAAUACUUGCGUGGGCCAACAACGGACGCUAAUAUCGUCGGACAAAAUGGCGCAAAACCCACACAAAAUAGCAUGACACAAAAUGGAUGCACUUAUGGAUUUAAUUUUUAUUUUUUUUAAAAAAUCCAGUUUGCAGUUGCGGCCCACGCAUAUGCGUCGGCUUGCGUGUCGGCUUGCGUCGGCCACGGCCCACUCAUGUUUAUAUUUUAAGAUUUUAAAAUUAUUUAUUUAAAUUUAUUUAAUGUAUAACAUUAUAAGAAAUAUUUUAAUAUUUAAUUCUUUAUUGUAUUUAUUUUAAAAUUAUUUCUUUAAUAUUAUAAUAAAUUAUUUAAUUUAUCAAUUUUUAAUAUAAAUUAGUUAAAUUAAAUUAUUAAAUUAAUUAAGUGUUUGAUUUAAAAUUAAUUGAGUAAAAGAAAAGAUGUAUUUAAAUUAUUUAAAUGUUAUAUAAAAUAUUUUAUUAUUUUAAAGAUUAUUUAUUUUAAAUUUAUUUUAUUUCUAUAUUGUCAUAUAUAAAUUAAACAAUAUAGAUUAUUAUUUGUUAUAUAUUUUAAAAUAAAUUUUGUUGUAUAAAUGAAAUGAAUUAUUUUUGUUGUAUAAAUUGAAUUUAAUUGUUUUGUAUUAAUUAAAGAAUUUUUUUUAUAAAUUAUAUACAGUUUUUUAUACAUUAAAUUUAUUUAUUUGUUGUAUAAAUUUAAAAUAAAAUGAAUUGAAUUUUUGAAAGUUUUAAUAUAAUUUUUAUUAAAUUAUAUUUAAUGUACAUAUUUAAGAAAAUUUUCAGGUGCCCCACAUUAAAAAUAUUAAUAAUAAGUAUAAUAAAAAUCAUUAUAUCACAAAAAAACUUGUCGGUGUAGUAGUUAAAACUUCUUUGUCAUUGAGAGGACUUGAGUUUGAGUCUUGCCCACUACAGUACAUAAGUGUCCGUUUUUGGCCGCGUAAUGCAUAGAACCUGAGACAAAUUACUAACUUCACAAGACUGUCAUUCAAUUUUUUCAAAAAAAUUGUUUGUAUGGAGUAGCUUUAAGCAUAUUCUUUAAGAGAUUUGAUUUUAACACUUUAAAAAAAAAUCCUCUUUCCAGAAAUAAAUAAACAAACAUUCUUUGCACACAAAUUAUAGUCAUUUAUAAGUUUUUGAUGUGUACUAUGAAUGCUUACACUUUGUAUCAACUUUAUUUGUCUAAAUAAGAAAUUAUCAUAGGGAAGUGUACAACCAAAGCCAUUGUGUCUUGGUUUAAAUGAAGCAUGCAUAGUUGUAUAUAUUCAAUAAGACAAACUAGAUAACCAAAAAAUGCGCGUAUGUAAAAAAUUAAUACUAAUAAACUACAAAUAAAAAAUACAUUUAAAGGAUAUGAACUUUGAUGUAUCAAAUAUUAUUCUAAUCAUUAUACUAUUUUUAUUUUUAUUAUUUAUUGAGUUACUUUUUCAUUUGUUAUGUAGUUCAAAUUAAAGAAAAAAUAUUCAACAUGAAAUAACUCAUAUUUUAUUACAUAAUUAAUUGAACAUAGUUAAUAUUUUAUUACCCAUAAUAAAAAUUGUAAAAGAAAUAGAUAUAACCCUAGUUGAAAUUGAGAAAUAAAAAAAAUAAAAAUUAAAUCUAAUUAAUCAACUAGCUUAAAUAAAAUGACUUGUCUAAGUAAAAUAAAAAACAUAUCUAAUUUUUAAAAAUAAAUACAAAUGAUAAAUUUUGUAAUAAAAAAUUAAUGACUUUUUAAAGGUUUAAAAUUAUAAUUAUAUAAAAUAUAAUUUUAAAUUAAAUAUAUAAAUGUUUUAUAUAAUAAAACUUGUUUAUUUAUUUAUUUUAUAAUUGACAAUUUGCUGGAUUUACUACAAGCAGUCAUGAAUCAGUACCAGUUGAUUCUAGUAAAAAAACUUAUUCGAUAGUUGUUGCAAAAAAAGAAUUAUAUCUCAAAUUUGGAUAUUUUUGUACUGGUUUACUUACUGUUCUUGUGUAUGUGAAAUUUGCCUUUAAAUAUAAGCUUGGAUUCAGUUGGCAGUAGAAGUUUAAACAGAAAAGAAUUUGGGCGUGAGCAUGUGGAGAGAGAGAGGUUUGAUAGUCUUGCUGUUUCUGCUCUUCCAAAUUCAUGGAGAAGAUGCUUGCCCCCCCUCUUCCUGUGGGAAAAUCAGCAACAUAUCUUAUCCAUUCCGAUUGAAAGGAGAUCCACAAGGAUGCGGUCUCACCAUGUAUGAGCUAUCUUGUGAAAACAAUAUAACGCGCUGGUCUCUUUGUACUUGGGAACAUUUCAUGUGCAGGCCAUCAACUACAAUAAUUUUACAAUCCGAGUGGUGGAUCCUGGACUUCAACAAUCAAACUGCUCUUCUCUUCCUCGCUAUUUCUUCUCUCCAUCCAAUUUCACUCAUUCUUAUCUAACAAUGAUUCCGUAUCCCCUAUAUAUUCACCCCAAACAUGGUUCUUCUGUGUGGAAUUAUCCCGAGCGGCUUGUUGACGAGCAUAUAGUGUUUUGGAAUUGUAGCCAUCCAGUGACUGGGAACCCUAAGUAUGUGGAUACCCGUGGAUGCCUGAACUGGAAGUGGAAAGGCUACAUAUACGCUGUGGCUGGUGACCUAAUUGCAGAGGACAUUGAAGUUGGUUGUGAAGUGAAGCUGGUUUCUCCCACAUCUUGGAGGGGUUUGGACACAAAUACAUAUUCCUAUGACAUGAUGCACACAGCGCUACUCUAUGGAUUUGAGCUUUCAUGGAUUCCUCUCGCCUGUGAGGAUCGUUGUUCAGAUAUUGACUGCUAUUUCAGUUCUUCCAGCCACACGCUUCAAUGCUACAACGAAAGUAGGGCAGUGAAGGCUUUCUUUAAUGUUUUUUUUUUUCAAGAAAAACUAAACCUACUUGUUCUGUUAAAUUUGUGUUUCUUUGACAAAAAUGUUUAUUUCACACUCAAAAAGAAAACCACAUAAUUACAUUUGAAAACCAAUUUAUAAUAAUAUAAUAAUAUUUUUUUAUUACUUUUUAUAUUUACUGGCUAAACACUCUAUGGAUACGAUUUUGUUAUUAUAUUCUCUUAUAAAAUUUUUAUAAAUACAUAUAUAUUAUUUUUUAUUUUAUGCGAGCUUUUUCUUUUAUGAAAAUAAAAUAAUAAAAUAUAUAAUUUAUUAUAUUGAAUUUAUAUUAUAAUAAAAAAAUUAUAAAGAAUAAAAUAUUUUAAGUAUUUAUAAUUUAAUUACAUGUAAAAUGCAAAUAGUUAUUUUUUCACAAUUAGUUUUUUUCCACUGUAUUUUUUAUUUUUGUAAAUUUGUAUUGUAAUUUAAAAAUAUUAUUAAAGAUAAAAUAGAAAAAAAUUGUAUAUACAAAAUCAUAAAUUCUUAUUAAAUAAUUUUAUAAAUUAUAGAUAAAUGUAUCUAGAUAUUUUAAAAAAUCAAACCAAACUAAAUCAUUUUAUAAAAAUAGUUUGGUUUCAAUCCAUCUAUUUCCAUAAAAAAUUUCAAAACCCUCUAAAACCGUUUAAUUAUUAAAUAAUUUCUAUAAUUAUCUAUUAUAAUAAUAAAAAUAGUAAUGAUAUAAUCUUUAAUGAUUAAUAAAUGAUUAUUUUGUACAUUUUUAUAUAUUUUAUUAUAAAUCUUACCUUAAUGUUUGGGAAACUAUUCUUUAUUAUUAAUUAUUAUAAUAACUAAAUUUUUAAAUGUGUAAGUUUUUAUUAUAUUAUAAGAAAUGUACAUACCCUAGCAAAUUUAACUAGAUAGUCUUCCUUGUUGCGUUGUGCUCCUCUGGUAUUGAUACUCUGUUUCUUCUUUGGGUGAACAGAGAGGAGGGGACAUUCAUCCAACCUCAACCUGUAUAUUUUUAGUAAGAAUUCUAUCUCUUUGGAUUGCCUAUGUUUGAAGUAGUGUGUACUACCAAAAGCUAAUUUCGAUUCUACGUACUUAUUAUAAUUUUUUUUCAUUUUUUCAUGUUCAAAUAUAGUUUUAAUCUCUUAAUUUAAAUUUGAAUUUUUUAUGUUGGUUUUCUAAAUUAAAAUUAUUUUCUCCUCCAUUUUGAAAAUGAAUUUUUUAAUCUCUCUAUGUACACCGUUAAAUACUGAUGUGAUUAAUGUUAUGUUUUCUAACUACUUAUAAAAUAUGAAUUUUAAUAAAAAAUUAAAAUCGUAUUAUAGUUAAAAAAAAAAAUUAUUUGUGAAGGGUUUUAACAGUAGUAAUUGAGAAGAAUUAAACAAAAGAUAAAAAUAUAUGAAAAGAAAGAGUAAUAAUGUUUCUAAUAUUGGUCACAUUAUGAAGUCUAAAGAUUCAAGUCAGAAAGAGACAAAAAUAUAUAAAUAUGAAAAUAACAUCAAGACUAAAUUAUUCUUAAUAAUAUAUAUAUAUAUAUAUAUAUAUAUAUUAUUUAGCAUUUUUUAAAAUUUAUGAUGCAUUGGUACGAAACAUUAAAAGUUUAUCAGUAAAAUAAGAAAACGUUUAACAAAGUGUGGUUUUGUAAAUAAAUCAACAAUAGGCAUAAACGAACAGAUGAAAGGCAACAUAAUAGUUUCAUGUUAAAGUUGAUAACGAGUAAAAUGAGAAUUAAUUUCAAUAUAUUUUAUGCACUGAAUAAAGGUUAAAUUACAAAGAAUUUUGAAUAAAAUAAUAUAUAUUGUUACAAUAUAUGAGUUGAUGUAGAAAAAGAAACAUAUAUGUCAAAGAGAAGCCAAGGCAAUCAAAUUACAUCACUGGUGGGUGACUAAAGCCAAGACACGAUAGUAGAUGAACGAGAAAAAGUAUCUUAUUUAUUGUUUUUCGAAAACAAUAAGAGAAUCUCCUAGAAAUACAAAAACUUCUAGAAAUUCUAACUAAAUUUUUAAUUACGUAAGUGUUUAUAUAGUAAGAAAUGUACAUACCGUAUCAAAUUUUUGUAAUAGAUUUUGGUAUAUACAAUUUUAUCUAUGUUAUAAUAACGUUUUGAUAACUAUUUUUUUUAUUCUGGUUAAGGUUAUGGUAAGUGUUUUGGAUAGUUAUAGUAACUGAUCUUUAGCAAUAUUUAAAUGAUUUAUUAAAUUCCUUUUAACAUGUCAAUAAUGCUAUAUAUUUAUUGAUAUAGUCAUGGUCAUUUCACUCGUUUGGAUUCAAAAUUUCAAACUUUAUAACAAUAAUCUUUUCCCAAUCCAUAAUUUUUGUAUCAACGAGUGUCUUUCUAAUUAAUUGUGUAUUUUAUCUUGAAAGAAAUUGAUAUUUUUCUUCAAUUAAUCACUGACUAAAGGGGACUUUUAUUUAUCUCCAUUGACUUCUUUAAUAAAUAUCAAUAUUUAUUCAAUUAACUCCAUAUAUAAAUUAGAUAUUGACUGAUUAUGAGUGAAACCAUCUUUUAUCUAUUAAAACAUAAUUGGACUGCUAAAAACUAUAUUUUGACAUUUUGUAAAACUAAGUUUCAAAAGUGUACACUUAUUGUCAUAAAUUUCCAUUCCAUAUUAUCGAUAAAGUAUCACUCUAUUAAUUAAAUAUUUUUUAAAACAAAAAUUAAUUAUCAGUUCUUUUUUAUAUUUUACCUGCAUUAUGCAUUAACUCAUGUAAAAUAUUUUCUGGUUUCAAAAAGAAAUAAAAUCAUUUAGACAGAUUAUGAAGAUAACAUUUGUGAAAUUAUGCAAAUAACCUCUGAUAUUGGUGCUUUAUUCCUUUUCUGAUGAAUAGGGAGACCUCCGAGGUGGCUGAUGAAAUUUUUGGGUAAGAAUUCUACCUCUUUGGAUUGCCUAUGUUUGAAUUGGUAACCAAAAACUAAUUUUGAUUCUACAUAACUGUCAUGUUACCUAAUGUACAUUUUUUCAUGUUUAAAUAUAGUUUUAAUAUCUUAAUUUAAAUUUGAUUUUUUUUUAUGUUGGUCAGUGUACUGUCAAAUACUUAAUUGAUGUGAGUCAUAUUGUGUUUUCUAACUAUUUAUAAAAUAUGAAUUUUAAUGCUUUCUAAUAAAAAAAUUUAACUGCUAUUAUAGUUAAAAAAUAUUACUUGUGAAAGAUUUUAAGAAUGAUAAUUGACAAUAAAACAAAAAAUAAGACAUAUGAAAGAAAGAGUAGUAGAGUUUCUAAUAUGAAUUCAUAAAUAUAUAAUUAUGAAAAUAGCAUAAAAAUUAAAUUAUUCUUAACUAAUAUAUGUAUUAUAUAUAUAUAUAGAUGAAAACAUGAAAGAACUCAAACCCAAGCCCCAAAUCAAUAUUGCCAGGACUCGAACCCAAGUCCUUCCAGGAAGGAGAAGAGUUAACCACUAGACCAGACAAGUUCUUUGAUCAUUUUUACUAUACUUAUUAUUAUAAAUAUUAUUAAUAUUAUUAUCAAUUUUUUUUAUUUUUCAAAAAUAAUUUCUCUUAAUAACAUUAAAAUGAGAAGUUAAAGAGUAUACAGUUAAAGAGUAGUGUGUAUCCGCAUCAAUUUCUCUUAAUAACAUUAAAAUGAGAAGUUAAAGAGUAUACAGUUAAAGAGUAGGUUAAUAAAAUAGUGGAGAGCGGUAAUUAAAAGUUACAUACGGUAAAGAGAAUGAAUGAAUUUUCAAAAUUUAAAAUUCAAAAUUGCUAUUUGAAUUCAAAACCGUCUCUCAAGAUAGAAAAUAAUUAAAUAGAAUUUGAGUUUCACAUUUUUUUAUAAUUUUUAAUAUUUUAUUAAUUAUGGGUAAAAAUAUAUGUAUUUGGUAAUAGUUAAAAUUUAUUUAAAACUACAAACUCAACCGAAAAAAUAAUUAAAUAGAAUUUGAGUUUCAUAUUUUUUUUAAUAACUUUUUAAUAUUUUAUCAAUUGUAGGAAUUAAACCAAUAUUUUUCAUUAGGUCUAUAAACAACCAAUAAUAUAUGACAAUUAUUACAAUACAUAUGACACCAUUAAACAAACAAUAAACAAAAAAUUCAUCCUCAAUUGUUUGAAAAAUAUUAUAUACAAAAGAAGAAAAUGCAAUGAAAUUUGCUUCUCUUUUCUUCACCUUAGACCCUUGGACCUGUAUAGAGACUCAUUUAAAUUGUUCCCAUCUUUCGCACCCAAAUCUAAUGUUCCUUCGUGUUAGAAUCUUACGAUUGGGAGAGUGAGCGCGACAACGAAACUCAGUUUUUCCUUUUUGCUUCUCUGAUUCCUCUAUUUUGCUAUGAAUAUUAACUCUCUACAAUUAACAAAUAAAAAACAAACAAAAUAUUAGUAUAACAUGUAAAACAUAGAUUUAAGAACACAAUGACAUACCUUCUCUGCAUAAUGCUCUAUGUUGAGCAAACAUAUUUUGAAGGUGGUCUCUAAAAUCAUAACUUUAUGAAAAGUUAAGAUAAUUUCAAAAAUCAAAACCUAAAAGAAGAAAAUAUAGAGGAAGAGCAAAGAUAAAAAAAAUGGUGAUGAUAGAAAACUUAAAAAUCAAAUUAGAAGUAACUUUUCCGUAAAAUAUGAGGAAAUGAGAAUAUAGUUUAGUUAAUGAUCUGUAUGAUUUCAUUUAAAUCCAUAAAAUUGUUACCAAAAAGGGUCUUAUUGCCUCCUCUUGUUGAGUCCUUCUUAUCCCGCUAGUCACAUGUUUCAAUCAUAAUUUCAGAAGACAAAUUAGUNNNNNNNNNNNNNNNNNNNNNNNNNNNNNNNNNNNNNNNNNNNNNNNNNNNNNNNNNNNNNNNNNNNNNNNNNNNNNNNNNNNNNNNNNNNNNNNNNNNNNNNNNNNNNNNNNNNNNNNNNNNNNNNNNNNNNNNNNNNNNNNNNNNNNNNNNNNNNNNNNNNNNNNNNNNNNNNNNNNNNNNNNNNNNNNNNNNNNNNNNNNNNNNNNNNNNNNNNNNNNNNNNNNNNNNNNNNNNNNNNNNNNNNNNNNNNNNNNNNNNNNNNNNNNNNNNNNNNNNNNNNNNNNAAAUAUCUUUAAUUUUUUAUUUAAUAGAGAAGAAGAUCUUUAAAACAGAAAAGUAACUAAUCACUCUCUCCACUCUCCACUUAAAUAAUAACAAAUAAAAUAAAUUUUAAAAUUAAAAAUUAUUUUAUUAAUUUUUGAAAUUAUAAAAUGUCCAAAUAACCAAAAUAAAUUAAUACAAUAAAUUAUUAAGUAAGGAUAAAAUGGAAAAAAAUUAAGAGCAGUUAAGAGGGGAAUAAGAAAUGACACAAUGACCAUAAUACAAUAAUAAAAUUAAAUAUUAAUAUAAGAAUAAAAUAAGAAAAAAAAUUAAGAGCAGUUAAGAGGGGAAUCCCCUUUAUAUAUAGGUAUAAAUAUUAUUAAUAUUAUUAUAAAUAUUAAUAAUAUUAUUAGUAUUAAUAUUCAUAUUAUUAAUAUUAUAUUCAUAUUAUUAAUAUUAAUAUUGUUAAUAACAAUAAAUAUAAUAAAAAUCAUAAUAAUACUAAAGCAUUUGCUUGGGUAGUGGUUAAAUUUUCUGAGUUAUCUGAAAGAACCUAACUUUGAAUCCCAUUCACAGCAAAUUUUAUAUUUUGGCGCCAAAAGUUACAUACGGAAAAAUCCGUAUGUAAUGUUUUACAUACGGAAAUCCGUAUGUAAUAUUCCGUAUAUAAUUCGUGUUUUUCUUGUAGUGUAAUAACUAUGAAGAACUUCUUAAACUUAGUGUAGGAGCUUGUUUGAGACCAUAAAAAUCCUUUCUUAACUUACACAUCACUUUUGGAUUAUGAGAAACACUAAGAGCAAUCUUAUACAAAGUAGAAAGUUCAUAUUGCAUAGCCUAUUGACAAAUGUAAAGUAUCAGGCGAUCUAUCACCCAUUAGAAUGAGAGUCUUAGAGUUUUGAUGAUCACAAUACACUUUAAGGUGUGUUAUAUGUUUAACCAAGCUCACUCAUGUACAACAUAAAAGAAACAAUACAUCAAACCAUACAUGAGAUGAAACAUUGCAGGAAAUACAUAGAUAUAGAGACACACUAGAAGAUGGAGUUAUAAACACAAAUGUCAAACUAAAUGAGUGUUAAAAGAACACUUCAAAAGCUCGCAUUAUAUGAUAAUCUAGAAGGAUGAGAAAGACCUUAUCAUACAAGCACAAGAAUAACUACAACAUCAAUUGGAAACGUCAAGACGAAGUCAUUAAACGAAUAAUGUGCUCAUGAGAUUACAAGAUAAAACUAAGAGCAUAAAAUAAUGAUAGUACAAAAGUGUACUAUAAAAUGAGCAUAGAAAGAAUUAUUCAUGGUUAGCAAGACAAACAGAAUAAAGGACUCUACAAAAAGUAGUAGGCGAAGUCUACAAAGAACUCAAUCGACCAAGAGUCAUAUACAACGUGUUAGACGAAGUUCGAACACCAUAGAGCUUAAAGAUAAAUGCAUAAGAUGAUGUUGCUAAACGCGUUAUGCUACACGCAAGAAAACAUAAGUGUUACAAAGACCAGACGUUGAUCAAAUGAACAUAGGAAAAGAAGAUCAUGUGCUAGAUGAACAAGUUUUAAGGAAGUUUCCAUACUUAAUCCUUUCACUUUUACAUGAGCUCUUCAAAUGUUCUAAAUAUGUUUUGAUUAUAUUAAGUUAUACAAAUCAUAUUUAGUCAGAACGCAAUGUUUUAAUUAAAACCCUAGAAUGUUUUCAAAUGAGUUUCAACGAAUAUAUCUUGUGACUAAUUUGUCCAAUAUAUUGAAAAAAUUAUAAGCUUAAUUGAUGUAUCUAUACAAAAUAUAUUUUUUAAAAACACAAAGUUACUUAAUUGAGAUUUAAAUUUGUGUUUGAAAAGGUUUUGUGGAAUAUAUUCAAGAGAAAUUAUGGUUGAUAAUGAAAGAAAUUUAAUCUGGAUGAUUAACUUCAAUAUAUUGAUUAUGUGUUUUGAAUUAAUAUCUAAGAAUGGAAUGUAUUGAUAAUUCAUCUGAUAUUCCAAGAUAUUAAGAAAUUUUUAUUUUGUGACAUAUUUGCUCUAAGAUAUUGCAAAUAUUAAAUCACUGAUAAUCACAAAGGUUUCCUAAUAUGAUUUUAAGAAUCUUCAAGACGCAGAGGAGAAUGAGAACAAGUUUCCUUUUCAAGCAUCCAAUGGAUACAACAAAGUUAUUGCAUAGCGAGAUUUGUGGAAUACAAUUAUUCAAGUUGUUGCUCAUAAAAGGAGAAAGAGAAUCUCGAAAGAGAUUAAAUUGAGAAGACAACAAGUGAGAAUGAGCAUUAAAUAUGCAAGCCAUAACUUUCAUUAUUCAGCAUCUGAUAUGUUCAAGAGUCAUCACAACAUUCAAGAAAGAGCUCAUUUAAGAAGAUUUGCGAAGAACAAGUACGUGACUAAGUGAAGAGCGUAAUUUAUGCUAUGGAGAACGAGAUUCAAGAAACAUAAGAUAAAUUAGAUCAAUGUUCCCAAAAGAGAAAGAAAUUGUAAAAACUUGAGACGCAAAGCAAAUACUUCUAUACUCAGCGUUGAAAGAAAUUACUGUGAAAGCAUCUGUAAAAAAGAUAUGAUUGAAGAUUCAAGUCACAAGAUUUAAAGGAUUAAUGUUCACAUAAUAAUAUCAUAAAGGAAUCAAUUCAAAUUGUUUCUAAUCAUUAAAGACACAAAGAAUAUAAUCUAAGCAUAAGUUGUCAUAUUUAGCAUCCAAUGAUGAACAAUGCGCGAAAUUAAAGAAACCCUAAGCUCACCUCAUUAAUGAAUCAACAUUUACAUUGGGACUAAAUGAAGAAACUUUUCAAAUACAAUUGAAGAACAAGACAUAGUUGAAUAAAUCAAGAGCAGUGAUUUUCUAAUCCAGCGUCUAACGACUAUGUGAACAAAGAGAUUAACUAAAGCUUCAACUGUCACAAUCUGAAACACUAUAUAAAGACCUUGAAGAUGAAGAACACAAAAAUGAAGCAUACGAGCAUACAAAGAUCAUUGCAUACUAUUUAGGUUUCCUUGUAUUAAUGUUCUGAGAGUAUAUUUCACAUAUGCUAUUUAGAGCACUUACAGUUUGGGAGUGAACCUUGUAUUGUAAAUCAUUCACUAUGUGAAGUUUACUCUGAACUUUCAUUAUUUGUUCUCUUGUCAAGAGUGUUUUUCUCACUUGUUGAGAGGUCUUAGUCUCAAGGGGAGAUUAAGAUUUGUUGCCUAGAGAGGUAUUGAAUACUUGUGUACCUGAAGAGGUGUAGAAUACUUGUAUACUUGAAGAGGUGGAGAAUACUUAUGUACCUAAAGAGGUGUAGAAUACUUGUUAGCUGGAAAUGUGUAAAAUAUUUAAGACUCUUAAACAGGGAGCUUAUGACUCUUAAACAUUGCACUCAACCUAAAAUUAUCUUCACAAUAUGCAUCAAAGACAUCCACUCUUGUUUUCCACAACAUAUUCAAAUCAUAAAUCAAGGGCCUAAGAUACACAUAUAUGUAAUUUCCUAGUCUAUUAUGUCAUGAAAUAAUCAUAAACAACAUAAUAUAUUUUCUCUCCAUGCACAACCAAGGAGGCACAUUGUAAAUGACCAAUAAAAUUGGCCAUGAACUGUGUUUAAUACUUAAGUUCACAUAAAUAUUCAUACCAUCUAUAGCUAGUCCAAGUCUGAGGUUUAUUAACUUCACACCAAAUUCUAAAUGUUUCAUCAAUCCUAUUCUAUUGUGUAGAAUCAGUUGGAUUUAAAAAAAAAGUUAUCACAUUUUCAACCAUUUUCAUGUCAUGUCAAGUUUUUUGCAUCCUUUUUGUUGGCAAAAAAUCUUUUAACCUUAGGUAUUAUUGGCUAGUACAUAACCCUAGGUAUCUUCCUCACCACUACUUGCAUCAGGUUUCUUUUUAAACUGUGAUAACCAACAUGUCGAAAAUACCCUCAAGGUAGCAAACUCAUUUAUGCAUAAUAUAUAUUCAUCAGGGCAUGCACGUAUCUUCUUAUACUCCACACCCAUCGAACACAAUAUAUCCCUCUCUCUAUAAUUACUAUUAAGUAACAUGUGACCUUCUCAAAACAUAUCCUUCAAUAAUGAAACUCUUAUCGGUUCAUCCAUUUCUUUCUUUUAAACUGAAUAGUCUUAAAGUUUUACUGACACUCUUGUAAAGUUAUUGCAUUAUGGUAUAAUUGUUUCUCCAAAUCAAACUUCAAACAAUCAUAUACAUUUUCUCUUUACAACUGUUGUUCGCCAACAUCAUGUAUCAUCUCCUCUAAAUGAUUGUCCAUCCUUUCUUCAAAGUUUUCUAUAGUAAACAUAGUUGGAAUAUCUAUUAUUUCUCUGUGUCAUGCUCAUAUUGUAUAACUCUUGACAGUACCAAAGAUAAACAGGAAAUCAUGUAUUUCCUCAAGCUUCUUAAACAUUUGAAUUAAACACGAACACAAUGGAAACUAAUACGUCCCCUUGAUAGGUUUUCCAUUUUGUCAAGAAAAUUGCAAUAACUUAUCAACUCCCUUUUCAUACUCUUCACUAACAUGAUGUGCAUUCAUCCAAGUUCAAUCCAUAACUAAGUAUGUUAUAAAAUCUAUCGUAAUCAAUCAUACAAAUGCAAUUCUCACUUUUGUAAUUCAAGGUGAGACUCUACCCAUUCAGAAAAAAACAUUUUCCCUAAUUCUUUAACAUGUAUAAAUUAAGUCUAUUCUCUUAAAUUUGAUAAAUUUUUGAAAAAAAUUUACAUUGGUCUCCAAAGUACACGAAAUUUAAGCGGUCACAAAGAGUGCAUCACACUCAAAUAUGCUCCUAGAGAACAACAUUAAAUGGUUGGAACCGAAAUUACAUUAGACUCAAUGUAUACAUAUUAACAAACUAUGAAAAAUAAUUUUCCCAAUCUAUCCAAUCAAACUAUACAAGAUUUGGUAUGAAGGAUUAAUAUUUAACCAUUUGUACUAAAUCUCAAAUGAGAACUACACUUCACUAAAUGUAUGCAUCAAUACAAUAUUUAUUUUAAAUAAAAUUAGCAAAUUAAAUACAAACUAACUUUUAUAUUUAGGUAAAUUUAGUUUAUAUACAAUUGCUUAUUUAGAAAUAAAACAAAAUAUCAUAGAAACUUUUUAAAUGUUUUUUACAAAAUAAUGUUCAUAAAAAUAAAACAACAUACUAAUGUACGUAUAAAAAAAUUACCAUAUACUAAAGUAUCAUGCAAAUAAAAAGAUCUUCCUAAAAAAAUCCUAAAAAAGUUUCAAAUAUAAUGACAAAAUAUUUGGUACUUACCCUUAAACACGAAAAAUGGAAGUGCAAUGGUAGAGUUGUGACGACAAGAGCGGAGGAGGAUGAAAAAUCGUCAAACUUUGCAGCAGUGACGACAGCAAAUUGAAGAAUCUAUAAGAAAAUUGUAUGUAAGAAGAUGGAAAGAAGAAAGAAGAUGUUUUUUAUUCUCUUGUGUGCAUUUACAUCACACUCCAUGUAUAGGAAAUAUAUAGUAUGAAGAUUUUCUCUCUCCAAAUUAUAAGCUAAUUAGGUAGGGAUCCACUAAUCAUGGGAUUUUAUUAUUAAAUUAAUUGCAUAUAAUUGCGUACAAUAUCGUACAAUAUUGUAUACAAUAAUUGCGUAUAAUUUGAUAAUUAUUAUUUUCUUAAUACUCCCCUCAAGUUGGUAGGUGAAGAUCAUGAAACUGUUCCUUGCCUAGUGACUUCGUAAAAAUAUCUACGAGCUGAUACUGUGUCAGUACAUAUGAAGGACGACUGAUUAUCUCGGCUUGUAAUUUUUCUCGCACAAUGUGGCAGACUAUCUCAAUGUGUUUUGUGCGUUCAUGAAAUACUGGGUUUGUUGCUAUAUGUAAUGCCGCUUGAUUGUCACAGAAAAGUUGAGCUGACAAGUUACAUGACACCUUUAAAUCCUGCAACAGAUAUCGCAACCAAACUAUCUCCAAACAAGUAUUGGCCAUCGCGCGGUAUUCUGCUUUCGCAGAUGAUCUUGAUACAUUUCUCUGUUUUUUUUAUUUCGAUGAGAUAAUAAAGGAACCAAGAAAAAUGCAAUACCCAGAUACUUAUCUCCGAGUUGUCUGACAACCUCCCUAGUCUGAGUCGUAAUAAGUUGUCAAUGUCAAAUUGUUCUCAAAUGGCAAUAACAAUCCUUGUCCCGGCGAUCCUUUGAUGUACUUUAGGAAUCGAAUUGCGGCAUCCUAAUGAGGUUUCCGUGGAGCCUGUAUAUAUUGACUUAGGGUCCAAACCGCAAAUACUAAGUCAGGUCGAGUAACCGUGAGGUAUAUCAAUCAUCCCACAAGUCGCCUGUAUUUGACUGGAUCCUUUAACAACUCUCCACCUAAAUUCCUGUCAAAAGAAUAUCAUCCACAUAAAUCAAAAGGGCAGUAAAUUAUGAGUUAUUCUUUGUGAUUAGAGAGUAGUCUAUCUUUGACUGUUGAAAUCCUACUGAUUUAAUCACAUGAGAAAAUGUUGAAAACCAUGUCCGGGAUGCCUGUUUGAGACCAUAAAGGGAUUUGUUGAGUCGACAUACAAUGUUCUCCCCCUGUCGGUGAUGCCCGGGUGACAAGUUCAUGUAAAUAAUUUCAUGCAAUGUGCCAUGUAAGAAGGCAUUUUGCACAUCUAGCUGGUGAGUAAACCAAUUUCUGACUGCUGCAAUGGUGAGGAGACACCUUAAAGUUGUUAAUUUUGUUGUUGGUGAAAAAAUUUCAAAAUAGUCAACACCUUCAAUCUAAGUGUACCCCUUUGCGACAAGGCGUGCCGAUGGGUUUCUGCCCAGCGGGUAACGGUGUUAAGGUCCACGUUUGAUUUAGCUGCAAGGUUGAAAGCUCUUCGUCUUUUGCUUUUUGCCAAUUUGGAUCAAGGAUAGCUUGAGCAUAAGUGUGAGGUUCUUUGGUGGCUGUGAUGUUACAUAUGCACUAUGUGUAGAAAAAAAUCGUGAAUUGGAAAAAAUAUGAUGCAUAGGAUACCUGGUUCAAUUCGACCGGUCUUGGCCAGUGGUCGAAUGAUUGGAUUGGGAUCCCGUUACGUAGUCUUGAAGCCAAGAAGGUGGGGUUGAUGUGCGACUAGAUCGUCGAACAAGAAGGUCGGUUAGAGAAGUUUCAGUAAUGGGCGCUAAACUUCCUGGAGUGGGAGAAGAAGGUUGGUUUGCUGGAGGUUCAGGUACAUUGUGACGAGUAGGAGAAGAAGGUUGGUUUGCUGGAGGUUCAGGUGCAUUGUGACGGGUAGGAGAAGAAGGUUGAUCGAGUGAAUGUUGGACAGGAGUGGGUAAGUCAAUGUCAAUAGCGGGCAAAAUACCUUGUAAUGGAGGUGAGGAUUGCAUCUGGGACUGUUGCCAAAAUGGGAAAACACUUUCAUGGAAGGUGACAUCCCGACUUGUAAAAAUAGUGUCUGCAUCUAUAUCAAAUAAUUUGUAUCCUUUUUUAUUGAGAGGAUAACCAAUGAAGAUGCAUUGCGCGGGUCAAAUUUUUGCUUAGGUGAAACAAAAGUUGCGUAAAAGAGGCAACCAAAAGGUUUUUAGGUGAGAAAGUGAAGGUGGGCGAUUAUAUAACAUCUCAAAAGGUGAUUUGUUUUUUAGUAAAGGUGAUGAUGGCAAGCGAUUAAUGAUAUAUGUAACGGUUAAAACUCAUUGCCCCCAAAAUUCUAAUGGUAAAUGAGACUGAAAUAGGAGGGCUCGUGCUGUGUUUAAAAUGUGUCUAUGUUUGCGUUCUACUACUCCAUUUUGUUGAGGAGUGUAGACGCAAGUGCGUUGACAUUCAAUACCCUUUUUGAGAAAAAAAAUUACGCAUUGAAAUAAAUUCCAAUCCGUUGUCAACACAGAUGGUUUUAAUAUAUGCUUGAAAUUGAUUUUGUGCAAAAGUAAUGAAUAAUUCUAAGAAAUGUUGGGUUUUAGACUUGUGAGUCAUAAGAAAUACGUACAUCUAGUAUAGUCAUCGACUAUAGUGGGAAAAAAAACGAUUUCCAAAAUGAGUUGGGGUUUUAUCAGGACCCCAAAUGUCACAAUGCAAUAGAUUAAAUAGAGAAUGAUAUUUUAUUGUGUUUAAAGGAAAGUGUAGCCUUGUCUGAUUAGCUUUGGACAAAUACUACAAUUAUUAUGAAUGGGAAUGAGAUUUUUACUGAAGGAUGUCCAAGACGCUUGUGCCGUAAAUCAGAGUCGGUCGAAAUUUGAGAUGUGUGGGCUUGGUUUGAAAGAGGGGACAUGUAGUAUAAGCCUGCGUCUUGUUUACCCGAGCCAAUCAUCCUACCCGGAGCCAAGUCCUGCAAAACGCAACCAUGUGAAAAAAAGACGACACAACACUUUAGUGAACUGGUUAUCUUACAAACAGACAUAAGAUUUAGAUUAAAAGAAGGAACGCAAAAAACAUCUUUGAGAGUGAUAUUGUCAUUGAAUUUAAUUGUGCCCGUAGAUGAGAUGAGUGCAGUUGAGCCUGUGGGUAGAUUAACAUUUGGAAUAAAUGAUGAUGAAGUGUGUGUGAAAAAUUGUGAAUCGGAUACAAUAUGAUUGGUUCCUCCACUAUCCAAAAUCCAUGUUUUCGUAAAAGCAAAAUUAAUAGACGAAUUAUAGGCAAGCAUACCUGCAGAGCUAACAAACAUGUCACUUUUACCGUUAUUAUUGAGCGAGUAAAUAGCCUUUGCCAAUUGCUAAAUUUGCUCGGUAGUGAAGUCUUGUACGAGGUUUCUAUUGAACUCAUUACUGGUGCUUUCUUUGCCAAACAUGAUAUCUUAUUUAGUAGAUAAAAAUGACGAGGCUGUCAGAGCACCAAUUGAUACCAUAUAAGAAAAUUGUAUGUAAGAAGAUGAAAAGAAAAAAGAAAAUGUUUUUUAUUCUCUUGUGUGUAUUUACAUCACUCCAUGUAUAGGAAAUAUGUACAAGUAAGUGUAUGAAGACUUUCUCUCUCCAAAUUACAAGCUAAUUAGGUAGGAAUCCACUAAUCAUGAAAUUUUAUUAUUAAAUUAAUUGCAUAUAAUUGCGUACAAUAUCGUACAAUAUUGUAUACAAUAAUUGCGUAAAAUUUAAUAAUUAUUAUUUCCUUAAUAAGAAUCGGCUUAUUUCAUGAUGGUAACAAUAAUGACUAUCAAUGAAGACGACCACAACCACACUAAAGACACCAACAACAACGAUGAAGAAACAAAGUAUAAAGAAUUGAACUUUAAAUCUAACUAAACCUUAAAUCGGCUCAUAAGAUGAAGUUUGCAUUCACUUAUAUACUAUGAAAUGUUCUUAUUUCUAGUCAAUGUAGAUUCGUGUGUGAGAUAUUUAUGGUCUGAUAGCGGUCCGAUAACGGGUGGCCUGAUAAGUCCAAAAAGCUCUCGCUAGAAUAGACUAUAAAUGACUUUGAUAUCAUAUUAAGAAGUGAACUUUAAGCCUAAUUCAACCUUACAAAACCGUCUCAUAAGGUAAAGUUUGUAUCCACUUAUAUACUUUGAAAUGUCCUUAUCUCUAGUCGUUGUGGGAUCUCUAACACCCCUUUGUUAAGACCCUCCAACUCCCUCUCAUGCCGAGAUCCUUCAACUCCUACAUGAGACUAUAUAUUUAUAAGUGGUUUGGUAGCUACCCAAUAGCGGAUGUCAUGAUAAUUCCAACAAACUCUUACUAGGAUAGACUCUAAAAAGUAGACUUUAAAUCUAACUCAAUCUUAGAAAACUAACAUCAUAAAGUAAGAUUUGUACUACUUAUAUAUGUGAAAUGUUUUUAUUUCUAGUCGAUUUAGGAUAUCCAAAGUGACAAUACAAAAUAAAAUAAAAAAAAUCGAGAGAAAUGAGUUACGUAAACUUUUUUUACAUCAGAUACAAGAAAGUAUGAUGUAAAACUAGACAUUUACAUAUGAUAAUCUAGCAUUGAAUGCAAAUCUGAACUUUUAGAUUGGAUUUUCAUAUUAAUGAAGGAAAAGAGUUUACAUUAUUAACUAAAAUAUCACCCAUUUUUUGUCCAGUGAUUACCGUUUUGUCAGACAUAAAUCGUAAACGUAGAUUUUCGCUUUUAUAACUAGUGGGUUUUGCGUAGUUCUUGUAAACUUCUUGUCAUCUUUAGCUUGAUUUAAAUCCUUUUAUUAAAUUCAUUUUAACAUGUCAACACUGAUUGUAUUUAUUGCAAAAAUCAUGUUAUUUUAUUAGUUUGGAUUCAAAAUUUCAAACAUUAUAACAAUAAUCUUUGCCCACUUUAUAAUUUUUAUAUUAUCAGGUUUCUUUCUAAUUAAUUUUGUAUUUUAUGUUAAAAGAAAUUGAUAUUUUUCUUUCAUUAGUCACUGGAACUUUUAUUUAUCUCCAUUAACUUCUUUGAUAAAUACCAAUACUUAUUCAAUUAACUCCAUAUAUAAAUGAUCCUGCCGGUUGACCAGAGCGCAAGAGUCUUGCCACGCCGAAGGUAUCUUCCUCUGGAUCGGCUUUGCACCACGCUAGCUUCCGUCCUUCACACCUUGAUUCUCCUCAAGAACCUGCAAAAGACAGAGUGGCGCCGCUGCGGCCGAUCGCGCUCCGACGCUCAAGUUAGUGACGGAAUCACCAAAACUCUAAGAGAGAAAAGCUAAAAACUCAAGGAACCGUGCAAAAACUCUCUCAGCGUACUCAAGUAUUCUCAAAGCGUAAAGAAGUGUUCUAAACGCGCGUACCUCAGAAUCUGUUAAGAGUUCCUUAUAUACCUGUGCAUUUUCUCUCUCCUAACGGUUACACCUCUGGACACGUGGCUCGCAUCCAGCUAUACACGUGUCACCAUCUGGAACGUCUUCUGCUUGAGCGCCACUCCUACUCUUCAAGCUGUUCGACUAAGUUACUCAGGUGAGGAGCAACUCGGUGCAUAGCUGCCUUGGAGUGCGAUCUUCUUCUAGUGGCGAGCACAGGGUGUCACCUUGCGCACCUUCUCUGUGAUCUCGCCUGCCGCUAUCACGAUCUGCAUUACUUGCUCAUCGUGCAUGUUCUGGUAAACUGUUCCCUGACCUCAACCUCUGGCUAGGGAAUGAUCAUUUGAUAACUUCAUCCUUCGUACUCGUGCCCCUUGAAGGCCUUGAACAAGCUUUCCUGAUCUUUCGGCGAUGUCCCCCUCUCGGCGAUCUCUGACCACUUGGUCGCCUAAGUUCACAUACGGCGACUACGACACAAGCCUGGUGACCGCCGGUUUAGAUAUGCUAGAAAUCGGAGCACGCCAACUUAAUGAUUGGCGACUACACGAACUCCCCGAUGUCCUUCCCUUCCGUCAGCCAGGUGUUCCGUUCAACACGCCUAUAUUACCACUUGCUGCCACGUCAUCACUCCCAACUACCUGGUCGGUACACAAGCCCCCAGUCUUAAGCGAAGACUUGUCCAGCGAAAAGACUAAGAGGUCACAUCACCGUCGAUCUACUUGGCGCUGGCACGGAAUUCCAAACGUCUGUACCCUCUGCUUUCCUGACACUCCACCAAACCCCUUUUUCCAAUCGCUCGACACGUGGCUUCAUCAACGGUCAUCCUCAGUUGUCGUUUGUGCUUCCGAAAACGUUCGAAAAACCCUUAAACCCCUUGCACUUCCACUGUUCCAUCAUCUUUCUGCACCCUCAAAACGUUCUAAGUUCUUCUCUGCGAACCCACGAAGCUUCUCAACUCUCUUAAUCUCCAACUCUCUUCAACGCUCAUCCGAUCAUCAAAAGGUACCCCUUUUACUUCUUUUAUUGAUAUUUGCUGCAUUUUAACCGAUUUGCAUCAUCCAUUAACGGAUAUCAUCAUAGACAACAUCAUGUAUUUUCGCUUCAUGCACAAUCCAGGAGGUAAGUUGUAAAUAACUAGUAAUACAGGCCAUGAACUGUGAUUUGUACUCAUAUUACCAAACGGAUUCAUUUCGUCUGUAGCUAAACCAAGUCGGAUAUUUCUUGAUUCUUUACCAAAUUCUGGAAAGUCAUCAUCAAAUUUCUUCCAUUGAAUAGAAUCAGCUGGAUGUCGGUACAUGCCAUCGCAUUUCCUCUCAUCUGCAUGCCAUCUAAGAUUCUUAGCAUCGUCUGGGUUUGCAAACAAACGCUUCAUCCUUGGAAUGAUGGGAAGAUACCACAUAACCUUCAUUGGGGGUCCAUGCUUUUCCAUGUCAUCAAUAGAAUCAUCAUCUUUUUGUUUCAACUUAUAACGUGAUAACCCACACCUCGGACAACUUUUCAACAAUUCAAAAUCUUUCCGGUAUAAUAUACAAUCAUUAGGACAUGCAUGUAUCUUUUUGUACUCCAUACCCAUUGGACAAAGNNNNNNNNNNNNNNNNNNNNNNNNNNNNNNNNNNNNNNNNNNNNNNNNNNNNNNNNNNNNNNNNNNNNNNNNNNNNNNNNNNNNNNNNNNNNNNNNNNNNNNNNNNNNNNNNNNNNNNNNNNNNNNNNNNNNNNNNNNNNNNNNNNNNNNNNNNNNNNNNNNNNNNNNNNNNNNNNNNNNNNNNNNNNNNNNNNNNNNNNNNNNNNNNNNNNNNNNNNNNNNNNNNNNNNNNNNNNNNNNNNNNNNNNNNNNNNNNNNNNNNNNNNNNNNNNNNNNNNNNNNNNNNNNNNNNNNNNNNNNNNNNNNNNNNNNNNNNNNNNNNNNNNNNNNNNNNNNNNNNNNNNNNNNNNNNNNNNNNNNNNNNNNNNNNNNNNNNNNNNNNNNNNNNNNNNNNNNNNNNNNNNNNNNNNNNNNNNNNNNNNNNNNNNNNNNNNNNNNNNNNNNNNNNNNNNNNNNNNNNNNNNNNNNNNNNNNNNNNNNNNNNNNNNNNNNNNNNNNNNNNNNNNNNNNNNNNNNNNNNNNNNNNNNNNNNNNNNNNNNNNNNNNNNNNNNNNNNNNNNNNNNNNNNNNNNNNNNNNNNNNNNNNNNNNNNNNNNNNNNNNNNNNNNNNNNNNNNNNNNNNNNNNNNNNNNNNNNNNNNNNNNNNNNNNNNNNNNNNNNNNNNNNNNNNNNNNNNNNNNNNNNNNNNNNNNNNNNNNNNNNNNNNNNNNNNNNNNNNNNNNNNNNNNNNNNNNNNNNNNNNNNNNNNNNNNNNNNNNNNNNNNNNNNNNNNNNNNNNNNNNNNNNNNNNNNNNNNNNNNNNNNNNNNNNNNNNNNNNNNNNNNNNNNNNNNNNNNNNNNNNNNNNNNNNNNNNNNNNNNNNNNNNNNNNNNNNNNNNNNNNNNNNNNNNNNNNNNNNNNNNNNNNNNNNNNNNNNNNNNNNNNNNNNNNNNNNNNNNNNNNNNNNNNNNNNNNNNNNNNNNNNNNNNNNNNNNNNNNNNNNNNNNNNNNNNNNNNNNNNNNNNNNNNNNNNNNNNNNNNNNNNNNNNNNNNNNNNNNNNNNNNNNNNNNNNNNNNNNNNNNNNNNNNNNNNNNNNNNNNNNNNNNNNNNNNNNNNNNNNNNNNNNNNNNNNNNNNNNNNNNNNNNNNNNNNNNNNNNNNNNNNNNNNNNNNNNNNNNNNNNNNNNNNNNNNNNNNNNNNNNNNNNNNNNNNNNNNNNNNNNNNNNNNNNNNNNNNNNNNNNNNNNNNNNNNNNNNNNNAAAUAAAAAUUCAAAAUAUUAAAUAUGAAUUCAAAAUUUUAAAUAUAAAUUCAAAAUAUUAAAUAAAUACAACACCAACCUUUAGGUUGAUGGUGAUCAGAGACGAAGACGAAGGCGUAGGCGAAGGCGGUGGCGGAAGCAGUGGCGGUGACGGAAGCAGUGGCGGUGGCGGAGCAGAAAAAACCAGAGAACCAAUAGAACAGUAACCACCUAUAUGUAGAAAACGAGUAAGGAAACGAAAUGACAAUGCCAAGGAAGUGAAUAAUGACAAUGACAAAAACGAAAACGAAAACAAACGUUGAAGCAGAGAGAGCUGAAACUUACAAUGCAAAGCGGAGAGAGCUGAGAACGUUGAAACGAAGAGCGGAGAAGACGAAAGUGAAAGUGAAAACCAGUGGCGCGCUUCUAUUUUUAGGGUAAAAUUGAUUUACAAAUGCGGUUCUAGGGUAAGACCGCAUUUGUAAAUCAAUUUAAUUACAAAAAUGCCACCGCGUUUUUUACAAAUGCGUUUAAACGCAAAGCCGCACUAAAUAAAUAGUCGUUGUUUUCAAAUUUUGUACUAGUGAUUAUCUGUCUGAAGCAUACAGUGUGGGCUGUUUUUUUCCUUUCUCCUUCUCUCGUAGCUUAGGGCUUCGUUCUUUGUUACGUUCAUCCCAGCGAACUCUCGUUCGUUCGCUCUGUCUUCUUCGUUCUCAAUCGAGUCGUUCUGUUGGCUUUGUUUCAUCCCUUUCAUUUUCCUUUGCAGUUCCUGCGAUGACUCACACAAAAUCCACCGCGAAUCCUCCUUCUUCGUCGCGAAACCCUCCACCCCAAGCGCGUAGGGUUGCUCCUGGGGCAAAUCCUCCACCAGCGCGUAACCCACCUCGAGCAUCUAGUGCUCCUUCUACCCAGGCUGAGACGCCUGCAACUUCUCACGCCAACCUCGCUCAGGCAACCCCGCCAGUCGCUGAAGGGUCUUCCUUGCCUCCAAAUGACUACAAGGAACUCUAUCCUUGGGCCACCCCACUCUUGUUAAAAGAGACUUCUUCAAUAAACACGGAGUUGGGCGUGCACCGACUAAGGAAAGGAGACCAGUCCGACCUCUCCUUCCACAAGGAACAUGAUAGCAAGGUGGCCGUGCUGCCCUGCUUCCCGGACGAGCCGAUCUGUGCAGACGACAAAGGAAACAACGGCGAGUCGUUCUGCUUCCUCUACGCCAUCUUCUUCAAGAAAGUGAAGCUCAGACUUCCCUUUACUCGCUUCGAGAGAGAGCUGCUAACCGAGCUCGAUAUCGCCCCCGCCCAGCUUCAUCCCAACAGCUGGGCAUUCGUAAGGGCGUUCCAAAUCAUCUGCGCACACCUGGGGCUGCCGGCUUCAGUAGAUGUCUUCCUUUUCCCGUUCGAGGCUAAGAAUCCUGGAGACCGCCUCUGGAUUAACUUAAAUGGGAUUGCUGGGAGGUCAAUCCUCUCGAUCUUCCAGCAAUCCUACAAAGACUGGAAAGGAAAAUUCAUCAAGGUGCGCCCAAACGAGCAAGAUCCCUCACUGCUCGACGGUUUCCCCUUGUACUGGGUACACAAGGGGAAUAAAGACUCCAAGGAGUGCUUCAGGAGGCCAAGGAGUCCUGACAACAUGGGGGAGUUGGGCAAGGAUCUCUGCCUUUUCUGGAAGAGCGUAGCAGCCGCCAACAUCACUUUCCCCACCGCCUCGAUAAUCUCCUUCGAGUUCCUCGAGGGCCAACUUGAAGCUCACAUAGGUUAGCCCUUACCUCGACACCAAGACCUUCACUUUGGGUUGGAAUUGACUUCGCAUUUCUACCAUCUAUCAUUCGGCGUUCUGUUUGUCGUGUACUGAUCUUGAUUUUUAAUCCACGCGCUACUUGCUUGCGUUAUUUCUGCGUGCAUAUGUUUGUAUAACCUGUUUCUGCUUUGGGGCCUACUUAUCUGUUUUCUACCCUGUGCAGACCUCAUGUUGGGAAAAGGAAAACUGGCUGAGCUGAGGGCGAUCGCCCGAUCCCACAAGUUGGCGGCGGGCUCCCAAACCGUGCCCAACUCGGUGGUGGAGAUCGCCGUUGCUCAGGGCAAAACUCCCCCCCGAGGUGCAACUCCUUCGGAGACACUACCCGCCCCCAAAGAAAAAAACUUGUCUUGAGGAAGCCAAAGAGGAAAACUCCUCAAGUGGUACAGGAAGAAGAGGAUGACGAGGCGACUGAGGACGGCCUCGUCACCAAAAGAACAAGGGUGGCACCCUCUUUACCACCUGCUCUCCCAACACCAACACCGCCCUCUCCUCCAGCUCCAACACCGCCAGUCCAAGCAACACCCUUGGCUGUCGCGCCCCCAGUGGUUGAAGGCAGCGAGCCUAAUUUCAUUGGGAAUCCUCCAAGCGCCUCCAUGCCAUUUCUAUCUGCUGGAGAAGGUCCUCCUUCAACCGCCUCUAUCGCUGGGGCUGCACCAGGAGGAGAUGAAGGUGGCCAUAACUCGCCGAUCCUGAUAACAGAGUCUCCGACUCCACCACCACGCCAAGAAGCCCCCCUUGCCCUUCAAACUCAAGAGGGUGGUGGUGAAAGUCAGCACCAAGCUCCUCCAGCACCUCCACCAGCAACAACUUCAAACUUCCCCCCUUCCAUCGACGAGAUCUGGGGACCCUUCACAGCCAAACUUAAAAUGAUGGCAGAGGAUCUCCCCUCAAUCAUAACAAAAGCUGUGAAGAUCUCAAGCAAGAAACUCCAAGACGAGAAUGCGGCGCUCAAGGAGGCAAACCGCCUGAUAAGAAUGGAGGCAGAGAAGCUUUCUUGCAAUCUGAUGAUGGCGGAAAUCGACCAUUCAAGGCUGGAGGACACCAUGGAUGCCGAACUAAGAGGCGCACGCAAGGAGGCCUCCGAUCUGCACCAAAAACUGCACCUCUAGGCUCUAGAGAAAAUCGAGCUGGAGAGUAAACUUGUACCUUACAGGCUCAAGGUGGCCAACUUGGAGGCAUCAAUGAAAGCAGAUGCGGCCAAGGUGGAGAACCUUGAAAAGAGGUCAGCAGAUCGGGAGGUGCUCCUUGGGAAAGUCGAGAAGGAGAGGGACGAUACCAAGGACGAGCUCGGCAACGCUCAAGAGGAAAACGCGAGGAUUGCUGCAGAGCUGGCCCAUGCUCGGGAGGAAAGCAAGAAAGCUGCCGAAGAGCUUGCUCGGGCUCGUGAGGAAACCGAAGGGCUGAAGAAGCAAAUUGAUGAGCUGCAGAAGCAGGCUCAAGAGCUCGAGCAAAGCUCCGCCCAAGUCCUUUCCGCCGGGUUCGACGCCACUUUGGAGCAAGUCUCGUGUCAAUAUCCCGAGCUCGAUCUCUCCAUGGUGUCAAUCUACAAUGAAGUGGUGGAUGGGAAGAUCGUGCCCUCUGAAGAUUAAUUGUCUCCCUCCAUCACUUUUUUCUUUGAAAACUUGGUGCUCAUUUCUGUUUGUAAGAACUUUUAUAUGUAACUUUUCUUCGUAUGUAUUUGAACUGACAUUGCUUUAUGUAACUCCUUAUGCUUAAGAUAUUGUUGUCUAAUACCGUGCCUCAAACGCUUCUUACUCGCUGUGUGAUUAACCAACAUAACCGGUAGAACUCGCUUAAACAAAUUGACUUAGCGAUUCUUCAGGCUUAACUGCUCACUGCUUUGAACUCGAGCAAACUGUUAAUCUCAUAACGAUUUAUCGAACUGUUACCUCAAAGUAAAAUUUGAGCAACUACCAACUUUCAAACGGUGACAUUUAACGUAACUUGCAAACUUAAGGCAAUAAGUUACUUACUAGGCAGCAGGUUUUAUCUUAAACUUGUAUCACAAUACAGUUUACCUGAUCUGCCCUGGCAAGGCUAGGCUUUACGCUCGUCAUCGCCUGGAAUUCUUCUGAUCGCCGUAAGGUUCUGGCGAUGUAGGCUUUCUCUGCCUUCAUCGCUGGACUAUUGUUCCCUCAUCUAGGGGGUAGAGGUGCCUUUCGGAUCCUUCUCUACCUCCCUGAGUUUCAGAACAAAGAACUGGAUAGCGAGGUGUUCUCUUUGAACCUACCUUAGCUAUCUCUUAAACAUUUUUCGCCCUUCACGCCAUACCUGAACUCGUUCAAGACGAGAAGGAUUUGAUCUGUCUUCAUACCGCCUACAAGCGUGGAAAUUUUCUCUGGUCUUACUAUGUCAAUAUUUAUGCCUCACUUAAAGGGGGAAAGGCGUUUUCCUUCCCUUCCCGCCGUUUAAGGUCACGAACACCCCUGACUUUUCAGUUCAUCUUGCCUGAACUCACUCUGAGGUGAGAAGGACUUUUUCUCGCCUGAACUCGCUCGAUGGCGAGAAGGACUUUAUCUGGCCUGAACUCGCUCGACGGCGAGAAGGACUUUAUCUGGACUUUAUCUGGUAGGCGUCAUUCCCGAGCGCCUCGGUUAUUCUGAACGGUCCUGUCCACUUAGGCGAUAACUUGUUUUCCAUCUCGUACUGGUGGGCCUUCCUCAUCACCAGGUCGCCCUCUCUAAACUGCCUUGGCGUCACCCUCGAGUUAUACCUUCGCUCAAUCGUCCUUUUCACUGCCUCAGCCUUUACCCCUGCCUCUUCCCUGACCUCAUCCAGUAAAUCCAUAUUUAACCUUCUUUCUUCGUUCGAGUCUUUCGCCACGAAAUUCUGAAAUCUCGGCGAGCUCUCCUGGAUUUCCACUGGAAUCAUUGCAUCACAUCCAUAGACCAAGCUGAACGGGGUCUCGUGGGUUCCUGACUGCUCGGUGGUAUGGUACGCCUAAACUAUGCGGGGUACCUCCUCAGCCCACGAUCCCUUAGCUUUUUCCAGCCUUCUCUUCAAACCCCUCAGCAACAUCCGAUUAGCGGACUCUACUUGGCCAUUUGUCUCGGGGUGCUCGACGGAUGCAAACACCUGCUGUAUCCCCACCUCUUCGCACAGCUUCUUCAGUAGGUGACUUGCAAACUGAGUCCCAUUGUCUGACACCAGGCGCUUAGGCACACCAAACCGGCACACGAUGUUCUUCCAAACAAAACUCUCGAUCUUGUGUGCGGUGAUUUGGGCUACUGGUUCUGCUUCGAUCCACUUGGUGAAGUAUUCAACCGCCACCACCAAGUACUUCAUCUGUCUGAUCGCCAAUGGGAAAGGUCCUAGAAUGUCGAUUCCCCACGUAUGAAACGGCCAAGGGCUGUAAAUUGACUUUAAUUCCUCUAGAGGCGCCUUGUGCCAAUCGGCGUGCUGCUGACAUUGCUUGCAACACUGUGCAUACUUCUUGCAGUCUUCCCUCAUUGUUAGCCAGUAAUAACCUGCACGGAGAGUUCUUGCAGCCAGAGCUCGACCCCCGACGUGACUCCCACAUAUCCCCUCAUGGAGCUCGGCCAUGAUUCUAGUGCAUUUUUCUCCGUGCACACAUUCUAGGAGUGGGUGCAUAAACCCAAACCUAUAUAGCUCGCCAUCGAUCAUGGUGAACUUGCUGGAGUUCUUCUUUAUCUUCCUAGCCUCUGUCGGAUCCAGCGGUAGAAGGCCAUUUGCCAGGCAGCGCUGGUACUGUGUUAUCCAUGUGUCUGGCUCAUGCGUAGCGCAGACCUGCGUCAUGUUCACCCUCUCCCCCCGACAUGCUCCUAUUCUCGGCGAUCUUAAAGUCUCCUGGGUCAAGGACCUGUGACUCCUCGCCACUUUCUCCGUCGAUUUGCUUAUCUGAAGAACCAGGUGGUCUGCCACAAAUGCUCUAGGCGUCUUCAGAGUUUCUUGGAUCACUGUCCUCUGCCUACCCCCCUUGCCCGAACUGGCGAGUUUGGCUAACAAGUCUGCUCGGACAUUCUGCUCUCUGGGCACAUGCACCACUUGAAAUGAGAGAAAGGAACUCUUCAACUCCUGCACAUACUCCAAGUACGUCGCCAUUUGUGGAUCCUUGGCCUGGAAUUCGCCUGUUACUUGUCCCGUGACUAAUAAGGAGUCACUCUUAGCCAUCAGCACCCUAGCCCCCAUCUCCUUGGCCAGCAAGAUUCCGGCGAUUAACGCUUCAUACUCUGCUUGAUUGUUGCUGGCUUUGAAGGCAAACCUCAGGGACUAUUCUAUCAGAACGUCGUUGGGCCCUUCUAGAAUGACUCCAACACCGCUACCCUGCUGGUUUGACGAUCCAUCCACCGAGAGCACCCAACGAAAGUCAUCCCCUUCAACUCGUGCUGCUUCUGACGAGAGCUCGACCACAAAAUCAGCGAAAAUCUGCCCCUUGAUCGGACCUAGGGGCUCAUACUUGAUGUCGAACUCCGACAGCUCCACCGCCCACUUCACCAUUCUCCCAGCCACAUCAGGCUUCUUCAGGACUUUCUGGAUGGGCAAGUCGGUCAUCACUAGCACUGUAAAACUGUGAAAAUAGUGGCGCAACCUCCUCGCCGAAAAUACUACAGCCAGUGCAGCUUUCUCCAAGGCCUGAUACCUCACCUCCGAGCCUUGCUACACCUUGCUGACGAAAUAAAUAGGCUUCUGAGCCUGGUCUUGAUCUUGGGCGAGCACCGCACUCACCGCCCUCUCAGUCACAGCAAAAUACAACCUGAGAGGGGUUCCUACUAAGGGUUUACACAAAACCGACGGGCUCGCCAAGUACUCUUUAAGCUUCACGAAGGCUUCUUCACAAUCCUUCGACCAGACAAACUUGUUGUUUCGCCUCAAACAUUGGAAAUACGGAUGGCCCUUCUCUCCACUAGCUGACACGAAACGAGACAGGGCGGCCAUCCGACCUGUAAGUUGCUGCACCUCCUUCACGGUAGCCGGGCUCCUCAUCGCCAAGAUGGCAGCACACUUAUCAGGAUUUGCCUCUAUUCCUCUUUCAGUCAAAAGGAAACCCAAGAAUUUCCCUGCCUCCACGCCGAAAAUGCACUUCUCGGGGUUUAACUUUAAUCUGAACUUGGCAAUCGUGGUGAGCAACUCCUCCAGAUCCGAGACGUGCUUGCUCUUUUCUGGCGAGGUCACGACCAUAUCAUCUAUGUACGCUUGCACAUUCCUUCCCAGCAUUGGUGCAAGUACCUUAUCCAUCAAUCUUUGGUACGUGGCCCCCGCAUUCUUCAGCCCAAAGGGCAUCACCUUGUAGCAGUAACACGACCUCUCAGUCAUGAAGGCAGUUUUCUCUUCAUCCAUAGGAUGCAUCUUUAUCUGAUUAUACCCCGAGAAGGCGUCCAGAAAACUCAGCAACUUGCACCCUGCUGCACUGUCGACCAGGGCAUCUAUGCUUGGCAAAGGAUACGAAUCCUUUGGGCAAGCCUUGUUCAGGUCUGUGAAGUCGACGCACAUGCGCCACUUCCCAUUGCUCUUCUUCACCAGUACGACAUUGGCCAACCAUUCAGGGUACUGGACCUCCCUGAUAUGGCCUGCGGCGAGGAGCUUCUGUGUUUCAUCCCUAAUCGCCUACCUCCUCUCCUCGUUAAACUUCCUUCUUCUCUGCCGCACUGGUCUGACUUGUGUGUCCAUUGCCAAGUGGUGACACAAGAAAUCGGGGUCAAUUCCCGGCAUGUCUGAAGCAGACCAUGAAAAGGCAUCCAGAUGCCGUUUUAUCACCUUGGCGAUCUGGUCUUGGAGCUCAGCCUCCAAAGAUCUUCCCAGCUUGAAGACCUUCCCCCGAUCUCCCUUUCGAGCCACUCCUCGACAGGUUUGGGUCUGGUUUCCCUGGCGAUCACCGCCUUGGCGAUUCCCAAUUCCCUCGCUUCCUCUGGGUGGUUCCUCGCUUCUUCCUCCCGUCCGGCGCUCUCUCUCUCAACCUCAGCAUCCACCAUGGUGACAUCGCCUCCGGCGGUCACUUCCAUCGCCGCAUCACCAACUCGCCAUUCCGUUGGUUGGGGCUUCACACCGGGAGGCGGCGUCGUGGUGAUGUAACUCACUGACCUCUUAUUCUUGAGGCUAUUCUCAUAGCAUUUCUUCGUCUCCUUCUGGUCAAAUCUGAUGGUGAUCACCACCCCCUCCAUCGAUGGUAACUUAACCUUCAUGUGCCUAGUUGAGGGCACAACUCCUAUUCUGUUGAGGGUUGGUCUCCCCAACAGAAUGUUAUAUGCUGAGGGGGCAUUCAUAACGAGGUACUUGAUUUUCUCCGUCCUCGAGGCCACCUCAUUCGUGAACGUUGUUCUUAGCUCGAUGUACCCCCUGACCUCCACCUGAUCGCCAGCGAACCCAUACAAGCACCCUCCAUAGGGUCUUAGCUGGUCAAGGGGUAGUUGCAACUGUGUGAAAGUCGGCCAUAACAUUACAUUCGCCGAGCUUCCUUGGUCCACCAGUACCCGGUGGACUUUCCUUCCCGCCGUGACAAGCGAGAUGACUAUGGGAUCGUUGUCGUGAGGCACAACGUCCCGGAGGUCUUCCUUCGUGAAUGUAAUAUCCACAUCUGGUGAGUGGUCUUCAAACAUAUCCACUGUCAUCACAGACCUUGCAUACUUCUUCCGCUGUGACGCAGUGCAUCCACCACCCGAGAAACCUCCAGCGAUGGUGUGGAUCUCGCCAUGAGUGGGCAUCUCAUGCUGUUGAGCCUCACCACCCGCCGGCUGGGAGCUCGACGCGCCUCCCGUCCUCUUGUCCAGCAGGUAAUCGUUCAAAAACCCGCUCUUGACCAGAUCGUCGAGCUGGUAUCCCAGGGCCAAACACGAAUCAACUGUGUGACCAAAACUCUGGUGGAACUCACACCAGGCGUUUGGUUUUGGUCCUAACACCUUGUCGCCCACUUUCUCAGGCGCCUUAAGCCUGGCUGCUAUGUUGGGAAUGGCGAUCAGAUCCGCCAACCCCAUGACAAACUUGUACUUUCGUGGGCGAUUAUACUCCCUGGGGCGUCCUGGGCCCCUUCCCUUGUUCUUCCUCAGAUCAUAAGGAUGGCGAGUCCUCUGAUCCUUCUUGGCCGCCAUCGUCUCCAGCACCCUCUGCGGCUGGAUUCUAGUCUGGGCACGUGGCCUAGCAGGGGCCACGCUCCCUCUCUUCUCGGCGACCUCACUCUCGUCGGCGAUGUGGGCCACCGCAAGUCGCUUAACUUCAGCAAACGUGGCGGGGUGAGCCCUAAUCAGCCCCUCACAGAAAGGUCCCGACAGCACGCCCUUUUUGAAGGUGUAUACCAACAUCUGCUUGUCUUUAGCAGGCGAGCGGACCAUCUGUGCUCCAAAACGAUUCAAAUAGUCCCUGAGGGACUCUUCCUGGUAUUGCCUGAUGUCGAACAGGUCAUAAGACACCCUAGGUGGCGCCUUGUUCACAAUGUACUGCUCGACAAAAAGCUUCGAAAACUGCUGGAAAUUGGUUAUGUGACCUGUAGGCAAGCUCACAAACCAUUCCAGCGUUGUUCCCUGGAGCGUGCUCACAAACAUCUUGCAAUAUACAGCAUCCGAGCCCCCUGACAGCAUCAUCUGCGUGUGGAACAUAGUGAGAUGUGCCUCAGGGUCCUCCAUGCCGGUGAUAGAAGCUUUCACAGGUACUACGCUCGCAGGGAUAGGCGUGUCUGUGAUCGCCUGAGCGAACGACAUUGGGAAAACGCGCGGUGGCGACGACGGCGCGACCUCUUAUACAACUGGGCGUCCUCUCUGCUCCUAAAGAGCUUGACGCAACUCCUCAGUUACUUUGCUGAGCUCUUCAUUCCUGGCCUGAGAGGCGACCAGGUCUUCAUGCAUCUUCGCUUGCUCUAUGCGCGAUGCCUCCACAUUCGCUUGCAGCGCACGCAUGAUCUCCAUCAUCUGUGCCAUGGUCAUGGCGCUUUCUACAACAACUGGCACAACGGGACUUGAACGGUUGCUUCUCAUCUUUCUCAUGAAAACUCAGCAAACCAAACUUCAACGAGCAAAACCUUCACCAGCGAACGAUCGAUCCAGCAAUCAAUCGGUCAGAAAUUCCCAAACUCCCAAGAACUUCCAAAAACGCAACCACAACAGCACGUCGGUAGAUUCGGACGUCGAAACCUUCACAGAAACUUGCAAUCUCACCACGAACCUACCGCUCCUCCAGCAAAACUCCCGAUUCACCAAUCAGAAACGCGACUGAACGGUAAACCUUCGAAUCAACCGAUUGAAAACCGUGCAAACAGCAAGAAACUUCAAGAAUCCAAUCGAAAGCUUCAAACGAAUGGCGGAAAAUUCGAAAUCACUGAACAAAAGCUUGAACGAACGGUGGAAAACUCGAAAUCACCGAACAAAAGCUCGAACGAACAGUGGAAAAUGGUUGCACCAGCACACAACCACACAGAAACUACAGAAACUUCAAGAACUCACGUUGUGGAUGGGGACAGGUUUUACACGACCCCACGGUGGGCGCCUGAUGAUCCUGCCGGUUGACCAGAGCGCAAGAGUCUUGCCACGCCGAAGGUAUCUUCCUCUGGAUCGGCUUUGCACCACGCUAGCUUUCGUCCUUCACACCUCGAUUCUCCUCAAGAACCUGCAAAAGACAGAGUGGCGCCGCUGCAGCCGAUCGUGCUCCGACGCUCAAGUCAGUGACGAAAUCACCAAAACUCUAAGAGAGAAAAGUUAAAAACUCAAGGAACCGUGCAAAAACUCUCUCAGCGUACUCAAGUAUUCUCAAAGCGUAAAGAAGUGUUCUAAACGCGCGUACCUCAGAAUCUGUUAAGAGUUCCUUAUAUACCUGUGCAUUUUCUCUCUCCUGACGGUUACACCUCUUGACACGUGGCUCGCAUCCAGCUGUACACGUGUCACCAUCUGGAACGUCUUCUGCUUGAGCGCCACUCCUACUCUUCAGGCUGUUCGACUAAGUUACUCAGGUGAGGAGCAACUCGGUGCAUAGCUGCCUUGGAGCGCGAUCUUCUUCUAGUGGCGAGCACGGGGUGUCACGUUGCGCCCCUUCUCUGUGAUCUCGCCUGCCGCUAUCACGAUCUGCAUUACUUGCUCAUCGUACAUGUUCUGGUAAACUGUUCCCUGGCCUCAACCUCUGGCUAGGGAAUGAUCAUUUGAUAACUUCAUCCUUCGUACUCGUGCCCCUUGAAGGCCUUGAACAAGCUUUCCUGAUCUUUUGGCGAUCUCUGACCACUUGGUCGCCUAAGUUCACAUACGGCGACUACGACACAAGCCUGGUGACUGCCAGUUUAGAUAUGCUAGAAAUCGGAGCACGCCAACUUAACGAUUGGCGACUACACGAACUCCCCGAUAUCCUUCCCUUCCGUUAGCCAGGUGUUCCGUUCAACACGCCUAUAUUACCACUUGCUGCCACGUCAUCACUCCCGACUACCUGGUCGGUAAAAAAAAAAGUUAAAUAUUCAAUUAUCACUGAAACCAUCUAUUAUCGAUUAAAACAUAUUUUAACUGCUUAAAAAACUAUAUUUUGACAUUUUCUAAAACUAAGUUUCAAAAGUGUAUACUUAUCGUCAUAGAUUUUCAUUCCAUAUUAUCGAUAAAGCAUCACUCUAUUAAUUAAAUCUUUUUUAAACAAAUAUUAAUUUAUCAGUUUUUUGUAUUUUACCUGCUUUAUGCAUGAACUCAUGUAAGACAUUUUUUGGUUUCAAAAAAAGAAAUAAAAGCAUUUAGACAGAUUAUGAACAUAAAUUUUGUGAAAUUAUGUAAAUAGUCUUCCUUGUUACGUUGUGUUUAUCUGAUAUUGAUACUCUCUUUCUUUUUUGGAUUAGAAGGGAGACCUUCGACGUAUCAGUGGAUGUGGUAUGUUUAUGGUAUGAAUUCUACCUGUUUGGAUUACCUAUAUUUGAAUUAGUACGUAAUACUAACAAUUAAUUUUGAUUCUAUAUAGAAAAUCAUUAAAUAAAACCUAGAUAAAAAUUAAUUAGAUAUUGAAUAGAUUGAAUAUUUAGAGUAAUUUCUAAAUUUAUAAACUAGUUUUUAAUUUGUAUCUAAUUAGUUUAUUGGUAUUUAAUUAGCUACCAAAUUUUUACCUACCAAUUUUAGAAUCUAAAGUACUUGAUAGCUAAAAUCUAGGUAGCUAAUUUGAUACUAAUUUAUAAAUUUUAUUAAUAGUAAAAACUACUUCAGAUACUAAUAAUUUUUUGGUCUCUAAAAUAGUAUCUAAUUUAGUCAAUAUAGUGAUGUGAGUUGAUUUGCUAUUACACAUGUUUUUAUAAGUUUCACUUGGAUUGUGAUUUUUUUAUUUGUAAUAAUAGGUGAAGACUCGGUGAAGAUUGUCAUUGGACACAAACUUAACCAAGUGGUAAGUGGUUAAGUAAGUGUGAAAGUUCUCUUCAAAAGAGCAAAGGAAAAAUAUACGCUCUAUGAUGAAUGAUGAACACAAAUUUAAACAUAAUAAGGAAUGAGAAGUGUGGAAUUCAAUAGUGAAGAAAAGAAUAAAAGGAACUAAAAGAGUAUUGGCAGAUGGAAUGGAAAAACAAUGAAAGAGAUAAGAAAUAAAGAAGCUUGUGAAGUGGAGAAAAUGAAGGUGAUUCACGCCACUUGAGGGAGAGAUCUCCUAGAUGAGUGAGGAAGUGAGUCGCCACUUGCAGCCAUUUAUGCCAAGAUAAGACUCAAAGGAUUUGUACAACACUUAGGAUUUCACUCAAUGAGAGUUUCUUUACUAUUCAUUCAAAUGUCGUAUACAAGAAGUGAGGUACCCUAUUUAUAGCCUUUAGUGCCUUGGUGAACAAGUGAGGGGGUGGCUAUUGAAGGAAACAUUCUAGAAUCUAGGGUUGGCCAAGGGUGUCGCACAUGGAGAGGAAAACCUUCUAGAAACUAGGUUAAAAAUGGCCUUUUUAGAAGCUAGGUUAUAGAAUGUAGCACAUGGAUGACACAUAGGGUGAUCUUCUAUAAACUAGGAUUUCUAGAAGCCUAAGCUAGCUUAUUCUUCUUCUUGGGCCAAUUUGAGCCUAAUUUAUUACGUAGUCUAGUCUUGUCAAAAGACUAGAAGAAAGAACAACUGCUAUUUUGGUCCAUGUCUAGGUCUUCUUCUUCUGAGGAUCUUCUGAGGGAUGGUGGGACCUUGUCUCUUAUCCUGAUAUGAAUGACCUAGGUGUGAAUUCUCUUUUGUGCCCUUUUUCAUUUGCUUGUAAAGUUGGGUUCUAUCCCUAGGUUGGAAAGAAUUCGACCUCAAAUUUAGAACUCCUGUAGAUAAUAUAGUUAGUUUGUUCACAGGAAAGAUAGAAACAUUUCUAGAGGUGUGAAGUGAAUCAAACUAAUGUUCGUUGAGCUUUUGAAGUUCUUGUGGAUUAGUUCUAUAUACAUGCGAUGCUUGUAGAGAAUGGUUAGGGACAAAGUGAUUUUGACAUGUAAUGCCUCUUAAAAGGUGUAAACCUUUAAGAGGUUUUGGAAAGUCAUCCCCAAUUUUCUCUAACAAAUAUUUGAAGUAUUUAGAACUAUCAAUAGAUGGAAAAAAUAAGGAAGGAGAAUAUCUAGUAGGAUAGGCAGUAUUUAUUUUCGGUCGAGCCAACAUUACCGUUUUUACUGUGUGGUGAGAUGAUGAGACCCAUUUUGAUUUUGUGAUUUUCCUCACCUUUUUCAUUUUCUCUUUUUGUUUUCAUUUUUUUUAUCAUCAAUAACUUCUUUUGGAGAGAGAGGUUUUAAUAUAAUUUUGUGCCCAUGGAAGUUGAAAGAGAUUUUGUUGGUAAUGUCAUCAUGUAAAAUUUUUCUAUCAUAUUGCCAAGGCCUUUCCAAAAGCAUGUUUGUGGCUUCCUUUGACACAACAUCACACAAAACUUCAUCUUUAUAUUUCCCAAUGGCAAAGAUUAUGUGGACUUGUUUAUUAACCAUUAUUUCACCCUCUUCACUAAGCCAUUGUAAUUUAUAGACUUUGUAUGAGAGAUAGUGGGUAAUUCAAGUUUUUCCACUACUUUUGUACUUGCCACAUUUGCACAACUUCCCCCCAUCUAUGAUCAUGGAACAUAACUUGUUGAUAAGGCAUCGGGUGUGAAAAAUAUUUGCCAACUUUCACCAAUAAGUCACCUUCACAAGGUAUUUCUCAUUCAUCUUGACUAGGGGUUUUUGAAGAGGAAGGGGGGUUAGAUCUAGAAGAUUAAGAAUUAUGGUCACUUACUAUUAUCCCCCUUUUUACCAUCAUGGUUCUUUUAUUAGAGCAAUUUGAAACUAUGUGUCCAAAACCUAAACAUUUAAAACAUUUUUUGCUUGAGGUUUUGGUUGACGAUUUAGUACUAGAAGGAGAAGGGUUGUCUUUACAAAUUUUAUGUUGUGGGGGUGGAUUCUCUAGAGAAAUUGGAAGGAAAAUCUUGAUUUUGAAAUUUAUUUUGUCUUUCCAAGAUGAUUUGUAAAAGCCAUCAUUAUGAGUAUUUUUGAAAUAUUUUUUCUUUAAAAUUUGUGAUUCAACCUUGAUGGCUAGGUGAACCAAUUUUUCCAAAGAUGUAUACUCAUAUAGUUCUACAACAUUUUGAAUUUCUCUCCUUAAUCCACUCAAACAUCUAGUUAUCUUUGACUCUUCACUUUCAUGCAUAUUGAUUUUAGUCAAAGUAAUUUCUGAGUCCUUGAAAUAUUCAUCUACACUUCUAUUUUCUUGAUGAAUUCGUUGGAGCUUCAACAAGAGUUCCUUCUUAUAAUGAGGAGUAACAAACCGCACGCAUGCAAACCUUUAAAUCAUUCCAAGAGACCACGAUUGACAUCUUCUUUAGCCCAAUGUCCAAUACAAUUUGAUGCAACCACUUCAUGGCAUAAUCCUCAAACUUUAGGGAAGCUAACUUUACAUGUUGGUCCUCAUCUACAUCAUAUACACUAAAGAUUUGUUCUACUUUAGCUUCCCAUCCUAGAUACACAUUAGGGUGACUAUCCCUAUUAAAAGAUGGUAAUUUAACAAAAGGUAUGGGUUUCUUGGGUUGUUGAUGAUGGUGGUGCAUAUCUUCAUAAUUGUGGCCUCUCCAUUCUUCCUCGUCUUAUUCUUGACUCCCAUAAUGCCUUUGAUACCUUGUUGCUCUUCUAGGAUCCCAUCUUCUUUGUCGAUUUUGCCUCUCUUGUGAAUCUUCUAGCAUUUGAAGCCUUUCCAUCGUUUGUCUCAUAUCCUCUUCUCUUUGAACCAAGCUCCUCUUGUUCUCUUCAAGCUCCACCAUAAGGUUUUCCCUUUGAGGAGAAGGUGGCUUGGAGGAUUCCCCUGAUGACAAGUGAGUCAUAAUUUGUGCACAAACAAAAUCAAUUAGUUCAAACGAACAAUUAAAUCACUCUCUCACGUGUAUCACUUGGCUUUUUGAGAAAAAGAGGAAGAAGGGUUAAGAUCACUCAAUCAAGAAAGGUUUUAAAAUCCAAAGAGCCCACACGUAUGAGAAUUGCUUCAAGUGAAAGAGGUCAAAACUCUUAUCACUCACUCAAACAAAACUUAAAGAAAUUUGAAGACAGACAAGAAAAGUUGAAAGAAAGAAAGCUAAACCAAAUUUGAAUGAAGAUGAAGACAAAAUUUUAACAAGACAAGCAAUAAAAGCACUUUUAAGACUCAAAGAAACACUUAAUUAAAUUUUAACUAUGAAGUUUACAUUUAGAAAUUAUCAAAUUAAAAAGGAUAAAAUUUCACAAGUUAUGAAAACAAUUUGCCACACAAAUAGAAUCUUUUUUAGCAACUUGAUUUUUGAAAUGUGAAUGCACAGAAUUACCUGGCUACAAUCAAAGAAUUACAGUGAUCAAGAAAGAAAGGAAUGGAGUACACCUGGCUACAAUCAAAGAUUAGCACAGUGAAUACAACACAAUCCUAUUCCACUCUUAAGAAUGAUCCAAAGCUUUUUGAAAAUCUUGGAAAACUGAUUUGAAUGAUUUUCCUUAGUUAAAUUAUGACCAGAAGCGUAAAACAACUUAUUUAAACUCCAAUCAGAUGGUCAAAGCAUUUAAUACAAGAGCCAAAAUCAGUUUAAAUCAUUUAAAGCAACUUAAAGGCAUUUAACAGAAUUUUGUUAAGGUUUUCAGAAAAUCAAUCAGUUAAAAAAUCAAUCGAUUGAAUUGGUUUGAUAGCAAAGUCAAACAAAGUCAAGCUUUUUCAAAUCCUUUUCAAAAUAAACUAAGUGUAAAACAACCGGUUGAAUCGAAAUUUCAAUAGGUUGAGUUUUCACUUCUUUAGAAAACAUAUCUUUUUCAAAACGAUUGAAAUCAAACAACCUUGAGUAAUCACAAAGAGUGAAUUAACAAAUUCAAAUACUCUAGACACACACACAACCAACAACAAGGAUCUUAAUGCAUUCCACUUGGAUUUGGAGACAUCAAAGCAGCUUGUUCAACAAUGUCCCCCGAUUUUAUGAAGACAAAUCCCUAGUUUACUUGUGUUGUCGUUUUUUAAUUUGAUGGAUCCUACAAAACAAAAAUCAUGCACAUACAAGACACAUAUAGCAGCAUGAUAACCCAAGUUUAAUAAGCACACAAAGACCAGUUUUCUGCAUAAGCUUUCAAGCAGAUAAACUAGAAAAACAGUUUGAAAACAGUGGUGAAUUAAGGUGCAAAUCAGAGAUAUAGCAGCAUACAUAACACAUAAGAAACCAUAGAGUGCAGCAACAACAAAGUACAACACAAAAAUCAUACCAUUCUCCCCUUAUUUGUCUUCACAAAUAGAAUAAGAAAAGGGAUAAAAACAAAAUUAAGAAAUAAUUUGAGAAUGAAGAAUACCCAAUUCAUUUCUUAAGAAGAAAAACCUUUCCUUAGGCAGUGGCUUAGUGAAGAUAUCUGCAAGUUGCUUUUCAAUUUCAAUAAACUGAAUUUCACGAUCUCCAUUGCUCACAUGAUCCCUUAUAAAGUGGUGGCGGAUCUCAAUGUGCUUAGUCCCUGAAUGCCGAAUCUGAUUUUUAGUGAGGUUGAUGGCACUUGUGUUAUCACAAAGCAAAGGGAUAUUACUGACGUACAACCCAAAAUCCUCUAGUUGUUGUUUGAUCCAAAGGAUUUGAGCACAGUAGCUACCAGUAGCUAUAUACUCAGCUUCUGCAGUUGAGAGGGCCACACAAGCUUACUUCUUGCUAUGCCAAGAUACGAGGCUUGAACCAAGAAGAUGACAAGUACCCGUUGUGCUUUUUUUAUCCAGCUUGCCCCCUACAAAAUCAGAAUCAUAAUAACCAACCAAAUGUAUAGGAGAGUGAAAGGGAUACCAUAAACCAACACGGGUUGUGCCCUUAAGAUAUUUUAGAAUUCGUUUGGCAACUUUGAAGUGAAAUUCUUUUGGAUUUGAUUGAAAUCUACCACAUAGACAAACUACAAACAUGAUGUCUGGCCUGCUAGCAGUGAGAUAAAGCAAAGAACCAAUCAAUCCUUUGAAUUUGGUUUGAUCUACUACUGUUCCAGCCAAGCCAUCAUCCAUAUAAUAGCUUGUGAACAUUGGUGUGGAUGCCUCUUUGCAGUUUUCCAUCUCAAACUUCUUGAGAAUCUCCUUGUAGUACUUGGUUUAGCUUAGGAAGAUGUCAUCCUUUGAUUGCUUGACUUGCAAUCCUAAGAAGAAGGAUAACUCUCUCAUCAUAGACAUCUCAAACUCCCCCUGCAUAGUUGCAACAAACUCCUCACAUAGGCAGUCAUUAGUAGCACCAAAUAUGAUGUCAUCAACAUAAAUAUGAACCAAAAUGAUAACAGAUUUUGACUUUUUAAUAAAAUGAGUCUUAUCAAUUUUUUCUCUCUCAUAGCCAUGAGAUAAGAGAAAAUUGCUAAGCCUCUCAUACCACACUGUCUAGGGGCUUGCUUGAGUCCAUACAAAUCUUUUUUCAGCUUGUACACAUGGUGAGGAUGUUGAUGAUCUUCAAAACCAGGAGGUUGUGAAACAUAAACUUCCUCAUUGAUGAAUCCAUUGAGAAAUGCACUCUUCAAAUCCAUCUUAAACAAUUUGAAACCACUCAUGCAAGCAAAAGUAAGUAGUAAUCUCACAACUUCCAAUCUGGCCACAGGUGCAAAGGUUUCAUCAUAGUCAAUACCCUCUUCUUGAUUGUAUCCUGUAGCAACCAACCUAGCUUUUUUCUUGUUAUCACACCAGAUUCAUCCAAUUUAUUUCUGAACACCCACUUGGUUCCAAUGACAUUCAUGCAAUCAGUCUUGGGAGCGAGAAACCACACAUCAUUUCUGGAGAAUUGAUUUAGCUCAUCAUGCAUGGCAGCAACCCAAUUUUCAUCUUUAAGUGCGUCACCAAUAGAUUUAAGUUCAAUUUCAGAUACAAAAGUCAUGUGUUUGCAGUAAUUAGAGACAAAGUUACGAGUAGACACUCCCUUAACAAUUUGUCCAAUGAUGUUGUCCACAUAAAGAUCUAUAGGAAUCCUCCAUUUUUUGGGAAGUUCAUUCUGUUGCAGAAUUUCAACCGGUUGUUUCGAAGAAUCAAUCGGUUGUUUUUCUUGACAAAAUUCCAGCUUCUGCAGAAUGGUGUUCUGCUAAUUUUCUUCUGCAUAAUUCUUCAUGGAUUCUUGUUAUGUGUUGGGCUUAAAGGUUAUUUGAUAACCUUUGUCACACAACUGGCUUAUGUUAAGGAGACUAUGCUUGAGUCCUUCCACAAAAAGCACAUCAUGGAUCAAGAAGGUGUUCUUGUCUCCAAUGGUUCCUCUCCCAAGAAUUUUCCCUUUGUUGUUGUCUCCAUAAGUCACAUGACCUUCAUGCUUGAGAAGUAGAUUAACAAACUUGGUUUUAUCCCUCGUCAUGUGCUUGGAACAUCCACUGUCCAGGUACCACAUAUGCUGGUUUUCCAUCAAAGAACCCUACAAGAAACAAAAUCAAAAGGCACGAUUUGGUCCCCUUACAAAUUUAGGUUCAUGGGCAUUAACUAGAUGAUUAGGAACCUUAGAAUUCGUAGGAACCCACUUCAAAACACCCUUAGGAACAUAAAAUUUCCUAACUCUGCAGAAUCUAACAGAGUGGCCCUUCUUCAUAAAGUAAAAGCAUGAAAAAACCGGUUGUUUCGACAAUUCAAUCGGUUGUUUUUCAAAAAAAGCUUGAAAAUGGCUUUGAAACUGGUCUCUUCUUGCUGUGUGGAUUAAAACCCAAUCCAACUUUGCCAAAAACACACUUUUGAGAUGCAAGAACAGUUUCAAAGUUUGAUUGGCCUUUUGAAAAUUUAUCCACAGUUUCUACAAGAUAGUGGACUUUCUUUUCAAAUGAUUCACAGUUUUUACAAAAGCUAGAGUCACAUUUGCAAGAAGAGUUUUCGUAAAUCAUUUCCAGAUUUUCAAAAUUAUUUUUCGAAUUGUUCAGCUCUUCUUCCAAAGUCUUGACUCUGUUUUCAAGCCAAUUAUUCAUGCCUUUCAAUCAAUUAUUUAAAAGGGUCAGCCUAUUAGCUUCUUCAAGAGUCUCUUUAAAAGCAUCAAGAAGUUGACUGUAAUUUUCAAAGUUUAUGGAGGUGCUGGAACUUACUUGUUUCAGAUUUUCCCUUUUCUAUCAAGCACAAAUUUGCCUUUUCAUCUCCAUUUGAUGAUGAGCUAGUGGAAGAAACGUCAUUGUCUUGUCAAGCAAUGUAGGCUCUUUUACAUUUGCCCUUCUUCUCAAGUUUCUUUCUUUCAUUGUUGAGGCAAUCAACUUUGAUAUGUUCUUGCUUACCACAACCAAAACAAGUAUAAUUGUUAGAAUUAAAAUCAUUGAGUUUCUUACUAUUAUACCUAUUUGAAGACUGGUUCUUGUUCAUGUUCUUUUUCAAGAACUUGCUGAAUUUUCUGGUAAACAAGUUAAGAGUUUCCCCAUCACUGCCCUCACUUUAUUCUUGACCUCCUUUAUGACCAACAACUUUCAAAGCAAUGCUCCUCACAUGCUUCUCUUCAUGCUCUUGAUCAUUCAACAUGUUCAUCUCGUGUUCCCUAAGCUUACCGAACAGGGAGGUUGUUGCCAAGUCAAAUCUUUCGAUUCAAAGAUAGUAGUGACUUUAGGUUGCCAAGUUUUGUCCAAGCAUUUGAGGAUCUUGAUGUUAAGUUCCUUCCUUUCAAAUAUUUUGCUAAGGCUGAUGAGAUGGUUUACAAUUGAGUGAAUCUCUUUUGUACAUUAGCAAUGGUCUCCCCUUUGAACAUUCUAAACAUCUCAUACUCCUAAAUUAGAGCAUGCUUUCUUGCUCUUUUGAUGUCAGUGGUUCCUUUAUGUGUAACCUCAAGAGUGUCCCAAAUCUCUUUUGUUGAGGCACAUUGUGACACCCUGAAAAACUCAUCAGAAUUUAGAGCAGAUGUGAUGAUGUUUCUAGCAAUAAAAUCAAAUUGAGCUCUUUUACUUUCAAUCUCAGUCCAUUGGGACAAAAGUUUUUCUAUGAAAACAUCAUCUUUUUCAAACAUUGGAAUAAAAGGGCCAUUUACAAUGGCAUCCCAAAUUCCUCUAUCAAUAGAUUCAACAAAGAUCUUCAUUCCAACCUUCCAAAACUGAUAAUUUAGUCCACAAAGAAAAGGUGGCCUGUUUAUUACAGCAUCCUCCCGAAAGGAUAGUUUUUCAGCCAUAAAAAAAAUUAGGAUAAAAAACUUGAAUGACUUUCAAGAACCUAGCUCCUGAUGCCAAUUGUUAGAAAUGUAGGCCUUAAACAAGAGGGGGCAAAUUGUUCAUGAAACAAUUUUUGCAAAUAUUGAAGGUAGAGUGAAAGACAAUGAAGAAUCAAUCAAUUCAAAAUCAGUUCAGCCAAUUAGAAAAUUGUUUUUAAUUUGAUUGUUGAAAAUCAACCGGUUGUUUUUGCGAAAUAAUCAGUUGUUUAUAUCACCAAAGUUGAAAAUCAAAGCAAAAACAGAUUUAAAGAGUGUAAGGAUAGAGAGAUUAACACAAAAUAUUUAUACUGGUUCACUCUUUACCAAAAGCUACAUCUAGUCCUCAUAAACCACUAAGAAUUCACUAAGUAAUCAAACCUUGAUUACAAACAACACACCAAAAUGGUGAUCUUGAACCCUUCAAGAACACACACCACCUUUGACAACACCACACAAUUUUCAGAACAACCUUUGAAACUACACAACACCAGUUCACACAGAAUUACAAUGAUCAAGAAAGAAAGGAAUGGAGUACACCUAAGUAAAAUCAAAGAUUAAAGCACAGUGAAUAUAGCACAGUCCUAUUCUACUCUUAAGAAUGAUCCAAGGUUUUUUUAAAUCUUGGAAAAUUGAUUUGAAUGAUUUCUCUUAGUUGAAUUAUAACCAGGAGCGUAAAACAACUUAUUUAAACUCCAAUCAGAUGGUCAAAACAUUUAAUACAAGAGCCAAAAUCAGUUUAAAUCCUUUAAAGCAUAUUAAAGCCACUUAACAAAAUUCGGUUAAUGUUUUCAGAAAAUCCAUCGGUUGAAAACACGAAUCAAUCAAUUGAAUUGGUUUGACAGCAAAGUCAAACGCAGUCAAGCUUUUUCAAAUCCUUUUCAAAAUACACCAAGUGUAAAACAACUGGUUGAAUCGAAAUUUCAACAGGUUGAUUUUUCACUUCCUUUAGAAAACAUAUCUUUUUCAAAAGGAUUGAAAUCAAACAACCUUGGAUCAUCACAAAGAGUGAAUUAACAAAUUCAAAUACUCUAGACACACAUACAACCAACAAUAAGGGUCUUCAUGCAUUCCACUUGGAUUUGAAGACAUCAAAGCACAUUGUUCAACAUAAAUUGUAAAGCAAAAUUAACUCAGAAAAAUUUAAGCACAAAUAAAUCAUGUUUUGAAUACCACAUUAUGUGAGUUGAUUUGCUAUUACACAUGUUUUUAUAAGUUUCACUUGAAUGAUGAUUUUUUAUUAGCAAUAAUAGGUUGAAUUGUCUUUUAUGUCCUUGGUCAUCUACUUAUAAAGUUGGGUUGUAUCAUAUAGUGACUAACUAUUUUUAGUCUCUAAAAUUAGUUUUUAUUUAAUGAUUUUCUUGUAGUGUUGUCUAUUUUACAUUCUUUUUUUUUAUUUUUUAUGUUUAAAUAUAGUUUUAAUCUCUUCAAUUAAAUUUUUGAUUUUCUUUAUGUUGGUCUUCUAAAUUAAACCCCAAACCCCAAACCCUAAACGUAAAUAAUUUAUAAAAUAUUAUUUGUGAAGAUUUUUAACCACAAUAAGUAACAACAAUGAAGUAAAGAUUAAAACAUGAAAAACAAAAGUAAUAAAAAAUUUAAUAUUAGUCUUAUUAAGAAGUUUUUUUUAAGACAUAACAAUGACAUAAAUAUAUAAAUAUGACAACAAAAAAAGACUAAAUUAGUUUUAACUAAUAUUUAUAAUCCAAUAUCUCUUUUAAAUUCAACAUGCAUUAGUACCAAUUUAAGUAAAACUUUUCUUGUUGUCAUGAUACAUAGAAUUGGUCUAGAAAGAGAAACAUCCAUGUUAGAAAGAAGCCAACGCAACUAAGUUAUCACAAUAGUGGUUAAAGUCAUGACACGAUAUUCAACUUCAAUAGAGGGACCAAAAAUAAUAUCUUAUUUCUUGUUCUUCCGAUAGAUAAUAGAAUCUUCUAGAAAAAUACAAAAACAUGUAAUAGUCUUAUGAUCAGUAAGGUCACCAAUCCAAUCAACAUCAGAAUAAGCACACAACUUCAAGGAAGAUGAUGAGGGAAAGAGAAGGCUCUCAAGUUGAGUACCACAAAGGUAUCUAAGAAUGCAAAGAACAAUUAUCCAAUGCAUUUUGGUAGGAGAAAUAAGAAAUUGAUUCACAACAUAAACAACAUAAGCAAUAAAAAGAUGAGAAAUGGGGGGGAUAUAAUAGCUUAUCAACAAUAGUAUGAUACAUAGUGAGAUAUGAAGAGACAUCAUUAGAAGAAGUAUAUUUCACAUUAAGCUCAAUAGGGGUGUUAGUUGUGUGAGUAUUAGAAAUUAGAGCAUGUGUUAAAGUGAAAAAAUAGUUAGAUUGAGAGAGAAGAUAACAUUUAGGAGAAUAUACGACUUUAUUCUCCAAGAAAUAACGAAAAUAACCCAAAUCCUUUCAUUUUAAACUAUAUUUCCAACUACAAUGAUAAAAACCCAUUCAAACUCAAAACAUUUGGCUAAGAAGAUUGGAAGUAGAAAAAGGAGCUCAGAAAACUCUCGUCUCAAGGAGAAAUAAUUGUUGUCUGCUCUUCCAUUUUUCUCUAGUUUUAUAACCAUUGUAUAGAGUAGUAUAGGCUUUAUUUUGGACUUGUAUUUGGGUCAUUUUCUUGGACCAUGUUUUGGGCCAAUUUUCAUGGGUCAUAUAUUGGGCCAAUUAUAGUUGGGUGUAAAUCGAAAAAGAAAGAGUCUAGCUAGAGUUACAAUUGGGCCUCCUUGGACCCAAUGCAACUCUAAGCCAUCUAGAAUGCAUAAAUAAAUUACUAGAAUGAAAAUAGAAAACAUGAAGUGACAAGGAAGGCAUGAAAGUCCACAUGUCAUCCCCUCAAUGGAGAGGAUUCCCACCAAUGCCAAAAGGCCAUUUGUAUUCAUAAGAAUGGAGAGGAUUCUCUCCAAUUAGAGAAGAACACUUAUCAACUUCUAAUUUGAGAGGAUUUGCUCCAAUUAGAGAGAGUUAUUUGUCCUUCUAUGAGUGGAGGGUUUUUGGGGUUGAAGCUUGCACCUUGGCUGCCUGUAACAUUAUAAAUACAAGUGCUAGCCCAUUGUAAAUGAGCUUUGAAUAGAAUAUUGAAUUGUUGUCCAAAUCUGUGCAUAUCUUGUCUUCUUUGUUCACUCUUUGCUAGCAUUAGUUUUGUGUCUAGCUUAGAACUUCUUAGGAGUUUAGGGUUUAGGGUUCAUGGUUUUUUUUUCACUUAUUUUAGUCAUCCAAUCCCACCAAAUUUCACACCCCAAAAAUACAAAACAAAAAACUCAUAGCAAUGCAAGCUAGGAUUGUAUCACAAUUUCAACUCUACAAUUUGAUUUACAUCAUCCCCGAUGAUUAUCAUGUCAUUAACAUAUAAAGAGAGAAUAAUACAAUCAUGAGAAGUAGUAUUCAAAAUGAAAGCAAAGUGCAAUCACUAGAACAAAAUCCAAAAGAUACAAUAAUUAUGGAGAACUUUUCAAACCAAGUUUGGGAGCUUGUUUGAGACCAUAAAAACUCUUUCUUAACUUACACACCUCCCUUGGAUUAUGAGAAACACCUAGAGGAGGUAUCAUGAAUACCUCCUUUCUUAUAUCAUCAUUUAAGAAAUCAUUUUUAAUAUCUAUCUAAAAAAUAUCCUAUUGAAAAAUAAAGGCAACAAUAAUAAGAGUACGAGUGGUAGUCAUCUUAGCAAUCGAUACAAAAGUUUUUGCAUAAUCUAGAACAUAUUCCUAAGAGAAUCCUUAACGACUAAACAAGUUUUGUAAUGGUCAACAAACCCAUCCAAAUUUGUUUUAAUUUUAUAGACCCACCAAGAGCCAAUGCCUUUUUUUUUCUUGGAGGAGGAGAUAUCAAAUCCCAAGUAGAAGUCUUAUAUAAAGUAGAAAGUUCCUCUUGCAUAGCCUGUUGUCAUAGUGGAUCAAGGAAAACCUCUUGAUGAGAAGAAGACUCAAACAAACUAUGAAUUCUGGUUAAGAAGGAAUUAAAGGAAGAAGAAUAAAUAGAUUAAACCAAAUUUGGUGAUUGGAUGGACUUAUGAACACGUUGAGGAUACCAAGGAUGUGAGGGAUCAAAAUCACAAAAGGUGCUUAGGAAGUCAUGGGGAGAUCUUGAGUUGUUGUAGUACCAUUAUAAUCCUUGCAAUUCUCAAUUCCAAGAUUAUUUACAUCAUCAUCAUUUAUGAAAAAGGGAUCAAUACAAAUGAGAUCUGACCUUGUAGAGUUAUGAGAGUUAGAAGGAAAUGAAUAUAAUGGAAUGUACUUAUGGAAAAUAACAUGAUGAGAAACAUAGAGUUUGUGAUUGGUAGGAUCAUGACAAUGAUAAUUCUUUUGACAAUCCCUAUAACUAUGAAAAACACAUAAUACAAAAUGAGAGGACAAUUUACUAUGUUUAACUUUGUGGAUGAAGAAAAAAAGUAGAACCAAAACCUUUCAAGGAAGAGUAAUCGGAAACACAACCACAUAACUUUCAAAAGGGAGACACACCUGAGAUAGUAGAAAAUGAAAUUCGGUUUAUAACAUGGACAAAAAUAAGAGCAACCUCAUUCAAAAUUUCAUUGGAACUGAAGCAUACAAUAAAAGAAAAUGAGCAGAUUCAAGAAUGUAGCAAUGUUUUCUUUCAGCAACUCCAUUCUGUUGAGAAGUAUCAAUACAAGAAGUUUGAUGAAGAGUUCCAUCGAUGGUAAGUAAUUCACAAAAUUUAUUAAAAGUGUACUCACCACCCAAAUCACAUUAAAAACAUUUAAUAACAACAUUAUGUUAGUUUUAAGCUUAGUGUGAAACAUAAGAUAUACAUUAAAAAAAACUCAGAAAAAUGUUUCAUAAGAUAAGCCCGACAAUAAUAAAUAUGAUCAUCAAUAAAAGAGACAUAAAAGUAGGAUAGGCAUUGAUAGGAAAGAAGGAUAAACCCUAUGCAUCAUAAUGAACCAAGCCAAAAGAUGUAUGACAUGUAAAAACACUUGAUAAAAGGUAUAGUAGUAAAUUUGACAAGUUUACAAUAAUAAAAAAUAUCAAUGGUUUGUAACUUGCGUAAAAUUCUAAUGAAGACUUAGUAAGUUAAUCUAGAGAAAGAAACAUGUCCAAUACAUAAAGAUGGUAAAUCAAUAAUCGAAGUUGUAAUAACGAAUUCUUUAGCUCAUCUACUAUAUAAAAUCCCUUAUCUACAAUUUAUCUCAAUCAACCUUCCAAAUUAAAGAUAAUUAGUAGAAGAAAAAAAAUGAAUAACCAAAAGUCACAUAAUUAAUUAAAUGACAGAGACAAAAUUGAAAAUGAGAUUUGGAAUAUAAUAAACAUUUGAAAGCGACAAAGUAAUAGAAAAUCCACAUUUGCCUGUCAAACCAGGUGAUUCUACUAGUAGGUGAUUACCAAUGAUAUGGGCUUUAAUGCCAUAUUAGAUUUUAACCUAAAACCAAACCAAAUGACAUUAAGUGAAGUUGUCUAUUCAUGUAUAAACUACACUCUCAUACUUGAUGCAGACCAUGUAAAACUUCUCAACACGCGUCUCAAAAGAUGUUUGUAGAACCAAAGCGAGCCUAAUAAUAGUACCAAAUGAAUAUAUAUACUUAGUACCAUGAUAAUAAUGAAACAAAAUAUGAUGAUACAUGAAAAGAAAUUGAUUUCAUAUACUAAUCUUAAUAGAAAGACUCAAAACAUAACAAAUAUAUAAAUAUGAAAAUAAUAUAAAAGUUACCCUACACUUAAUUAUUUAAUAUAUAUAUAUAUAUUAUUAUUAUGCUAACAACAAGUAAAUAAAAUUAGGGUAAAUAGGCGUAUUAAGAUAUGGAGGAUUGUGAUGCUAUUCUGAAUCCUAACUCAAAAUUUACAUAUCAUGAAAGAAAGAAGAAAAAAAGAAAAAAGUGGGAGAGAAGUAAAGCAAAAGAAAAUUUGAAAACAACUCAAAAUUUAAAAUCCCAAACAAGAAGAUCAUGUCCAAAAUUUAAAUUUAGACAGUUUAGAAAUCGCAGUAAAUUGGAAAUCCAAAAUACCUUACGCGUCUAUGAUGAAGAAGGAUAAAAAUAACAUUUUGUAAGUUAUAUAACUACAAUUUUUUUUUAAUGUCAUGAAUAAAAAAGGGAGUCGGAUUUGAGGAAAAAAAUUAAACUUUUUUAUUAAGUUUAAAAUAUAAGUAAUUCAAAUUCACCAGUCAUAUAGUAAAACAGUUCUUCCAUGACAUUGUGCAUGCUCCUCCUUAAAUAUAUAUAUCAUUGCUGAUAAUAUAUAUAUAUAUAUAUAUAUAUAUAUAUAUAUAUAUAUAUAANNNNNNNNNNNNNNNNNNNNNNNNNNNNNNNNNNNNNNNNNNNNNNNNNNNNNNNNNNNNNNNNNNNNNNNNNNNNNNNNNNNNNNNNNNNNNNNNNNNNAAAUGGAAAAAAUAAUUUACUUUGUUUCUAUCACAUGGUUUUAUUCCUCUAUUUCUAUAUGUUAUAAAUGAUAAGUACAAUGGAACAAGUAUUUUCAUAAAUAUAUUUAUUUUGAAUAAAAUAUAAAAAUAUAAAAAAAUUGAAUAAAUUAUUUAAAAGUUAAAACAAAUUUAUAUGUAAACUAAGUUUUAGGCAUUCUUUAUAUAACCUUUUUAACUUUUAAUUUCUAAUUUAUAAAUAAUUUGAUUUCAUUUUUAUCUUUUUAUUUUUCUUUUAUAAAAAUACUUAUAAAAAAUUGUCCAAAUAUAAAUAAUAUUAUUUACAAAAACUAUUUUUUCCAAAAUAGUUCUAUAAUAAUUUCACAUUAUUAUUCUUUUUUUUAUUAUGAUGAGAUCUAUCACUUUGAUUCUUGAUUCUUCCAAUAACAUACUUUUAAUGAUAACAAUUUGUGUACAGGUGCUAGGAGAGUAAUUCUUAUUGACUAUUUAUAAGUUAACUUAACAACUUCCUUGAUUAAUUAAUACUAGGAAAACUCAUAUCCACAUUUUUAUUUCACUAAAAUAAUAUAAUUUUGUAAAAAAUAUAUUAAAAAUAUUAAAAGUAUAAAAUUUAGAAUGUAUAUAAUUUUGUAAAAAUAAUAUUAAAAUAAUAUAUAUGGUAGUUAUCUAUACCAUUGAGGAUAGAUUUUUUAACCACCUUUAGUAUCAUAUUUUUAAUUAAUAAUUUUAUCCUAUGAUAAAUUUAUUCUUUUAGUAAAAGAUGAUAUUUUUUUUAAUGGUCUAACUUUCCCACUUAAAAUAACAUAAACAUACAUUUUCUUUUAAUUUUAAAUCAUUCUAUUGGAAAUAUAUAUUUUUUUAAAUUGUUUUAUUUGAAUCAAGAAAAUAUGAAUUGUUUCUACAAGUUUUUAAGUAAAAAAGUUAUUUAGUUAUUUUUUUAGUAGAAAUAAAUUAUUUAUUAAAAAAAUUAUUUAUUAAAAAGUAAAAAUAUCAAAUUAAAAAUGACGUCAAAGAUCAUUAUCAAAAUAUGUACUUUUUUUUAUAUAAUUGUAUAGAUUAUUUUCGUAGCAAUAAGUUAUCCAAUUACUUAUUUUAUUAAAUAAAAAAUUAUAUUUUAUAUUAAAGAAUUAUUAUUUUUAAUUAAAAUAUGACAACAAAAAUAAUUAUCAAAAGGUGUAUUCGCUAUAUAAUAGUGUAGACGAUGAUGAUCAUAAUAAUAACAUUAAGUAUAAAUAAAUUUAAAAGUUUUAAAGAUUUUAUCUUUAUUAUAUUAAUAAAAAAAGGUGACAAGUGAUUUUUUUAUUUCAAGGAAGGUGUGCUUUUUUUUCUUUCUUUAUUACAACAUGAUGAUGACAUUUGCGAUAUUAAUUCACAGGAUUGUAUUUUACAAUAACUGGACCAAACCAAAAUCUUGAACAUUACGGUGCAUAUCAAUCCGUAUUAAUUACGUUGGGACACUAUGUUAUACCAUACUUUAUACUUAGAUAUGUUAUUGUCACCGUAUUGUUUAUUGCUAUUUUGACAUACAAGUGGAGAAGAAGACACUCAUCAGAAUACGAAAAUAUUGAAAGUUAUUUAGAGCAAAAUAACUUGAUGCCUAUUCGAUACACAUACAAAGAAAUUAAGAAGAUGGCCAUAGGUUUCAGCGAAAAGUUGGGUGAAGGAGGUUAUGGCUCUGUAUUUAAGGGAAAGUUGCGUAGUGGACCUUGUGUUGCCAUAAAAGUGUUACGAAAAUCAAAAGGUAAUGGACAAGACUUUAUCAAUGAAGUUGCAACAAUUGGAAGAAUACAUCAUCAAAAUGUAGUACAGUUAAUUGGAUAUUGUGUUGAGGGCUCAAAACAUGCCCUUGUUUAUCAGUUCAUGUCCAAUGGAUCUCUUGACAAAUUUAUAUUUUCCAGAGAAGGAAAUUUGCAUUUAACCUAUGACACAAUAUAUAAUAUAGCAAUUGGAGUAGCACGUGGGAUUUCAUAUCUACACCAUGGGUGUGAGAUGCAGAUUUUGCAUUUUGACAUCAAACCCCACAACAUCUUGCUUGAUGAAAAAUUUACCCCAAAAGUUUCUGACUUUGGAUUGGCAAAACUAUAUCCAAUAGAUAAAAGUGUUGUAACUAUGACAGCAGCAAGAGGGACAAUUGGAUACAUGGCUCCAGAAUUGUUUUAUACAAAUAUAGGAAGAAUAUCAGAUAAGUCUGAUGUUUAUAGUUUUGGAAUGCUUCUAAUGGAGAUAGCAAGCAAGAGGAAAAACUUAAACCCCCAUGCAGAGCGUUCAAGUCAACUUUACUUUUCCUUUUGGAUUUAUGAUCAACUUGACAAAGAGAAAGAUAUAGAUAUGGAAGAUGUCAUAGAGGAAGAGAAGAAAAUUGCAAAAAAAAUGAUGAUAGUUUCACUCUGGUGCAUACAAUUAAAACCAAAUGAUCGUCCUUCCAUUAAUAAGGUAGUCGAAAUGCUUGAAGGAGACAUUGAGAACCUUAAAAUUCCUCCAAAGCCUUCUCUGUAUCCACAUGAAACAUUGGAAAAAAUUUGCUCUGGCCAAACAACAUUGUCUGAGUUUAUUAGUUCUUCAAGCAAUUCCAUGGAAAUUGCCACUAAUGCUCCCCUAGAUGAAAGUAUUUGAUAAUGUAUAUUAGUUGUUUAUUUGCAUCCAACUUAUUGACUUGAACAUUGUUCAUGUAUAAUAUUUACAUUCUCUUAGUUAUUUUCUAUAUAAUGUUGUAUACUUAAAAGUUUAAAGUAAUGGUUUACCAAAUUUAAACAUUUGUUAAAAAAAUUCAGUUAUGUUCAUUAUACUAAAGUAGUUGUAGCCUCCUAAGUUUUUUUUUUAACUGUUAUUUAAAACAUGAUCAAAUAUAAUAACAAGUGAAUUUAGUUAAAAUAGGUAUAUUUUCUAGUAAGUGCAUGUACUAAAUUCUACAAUAAUUGAGAUUGUGUUGUAAGCUAGAUAAUAGUAAAGGAUUGUAUGUGAAAGUAAUCAAAGAAUUCAUCAAAUCAAUUAUAAUUUGUUACUUUAAUUUGUUUUGUUUUAAUUUGUUUCUAAACAUGUAUUUUAAGAAAAGUUUUGAUGAGUAUGAAAUAAAAUAGUCUUUUUAAUAUCCCAAAUGACCUUAAGCCCUUAACUUAUAUUUUGGGAGUUUUUUUAACUAAAAUUUCUCUAAUAAAUAAUACCAUGUGUACAAUGUUACCAACUUUCAUCAUAUGACAAAAAUUCAUUGUCUAAUCUCGUAAUGGUGGAACACUAUUAGUAACUUUAUAAUUAAGUUGUGUCACGCAUCAUUGACUUUUUUUAAGCAAUAAUCUUAAUACUUUUAUACAUUACAAAAAAAUUAUGUUUAAUGUUUUUUUUGUUUUAUUAGCAUUUUAAACCCGUUAAACUUAUUAUUCACAAUCCUAAAAGUUGUCGACAAAACAUUAGUGAUAAACAAUUUACUACAAUCAUUAUUAACACAAAAUUACUUGUACAGUUAUAAAAUCUCUUAAUAUCAAACAUUAUACAUGCAAUUUCAUUAACGUUAUAAUAUAUUAUUUACGAUUUUCUAAGUCUUGAGGCUGCAUUUGGUAAUAUCAAGAUAACAAACGAAUAUGAAUCUUCUUUCCACCUUUCAUUUCACGAAAAUCCUACAAGAUAAGUUAACCCAAUGUUUCUUCUAAUGCCAUAAUCUAACAAAUAAUCUAACAAAUUUUACAUAAGAAAAUUGGAUUUAGAGUUUUGUUAACAUGUUGAAGAACUUCAAUAUAAGACGAAUUGGGUUGGAAGAAAUAAUUGAAAUAAUUCCUCAUGACAUACAUGCUUCUAAUAUGACAAAAUGAUAUAUAUUUAACAAACGAAGUGUUCUCGAACGAGUUUGGGACCUAGAGAACAAUUGCUCAUAUUCUUAUGCUCGGUCGACCUAGUACUCUUGAGACUCCUCAAUGCGUUCGCGCUUCCUGAUGUGCUCCCUUCCUCUCGGUCGUCCUGCUCCACAGGCGGGGAUGGUACCUGUAGAAGGCACUUCAACGCUCAAGUCAGUUAGGGUGUCGGUAUUUGGUUAUCAGAGUAUUGUAGAUAAUGACGUACCUUUCUUUUGAAAUGCGUACUAUUUAUAUUACCUUAAUGGGCCUUCACUGUUGGGUCGGGUUAAGGGAUUUGGUUUGCGUUUAGGGUUGUGUUAAGCUACCAUUAACCAUGGAUUAGUUUUGCUAACCUGAUCAACCUUUUACUCGAACGUUAUGGGUCGGUCGGCCACGCGUAGUGACGUGGCCAUCUAUUUAUUAUCUUGGCGGCGGCGUAGGUCGAUUGCUGGCCGACUCAAUGUGUCGUCCGGUCGUGCCAGUACAGUUGCCCCCCAUGCUCGUGUUCUAGUACAACCAAAGAGUCUGAAAAUGGGGCUCGGGCGGUGGUGUAAUGGUAGAUGAAGUGACAGGAAAUGGCGCCUGAGCGGGUGAUGUGACGUGCAUUUAUGAGGGGGUUUUUGGGCGUCAAACGAUGUGGGUCGUUAGAUCAAGCAGAUCUGACGGUUGAGAUUUUGUGACGUUUGGGUUUCCGAGACGUUCUUGGGCUAUAAAUAUGGGUUGGUAGUAGUGGCCUCUUACACAUUUUAAUAUUGAUUGAGUUUCGACACCCGAGUGCAUCCGAGUGAUCUUUGCUGCUAUCGUCGUCCGUUCCAAGGUUAGUCAUGUCUACCCACUCCCAUCCCACUUCUUCUUCUUCUCCCGCUCGGUCUCCUCUUCCUGAGCCCCAUUCUUGUUCGUCGUCAUCGUCGUCCUCUUCUUCUUUUACUUCUUCGUCCAACAAAGUUAUUUAGGCCGGGGCAGUUGAGACCGCUGCCCCGCGAGUGGAGAAGGUUAGGAGAGAUGACGCUGGUAAUGCGUCGGAUCGACCAGUCUCAUGCGAGUGGCCGCGUCCUCAUGUGGGGCCUGCCUGGGUUGAUCCUAAGGUAUGCGAGGUUGCGUCUGUAUUUCAUACGAACGCCUCAGUAACUGAGUUUUUGAACAAGGUCCCAGUUUUGAAGGCUUCCGUCGAGGAGUCUUUGUUGGCAUUCGGUCCUUGCUCCUUGGUGGACCAUGUUUAUAAGGAGUGGUCAUCCACCGAACCUCCCUUCUUUUUCAUGUACAAUUGUCUUUUUUCGGACCUUCAUGUGUCCCUUCCUUUUGAUAUGUUCACAGCCGAUGAUGGAAGAGGCCCAAGCACAAGCCCACAUGCAAGCCCACCAAAGGGUAGAUUUGGGCCAACCCUAGAGUUAUGGCCAAAAGGAUCCAAGAAGACGUUCUUUUACAUGUUUAAAUGUCAUAAACUCUAGUGUAGAGUAGACUUUACUUUCUUGUCAAAAUUAGAUUAUGAAUUUUAUUUGUAAUUUUUCCUUAGAUGAAAUUUGGCACCUAAAAACCAACCUUAGUUAAAUUAGGAUUUCUAAAACACCUAAUUUUAAUCAAGGCCGGUUAUGUUUAACCAAGGCACAUUUUCCACAUAUUCCAUAUUUAACAUGUGCUAAACGUUUUCCAUCACAUGUUAAAUAUGCUUCAUGUGCUCCAUGUGCUAAGUGUAAAAUAGGCGCCAAUUUCAAUUUCUUUUGCAUUUGAAUUUCCCUCCAAUUCUCUUGUUCAAAUCCAGCCCUCACUUGCUAUAUAAUGAGGAGCUUGGGUCAUGUAAAUUCAAUAUUAAUAUACUUAGUGAAUUGCUGUCAAAUUGUGCCAAUUUCACUUCUUGCCCAAAACAUCCUAGGUUAGGCUUUUAAUCUUCACAAAUUUCCCUUUUCCAAGUAGAGUUGGCCUCACCACUCUCAAUCCCUACCUCUCAUGCACCUUCAAGGUCACCACCACUCUUAGGAGGACCUUGCUUCAUCUUCAAUCCAUGAUGCUUUCGCCAUUCACCAACAAAAUCCGAAAACUAUGAAGGCACAUCUUCAUCAGCCAGUGUCCUUCGGGCACUUAAUGUGGCUCCGACUCAGUUGCACCCUAAUACAUGGACGUCCAUGCAGACUUUUCGCAUGAUGUGUCUGACGUUUGGGGUGCGUCCUUUUCCUUCAUGUUUUUUUCAUUUCUAUGCUUCCCAUCCUGCUGAAUUGGUCGGUUGGCAUUCUUUGGACAGUCAAGCUGGCAGCGUGUUGUUCAAAGCCUUCACGGCCUCUUAUAAGAACUUUAAAGAAAAGUUCUUCAAGGUGUACGUGGAGCCGACGGGCACGCAUUACUUUUCUGAUGAAGUCGGCCAGACAAGGUUUUCGUUGUUCUGGACGAGGAAACCCACAAAGAUCAAGGAUUGGCCGAGGCCGGUCAACCCAAAUGAGUAUGAGCGGGAAGUUUUUACGUUGUUCGACAGUCUCCCCAAGAAGCUCCCUACUCGACCGCUUAUGUCUUGUACACGGUGACCAAUCGCGCGAUGGCCUUCGAGGAUAUGUGGUCUUAACGCUUCGGUCGUUUAUUGCUUUUUCUUUGGCUAACGUUUUUUCUUUUUCUUAUUUCAGAAAUUGCCAAGAGGGAAAUUCUGCAGGCAGUCGGCAUGUUGAGCUCCUUUAGGAACAAGCUGAACAAGAAGAGGGGGGCAGCCGGUGCCAGGGCCCUUACCACUGAUACUGCCCGUGCGGGCCCCUCGAAGAACUCAAAGAAACGGGCUAGAGAGGGAGGGAAUACUGCCGUUAGGGCUCCGGGGCAGAUGUUGAUCCCUCCUCAGAGCCAAACGGUGACUCGUGUUGGGUCGUCGCCAACCGAUGACUUCAACCGCCCUAUCCCGACCUCUGGCCUUGCUGGGGGGUGACAGGUGCUUCACCCGAGCGAUGAAUUUUGACUUGCCCCCUGACCUCGAUGAGCUAAUCGGGUCGGUCCCGGAUGAUGAUGUUCUCGACGGUGGUGUCGAGAUAAUCUGUCGCGGGUUGAUCUUGACCCGCCGAGGCGCCGAGGCUCGAAGGCAACGUAUUGAAGAUUUGUCGCGCCUCGAGCAUGAUCUUCAGAAGGCAUCCAACAAUCUUCAACAAGUUGUUGAUGCAAACACAACCUAUGAGAAGAAGUUGCGGAGUUGGAGCUCGGUGCGACCCGACUGGCCGAGGUGGAGAAGGCUGAUGCCGAUAAAGCGAUGGAGAUCACACUGCUUCGAAAGGCGUUACAGGCGGUCGAGCGUAAGGGGGGUUUCUGGAGGAGGAGGUCGCUUCAGAGCGUCGGGGGAAGGAGGCGGUCGAGGCUGAAGUUUUGAAGACCAUGAAGGACACCAUGGUCUUAAUAAAUCAGAGUUUUGACCUGGCCGUUCGUCAGGCCGAGGUGCUGUACGGGGGGCCUCCACCUUCUGGUCAAUUUGACCAAGAUGUGGAGAUCGUCGAUGGCCUUUUGGUACUUGCGGGCGACGUCCAGAAUGCUCAGAGCGCCGACGAGCCCGUCCCGAUUGAGGAUAUUGAAGACUAGGGCUUAGGCUUUAGGUUUUUAAGCUUGUUCGUUUUUUUCCCUUGGGACCGGGGUGUGGCCUCCACCUUUUGAAUGAAUGGAAUCGGUCGUCUUUAUUUAAUUUUAUUUGCACGUCUUUUCUUUUGGUCGGUGUAAAUGUGAGUUAAGACGAUUAACAUUAAUGAACCUGGUUGGCGUGUGAUGACAUUCCUAUGAGCUUUUCUUUGUUUUUGUUGAUGAUGGUUGCGGAAGCUUAGUGGAGGAGAGUGGAACAAGGCCCUCCUAAGAGGUAUGGGUGCCUUGAAGGUGCAUGAGGAGUAGUGAGGGUUGGAGUGGUUCAACCAUCUCCAUUUGAGGGUGAAGUUUGAAGACUAUAAACCUAAUUCUAGAGAGAAUUUGGCAAGGGACUAAUUUGAAUGGCACUUGGGCAGCAUUUCAUUACUCAAAAUAGUCUUAGAAUUACAUGAGGUAGGCUCCUCCUUAAAUAGCCUAGGAGGACCAUAAAUGCACAUGUAAAUGAAAAGGAAAUGCUAGCCAAAUUACAUGUAAAUGUGAGCACAUGGGAGCACAUGGAAAAUGUGAGCACAUGGGAGCCUAAAUGAGCACAUGGGGAGGGGUGUGUCUAGUUUGUAUGCUCACCCCCUCCAUGGGCUUUCUAGACCGGCCUUGGUAAAUUUAGAGGUUUUCUUAGAAACUCUAAGUUUACCUAGGUUGGUGUUUUAGGUGCCAAAAUUAAUUCUAAGAAAACAUACAAAUAAAGUUCCUAUGCUAAUUUUGACAAGAAAUUAAAGUCCACUCUACACUAGAGUUUAUGGCAUUUGAACAUGUAAAAGAACGUCUUCUUGGAUCCUCUUGGCCAUAACUCUAGGGUUGGCCCAAAUCUACCCUUUGGUGGGCUUGCAUGUGGGUUUGUGCUUGGGCCUCUUCCAUCAGCGUGUGUUAAUAACGAAUUGAAUCAGGACGACGGUCGACCUCUGAAGUAUAACUAAAUUGUGAACUUUUGUUUUGCGCAAGUUAAUUAUUCGCUUGGGGUAGGCCGAUAUGCCUUUACUGGUAUCGGGAGGGUAUGCCGGUUAAGGAUACGUCCUGACCGAGCCAUGGAUGAAGUGUUGGAAAGGUAUAUCGCUUUAGGUUUUACCCUGGCCGACACUUGUGUUUGGGUUUUGGGAGGUUAUGCCGGUUAAGGCUUUGUUCUGGUCGAACCGCGUAUGGGGUGUUGGGAGGGUAUGCCGUGUGAGGCUUCGUCCUAGCCAACACCCACGUUUGGGUCUCAAGAGGGUAUGCCGGUUAAGGCUUCAUCCUGGCCGAGCUGUGUGUAUGAUUUGUAGCGUGCACAUUGCUUGAAGAAAACGCCUCGUUAAAACCUCUCUGACCGAUGGUGGUGCCGGGCGAGGAAAGAGUGCGUAAAUUUUAUUCAUGUUUAGCUAAAGUAAAAUUUGAGGUUCGUGGCAUUCCACGUCCUUGAUACAAUUUUGCCUAAUAGCCAUUCUAGGUGGUAUGCUCCUCCUUCUCCUACCUCUCGGAUUCGAAACGGUCCUUCCUAGUUUGACGAGAACUUGUUGUCCGUCUUCCUGGCAUUGCUUUGCAUCCUCCAGACAAGAUCACCUUUUUGGAAGCUUCCUGGCCGAACCUUCAUGUUGUAUCUUCUCGCCACCCGGAGCUUGCACGUUGUUUCGCGGAUUUUGCUCUUGUCGCGAAGCUCGUUAAGGAGGUCGAGUCCGACCGCUAGACUUUCCUUGUUGAGGGACAAGUCAAAUAUUUGUCAUCUGAUGGACGGUUCACCCACUUCCAUCGGUAUCAUCGCCUCUGUGCCGUAUGUGAGGCUAUAUGGGAUUUCUUGUGUGGUGGUUUAUGGGGUGCACCAAUAUGCCCAUAGGACUUCUAUUAGCUCUUUAGUCCAUCUUCCUUUUGCAGUUCUGAGCCUCUUUUUUAAUUAGUUGAGAAGGACCUUGUUGGCCGCUUCUGCUUGACCGUUCAUUUGUGGGUGCUCGACCGAGCUUGUGACAGAUUUGAUGCUGAGGUCGUUGUAGAAGGUUUGGAGGCCUUGGUCAAUAAACUGUCGGAAAUUAUCGGACACAAUUGUGUUCGACACUACGAACCGGCACACUAUAUUUUUCCAUACGAAAUUUUGGACGUUCUUGGCGGAUAUGGUGGCUAGGGGCUCGGCCUCUAUCCAAUUUGUGAAGUAAGCCACAACAACUAGCAGGUGUUUCGUUUAGCCUUUGUCGGGCGAGAAUGAGCCAAUGAUGUCUAUUCCCCAUAUGGCAAACGACCAGGGCGAUGUCAUGCUAUGUAGUUCCUCUGGUUUCAAGUGCUGGAGCGGGCCGAACUCUUGAUACUUCUGGCACCUCUUGACGUGUUCUACGCAAUCUCCAUGAACGGUCGGCCAAUAGUAUCCUGCUUGGAUGACUUUGGCCGUCAUAGUUCGAGCCCCGGAAUGGCUGCCGAACGCUCCAUUGUGAAUCUCUUGCAAUACGUACUGGGAUUGUUCUUUGGUGAGGCAUUUUAGGAGUGGGGUCGAGUAUCCCCUUCGAUACAAAUAUUGGCCGACCAUGGUGUAUCGGGCGCAUUGUCGCCUGAUAUUCUUUUCCUUGCUCGGUUGACAUGUUCCAUGUUCUAGGUACUGGAUGAUUGGGCUCAUCCAGGUACUGGCCUCGGUGAUUGCCAGGCAUUCGGCGUCACCUACACUUGGUUGUUGUAGGUGUAUUUGGACGACUGAGCCAUGAUGGCUCUCCUUUUUAGACGAGGUGAGGCAGGAGAGUGUGUCUGCUCGUUUUUUGUCCUGCUGUGGUAUAUGCUCGAUGAUGACUUUGUCAAACUUGGCAAUAGAGUUGUUGACCGUGUGGUAAUAACACUGGAGGAGGGGUUCUUUUACCUCGAAUUCACCCUUUAUCUAACCGGCAACCAGCUGCGAGUCGCUCUUGCAUACAACUUCCCGUGCUCCUAGGACGUGUGCAGCCUGGUUAUUCGUUGCCUUGAAAGCGAACUGGAGCGCUUGUUCAAUCAGGAGGUCCCCUGGACCAUCCAGGACGACCCCUGCACCACAAGCAGUUUUAUUGGACGAACCGUCUACAAAGAGUACCCACCCGGUCGGUGUGUCGGGUUGUGGUGUUAGCUCUGCUGAGAAGUCCGCCAAACAUUGAGAUUUGGUGGCACCUCUUGGCUCAUACCGAAUGUCGAAUUUCGAUAGCUCGACCGACCAUCCUAUCAUUCGUCCAGCAAGGUCGAGUUUAGACAGUAUUUUAUAUAUAGGAUAGUUGGUUCUUAAAGUAAUGGCGUGAUUUUGCAAGUAUGGCCGCAUCCUCCUGGUGGUCAAUUCCAGUGCCAGGGCGAAUUUUUCGAUCAUGUAGUACCUUCUUUCGGCUACGUGGAGCGUGCGGCUGACAAAGUACACUAGGUGUUCUUCAUUGUUGAUUUCUUGGACCAAGGCGGAGCUGACUGCCUCCUCUAAGAUGGCCAAGUAUACUACGAUCGACAGAUCGAGUCUUGGCUUCUGAAUGACGGUCGGUGAUGACAAGAAUUCUUUCAACUGGCCAAAGAUGCCUUCGCAUGUCUUGUUCCAGUUAAACUUUGACGUUUUCCGAAGCAUUUGUGCCAUUGGUCUUAUUCGUUCGGCUAAACGAGGAACGAAUCUUGAUAAGACUGUUAGACGACCGAGCAGCUGUUUAACUUCUUUCAGGUUCUUUGGGCUUCUCAUCUCAGUUAUGGCCUUGCACUUGUCAGGGUUGGCCUCGAUUCCUCUGUGUGUCAACAUGAAACCGAGGAACUUGCCGCCCUCGACGCCGAACGCGCAUUUUUCGGGGUUGAGGCGCAUGUUGACCCUCCUUAAGGCGCCAAAGACUUCUUACAAAUCUUUGACAUGCUGACCACACGAGUCAUAUUUCACCACAAUGUCGUCCACGUAGACUUCGACGCUUCUGCCUAUCAUUUUCUUGAAAAUCUUGUCCAUCAACCUCUGGUAGGUAGCUUCUGCAUUUUUUAGGCCGAACGACAUUACCUCAUAAAAGUAGUUUGCACCGUUGGUUGUGAAGGUCGUUUUCUCCUUGUCUUUGGGGUGCAUGCUUAUCUGGUUGUAGCCAGAAUAAUCAUCCAAGAAGCUCAAUAUUUUGUGCUCGGCCGCCCCAUCAACGAGUUGGUCAAUGUUAGGCAGAGUGUAUGAGUCUUUGGGGCACGCCUUAUUUAGAUCUUUAUAGUCGACGCACAUUCGCCAUUUGUUGUUUAACUUCGUGACCAUCACUACGUUGGCCAACCAAGUUGAUUAUCGAGCUUCGCGGAUGAACCUAGCUUUGAGGAGCUUUUCAGCCUCGGCCACCAAGUUCACCUGAUGGAAAGCGCGCAAGUUUUUUUUCCGUGCACUAUUCGAAUUUCCACCUCCGGCAAACCCGUUGACGAUGGUGUUAAUGACCUCGCGACCUCUUCUGCGGUCAUCUUUGGGAGGAUCAUCCCUCCUCCCUCUUCAUUCUCGGCGACGGUCGUCUUCCCUUGGUCUCGGAGGAGUGCAGUCUCUUUUCCUUAACGUUUCUUCCCUACAAGGGGAAAGUCUGGUUGUGCGACUGCCUCGCAUGAAGCGGCGUAGGUGCCCUGCUUGGAUCAGCUCUUCUAUUUUGUCCUUCAGUUCUUGGCAUUCCUCGGUCGAAUGACCGGUGUUCUUGUGAUACCGACACUUCUUGCUACGGCCGACGUUAUCAGGGCUCAAAGCCCUUCUCGGUGGCAAGAUCAGCUCCGUGCUAAGGGCCUCUUGUAAUAUUCUUCCUCUGUCGACAUUGAGUGGUGUGUACCGUGAAGGGUCUCCCUUGUUGUUCCUUCUCGUCUCUUUUCUCGCUGCUUGUUUCGGCUCAAGCCUGGUUCCUGAACUCACGCUUCCAACUGCAUGAACUUGGCCGCUCGGCGCCUAAGCUCGUCCAAGCUUGCCGCAGUUUGCAUACACAAAUUGUCCGCAAAGGGUCCCGACCGAAGGGCGGUCAACAUAUGGUGCAUUGCCACCUCAUGGCUGAGGUUUCGAAUGCUCAUAGCAGUUUUUCCAAACCGAUCAAUGAACGUUCUCAGAGAGGUCAGAUGGUGGGGGCGGCUUGUUGCAAACUGAAUGUCGAACUUGGCCAUCAGUGUUUCGAAACAAUCCACUAAAUUUGGGGGGAGCUUGGUAAACUAGCUUAAGGUUGUUCCCUUCAGCGAGGUUGGGAAAACUCAGCACAAGGUUGCGUUGUCAGUGUUGUACAAACUCAUGUGAGUGGCGUACGCAUUCAUGUGCUCGUCAAGGUCAGUCGUCCCAUCGUACCGGUCCCUGUUGAAUCCCUUCCACUUGUCUGGGAAGGGGGUGUCCAUGACAAAAUCGGUGAAGGGAUGACGCCGGUCAGGGUCAGUGCUGCCUGUUGUGUUCACCGUUUUGUUGGGGUGGGAUUCGCCAUCCAUUUCUCCGGUGAGGUUGUUGUUCUUCGACUCCCUCUCGACCUGGGGGCCGACAGCUGUUGCGAAGGACCUGCCAACCUGGUUGGUUUGGACAAGAGAUGGUCCUCCAUCCACUAAUUUCUUCAUUCUUGAUUUCCCAUUCAUUCUUCUUGGUAGCCUCCUCAUUGGCAUUCUUCAUCUCCGCCAGCUCCCUCUGGAGCGCCAACAUCAUUGCCGCUUGGUCUGCUUCAUACAUUCUCUCGCUUGCCAUACUGCGGGUCGAUACCAUCUGCUGUUGUUUCUUCACGCUGCUUUCUCGGCCCCACGGUGGGCUCCAAUUGUUCUCGAACGGGUUUGGGGACCUAGAGAACGAUUGCUCCUAUUCAUAUGCUCGGUCGGCCUAGUACUCUCGAGACUCCUCAAUACGUUCGCACUUCCUGAUGUGCUCCCUUCCUCUCGAUCGUCCUGCUCCAUAGGCGGGGAUGGUACCUGCAGAAGGCACUCCAACACUCAAGUCAGUUAGGGUGUCGGUAUUCGGUUGUCAGAGUACUGUAGAUAAUGACGUACCUUUCUCUUGAAAUGCAUGCUAUUUAUAUUACCUUAAUGGGCCUUCACUGUUGGGCCGGGUUAAGGGAGUUGGUUUGCGUUUAGGGUUGUGUUAAGCUACUCUUAACCAUGGAUUAGCUUUGCUAACCUGGUCAACCUUUGACUCGAACGUUAUGGGUCGGUCGGCCACGCGUAGUGACAUGGCCGUAUUUAUUAUCUUGGCGGCGACGUAGGUCGAUUGCUGGUCGACUCAAUGAGUCGUCCGGUCGUGCCAGUACAUGAAGUAUUUAAGAAAGGCAUGUAAGAAUAAUAGUUGAGUAAAGUAUAUUUCAUCUAAAAUAUUUGACAAUAGUUGCACCAAAACUCAAAUCAAUUAAAGGGAAAUAAAAUCAUUUAGGGUCUUAACAAACCCUUUGGGCAAAACUACUUAUCAUAAGACUAAUAAGAAUCUUAGCACAAAGAUUAACAAAACUACAAACUUAUGUUUCUUUCUUAUGAUGUUCUUUUACUCAAAUAAGAACAAAAAGAUUGUUUUAGCAUUUAGUAUUGUUCAUGGCAUGACAAAUUUAAUGUAAGAGAUAUAAACUUGGUUAUAUUCUUUUCUUCUACUCCAUUAGAAACCUUUUAGUUAUAAAUUAUUGGACUAUGUUUUACAAUUUAUAUGAAAGAUUUACCCUUUCAUUAUCUCUAACAAACUAAUCCUAAAAAUUAUAAUUCAAUUGGAACGAAAUUUGGAAUUAGAGUUCAAAAUGAAAAGAAUGCAAUCAUAAUAAUUUUCUUUGUAAAUAAGAACAUUACAAUGCGAUAAAUAAUUGCACUCUUCAAAAUAAAUGAAAAAAAAGCCUAAAAUCUUCAAAAUAAAUGAAAAACAAGCCUAAACGAAACGUUGUAUUGAGUCUUCUUUUUAUAUUUGUUGUUCAAUAUAAUAUUCUUUGUCAAGUAAGGGUUCUUUAAUUUCAUUGUUUUGUUUUGAUUGAUAUUGUUUGACCUGAAUAAGGUGUUCUUGAUUUGACCUUAUAUAUGACAUGAUUUUAAGAAGUGAAAAUUUAAAUUAUUUGUAGUUGGAGGUUUGACCUUGAGAAUUUUAAAAAAAUGGUAUUUGAACUAGAUUAAUUGGUCUCAUAUAUUGGAGCUCAUUUAACCUUAUUAGUCACUAUAAAGAUAGUUUAAAUCUAUGCACGUGAAUCAAAUAGUUAGUCUUUAUAUAUAUAUAUAUAUAUAUAUAUAUAUAUAUAUAUAUAUAUAUAUGUAUGUAUAUAUAUAUGUAUAUAUGUAUAUAUAUAUAUAUGUAUGUAUAAAAUAUUUUUUUUUGUAACUUCACCAUUUGUGUCAUACAAAUUACUGCUUAAUAUUUAUUUCUGCUAUCUUUUUCAUGUUUCUUUCUUAAUGAAAAUGAAAACAUAUCCCCAUUGUCUUCGUAUGUUGGACAACCUUUUGUAACAUCCACAAAUCUUUAAUCCCCACAACAAAUUUCCUUUGCAGCAAAAUAAUGAAAAAGAAUAAGUUCCCUAAGCCUUUUAAUCUACUUAACACAAGUCAAAUUGGCUAAGUCAUUUUUAGCCUUGCACCAAAAUUGUCUCUAGAGAAAAUAUACUCACAUGAGGGUUGUGUUGAGCAAUUUUUUUCUUGUUGAAUGUCUUUCUCCAUACUUGCACUUGGGAGAAAAUCUUCUCAUCACGUGGGGUUGUGUUCAACAAAUUUAAGGUGGUGGCAAUGUAAUUUUUAGCAAUCCGCUCAGCAAUUUGAAAUUCGUUCAACAAUUGACCCUUAUUAAUUGAGUAUGAAUAACCUUUAUUUGUCUUCUUUGUAAGAUUUAUCAUGUAGUAAUGCAUAAAUCAAACUAUUGUAAGUCAAGGGAUCAAUUAUAAUAGUUUGCUUUCUAGGUAAUUAUGAUUAAGGAAUUAACUUGGUUUGGUCUUAGGAAGUAGUAAACUUGAAUCACAUUGUGUUUAUAAAUAAAUAAGUACAUAAAGGUUACAACGUUUAUUCAAUCUAAACACUUUUAUCAAUCUAAGAACAUCUCAUUUUUACAUCAAGUUUUAAUCUCACAAACUUUAUCUUUAGUUUAACUCACCAUCAUUUGUACAAUUUUAGAUGAUUAUUUUCACACUUUAUAAUGAAAGACACAUUUGUUGUAAUUAUAGUCCUUGAGGAUACGACAAUCCCUUUAUCAGUUGUGCUACACUCGAUCCACUAACCGAGAAAUAACCCAUCAAUGCCUACCUUUUCAAAACUCAUGAAAGAGUUGCUGAAAAAGGAGACAUUUAAUGAGGAGGAAAGUAUGAAAUUAGAAACAAGUUGGAGUGCAGUAAUUUAAAAAUAUUUUACCUCUCAAGUUGAAGGAUCAUGUCCAAUUAAUGAGGAGGAAACUAUGAAAUUAGAAAAAAAUUGGAGUGCAAUAAUUUAAAAAUAUUUUACCUCCCAAGUUGAAGGAUCAUACCCAUCAUCAUAAGGAAGUUAUCAAUGGGAAAGACAUUCUUGAUCUAGAGACUAGCAUUAAUUUAAUGUCCUUAUCCAUACUCUCAAAGAUAGGAAAGGUAAAAAUAAAAUCCAAGCAAACAACCUUUCAAUUGACAAACAAAUCAGUUAAAAUUCCCUCCAAGAUAGUGGUGACCAUGUUGGUUAAGGUUUUUUUUCGUGCAGAUUUUGUUAUUAUGAUGUAGAAGAAGACUUAUAGGUACCCAUUAUUUUUUAGAAGAUCCUUUAUGACAACUACAAGAGCCUUAAUUAAUGUUUAAUAGUGAACUCAGUUAAGGGUACAUGAUGAAGAGAUUACUUUAUGGGUCUUCAAAGCUAAGAAAAAUCCAAAAAAAAAAUGACGUGUUCCACAUUAAGGUACUUAGUAAGACUCUUUUUCAUGCGUCAAGCCAAUGAUGUAAAAGACGAAUUGGCUAGGAGACAACCCAAUGGUAAGUUUUUUCUCUUUUUCUUUUAUUUGUUAUGUUUUUCUUAUUUCAUUUAUCCCUUUUAUUAAAAAAAAAAUCUUAGAAUUUAAAAUUAAAUAAAUUGUAUCUUUGAUUACACUUUUCAGAUUGCUUGUCCAGUAGGCUUCGAGAUCAUGGUCCCCUUAGGGAGGACAAUGGGAUAGGAAGGACAGGGGUAAUACUUACCCACUACCCAUCCCAUCUAAAUUUUUUUGCCUCAUUACUCACCCCGCUACUUGCCCGUAUCCACGAAAAAGUAUUAGCUAUUUUUUUUAUACAUGUGGGUAUUCAUUGAUACCCAUGUAUUUUUUAAAAUAUUUAUAAAAUUAAAAUAUAAAGUUGUAUAAAAUAAUUUUAAAUUAUAAUUCAAAUGUUUUGAAACAAAUUGUAAAUAAAUCCCAUAACAAGAAUAUUAUUGUAAAUAAAUUUGGUCUUUCUAAAAAAUAAAUUUAAAUAAAUUGCACCAUAAAAUAUGUUUUGAAAAAAUAAUCUUUUUAAAGACAACUUCAAUUUCCUUAUUCUAAAUAAAAGAGUAUAUAUAUGAAAUUAAAUUUCAAAUAAUUAUUUAUCCAAUAAAUUUAUUUUGAUCACUUGAUUAAUUUAAAAAUAUCCAAAUAAAACUCACUAUCAAUGAUUAGCCAAAAAUCAUAUAUCAUAUGAGUUGGAUACCAUGAUACCCAUACCUUCAUCAACAAGUAGACAAUUAAAAUACUCACACCUAUUAGCCACAGUAUCCAUCAAAGUACAUUCAUUUAGUAUCGUUUUUUUUUUCACGCAUAUUAAUUAUUGUCAUCCCUAACUCCAUUGACGAAGUUAUUGGAGUUGUUACUAUUAUGGAGACCUCAUUCAAGGAAGUGAUGGAUGCACAAGACGAUGUAUGUGAGACAUCCAAGGAAGAGGAGUCGAAGACUCGAGACAAGGAUUAAAGCUUGGUUAAGGGCCAAAUUUCUUUUUCCUUUUUUAUCUUUUAUUUCCCUUUAUUUAUGUGCUUUAUUUUCUUCAUUUUUAUUUAUUUGAUUUCCUUGUACUUUUGCUACUGAUGAUUUCCUUUCUAGUUGCUUUUAUUUGUAUUUUUUGUUAUUUUUGUUAUUUUUUUUAUUGAAAUCUAAUGCAUGGAAUGAUUAAAAAUUUCAUUUUCUCUUUAAUGAAAAAUUAUCUAUUUUGGGUAAAAGCAAAAAUUCUUGUGUUUUAAUGGGUGUUAAAUUGUUUACUAUUGGUUUUAUUUAUUAAGGACUAGCAAAUAUGACUUGAAAAGUUGAAUCCAACAAGCUCAACCAUGUGAGUUAAGUGAUAUGAUUGAAUUUGUUGAGUGUUCAUGUUUCUUCUCCUUUAUGCAAACAAUUGGUCUUAUUUAAUUUUUUAAUUUAUUUGAUACAUUGUGUGUUAGGAUAUGAAGACCUUCCUUCUUUUUAUGAGCCAUUAGCAAAAAAAAAGUCAUCUUGAAAAUUCUUUACACUUAUCACCCCUUAGUCAAACUAUGAAAUUAUUGGAGACAUAAAAUCAUAUUUUCCUUUUCAUUUUUCUCUUUUCUUCCUUUUGAAUUAUCAAAUUACUUUUUGUUUUUACCUAUUCGUGUUUCAUUCUAUUCUUUGAUAGAUGUUCUUGUUCAUUGCAAACUUAAUUCGGUAACUGUACCAAGUUAGAAAUAAUAAUGUAUCUCAAGAGACGGAUAUCGAAUUCACAAGGAACAAUUCUCUCAAAAUUUUAAUGUAUAACAUUCACUAAAUAUUGAAAUAUAUGUACAAAAGUUCAAUUCAAAAUAUGUUGACAUUGUUUACAUAAAGUUUGCAUGUAAAUUAAAUAAAACAAAUUAAAAGAUUUUUAAGAAUUAAAUUAAUAGAAUUGAGAUUGAAGUUAAAAAUAAGUUAUUUUCUUGCUAUUAUAAUUGUUUGAUUGUUGAGCUUUGUUCCUACUGUCCCUUUUCAAGAACUUUCCAAAUUUCCUUGUGACACAAAAAAAAAUGUAUAUUGUGACGAUUAUUUUCGUAUAAAUUGACGUUUAUAACUGCCACAAUAUACACUUGUGGCGGUUUUACGCUACCCGUCGCAACACCCGUCACUUUAAACAUAAUGUAAAUAGUGACUAUUUUUAUAUGUAAAUAGUGUCAGUUAUAACUGUCGCAAUUUAUAUUCAUUGAAGAAUAUUCUGGCACCAUAAUAUACGUAAGUAGUGAUGUUUUUAACUGACGUAAUUUUAAUUAUGAAUAAAUAAAAUUUAACCACCAUUUUUUUAUAAUCUGUUUUAUAAUUUGUUUUAUACAAUUAUAAAAUUUAACCACCACUUUUUUAUAAUCUGUUUUAUACAAUUAUAAAAUUUAACGACCACUUUAUCAUAAUAAAAUAAAAUAAUGUAUAAAGUUAUAAUUAUCCAUUAAUUUCAUUGAAAAUUAAAGCACACAUAAUAAUGUUCAAAAGUUUAUAUGUAAUUGAAAAUUAAAACACAUAAAAUGUUCAAAAAUUCCUAAUCAAGUUUAAAAUUAAAACACACAUCCUUAAUCAGUUUUGCUUCCAGCACUUGAUCCUAUUACUUGAUUAGGUGAUGGAACACCACUUCCAUAAUUUGAUGCCUGAAAUAAAUAAUUUUAAGUUAAUGAAUUUGUAUGUUUAUAAUUAUAAAAUAAAAGACACCAAUAAAUAUUUAAAUACCUCAUUGGUGGAUGCAUGAGCCAAAUUAGUUGCCAUUGCAGUAAAAUGUUCUGGAACAUCUUUUCUUGAAGCAAUAUAUACAAGAAAAGUGUUCAUUUGAUUUUUCACAGUUGCAAGCUCAUUUUCCAUUUGAGUUAGCUUGUCCUCCACAUUUGACAAAGUUGAACUAGAAGAAGCAUGCUUAGCCUUGUUAUGUAUCCUUUGAAAGCAAAGCUGGGACAAGCUCCAUAUGAUAGCCCUCUAACUAGACCCGGAUGCUCCUUACCAAUAUUGUUAGAAUAUAUGGCCUUAAACGAGAGGGGGGUGAAUUGUUUAAGAGAGGUUUUUGAAAUCUUUUUAAAGUUUAACAAAAUUCUUUGUAUGAAUCCAGAACAGAAAUCAGGUUAGCCAAGAACAAAAUCAAUAAAACAGCAAAGCAACAGAAAAACAAUCGGUUAUUUAUGCGAAACAAUCGGUUGUUUAUACCAGUAAAACUUAAAACAUAAUUUAAUUGAGUUUAAGGGUAAGAGAAAUAUACACCAACAGUUUAUACUGGUUCACUCUUAAACCAAGAGCUACAUUCAGUCCCCAGAAAACCACUGUGUAAUCCACUAAGUAAUCAAAUCAGAUUACAACACACAAUCCACCAAAGCAGUGACCUUGAACCCUUCAAGAAACACACUCACUUUGGCAAAUCACACACCAAGAGUAUUGAUCUUGACCACCUCAAGAACACACAACACUCCUUGGCAACACAACACCAGAAAUACAGAAGGUUGAGAAGAGAUUACACUUGUUUACAAAAUAAUCUGAAAUCAAAUACAAAUGCAAUCCUAUUCCACUCUCUUAGAAAACCCAAAGCUUUGAUGUGAAUGUUCAAAUCUUGAAUCAACUCUUUCACAACUGAAAAACUCAAAUUUGUUUCUCUUACUUGUUUGAAAACAUAAACAAACUAUUUAUAUUUUCCAAAGAUUGGUCAAAGCAUUUAAUGAAGGAGCGUAUUCAGUUGGAAAUCAUUUAAAGCACAUUCAACCACCAAAACAAAAUUCCGUUAGGAUUUUCAAAGAAACAAUCGGUUGAAACCACGAAACAACCGAUUGUUUGGUUUGGCAGUUAAGUCAACCAAACUUAAACAAUUUUCAACCUUUUCAAAAAACUCCUAAGAGUAAAACAACCGGUUAAUUUGACAAAACAACAAGUUGUUUUUCACUUAGUUGGAAAAACACUUUAUUUCAAAAAGGAUUUAAAACACAUUAGCUUUAGAUUCAACAAAGGAGCGGAUUACAAAUAAAACUACCCAGAUCCCUCCCAAAACACAGCAGCAACAUAGCCUUGCAUCAAACAAAUAGGAUUUGGAUUCUUCAAAGCACAAUUUGAAUUCUUCAAAGCACUUGAUCACUCUUGAUCAACAAAUAUGACACCAAUUGGAUCUUCUGGAGAUAUAUUUGAACCAAAUGUGGCGGUUUUUUAGUGUAAUGUUUUAGAGAAGUGUGGCAAUUGAGAAGAAAAAAAGUUCUAUGGUUGCAAAGUGAACUCACUGAAGCAAACCAGCUUGUGAUUAGGAUCUAUAGGAAAUAACUAUAGAAAAUGGGGAAUAAAAAUGUAAGUUUACCUAGAAAGUGUUAAACAAUAAGUGAAAAGUUUACCUGAAAAAUAAUGUUAUUCCACUAUAAAUUACCAAGUGACCAAAAAUCUGAAUAACAAUAAAGUAAUGCCAAUAUGUAUGUUAUUCUAGAAAAAUACUUAUUUUUUCUCCUUCCUUAUUCGGAUCAAGAAGAGGUUUAUGUUCAGAAGCAAGAAGAGCAGGUGCACUAUUCCAAAGCUUUCUCCAUAAAUUUCCAUGUUCAGACAUUCUCCUUGAAAGCUUCCCUUGUGCAGGCCAACUAUCUUUUGACUUGUUAAUGUCAAGAGCACUGGAUGAUGAUGAUUUACUUUCCUCAUGGUCAUCAUACUCUUCCCAAUCUCCAUGUGAAUGUCACCGAAUAAAAUCUUCAAAGAUAACAUCUGGAUUUGCCGCCUUCAAAGAUCAUGUAUCCUUAUAUUGAAGAAUUUUUUUGCAUAAAAAACUUCAUUAUAUACACAUACACACAUACAAUUCCAUUUGGAUCAGAGUAAACUAAACUAGCGAUACCAAGCAUAUUAAGAGUAAAUUCUAUGGGAUUGAGUUAGAUCCAAACCCAGAUUCUAAGAGUAUGAUAUUGUGAACAUAACCUCAUGAGUGAAAAAUUAGAUUAAUGAAAACAUCAUUUCGUUAUAUUGAUGAGGCAGGUACAUCAAAUUAGAAAGCAUUGUGCACAUGAUUGUCUAGUAAAUGUAUGAUUUUUAAAUUAUUUUUUAACAUCACAUGCCUAGAAAUUAGAAUUAAUUGUAUUCUUUUAGAAAACAGAGGAACUCAAGACAUGAUCAAUACCUACCCAGUGUUAUUACAAACAUAUAUGUUAUUACCUAUCCAUUAUCAACAAAACUACAUGUAAUUAUUACCUGAAGUUAAGAUAUCCUUUUCCAGCUGAGCAGAGAAAUUAUGAAAAUAAAAAGGAAUUGCUAAGUAAUGAUGUAAAAUAUGAAAUAGAAGUAGGUUGAAAGUUUCACUAUCACUACAGUCACUUGAGUCUUGAUCAAUCUUUUGUGCUGCGAUUUUUAAAGCAAUGCUUUUCACAUGCUUUUCUUCAUUCCCUUAGUCAUUCGAUUGAUUCAUCUCAAGCUCAUGCUCCUUGAGCUUUCUAAACAAGGAUGAAGUGAUCAAUGUAGUUAGAUCCUUUGAUUCAGAAAUGGUAAUGACCUUUAACUGCUAAGAUUUGUCCAAGCAUUUUAGGAUCUAGAUGUUCAAAGACUUUGCCAAUACCAUUGAGAUGAUUUAUUAUGUGAGUAAAUCUCUUUCGCACAUUAGAGAUGAUUUCCCCUUUCAGCAUCCUAAACAACUCGUACUCUUGGAUCAAGGCAUGCUUCCUUUCCCUCUUUACGUUUGUUGUACCUUCAUGAGUCACCUCAAGGAUGUCCCACAUCUCCUUUGCUAAUCCACACUGAGAAACCCUGAAAAAUUCAUGUGAGUUCAAAGUAUAGGUUAUGAUGUUUUUGGAAAUACAAUCAUAUUGAGCCUUUUUUUUCUUCACUCUCAGUUCAUUGGGACCAAGAUUUUUCAAUAAAAACAUCAUUUUUUUCAAGCUUAGGAAUAAAAGAACCAUUGAUGAUAGCACCCCUUAUUCACCUAUCAAUUGACUCAACAAAAAUUUUCAUUCUUACCUUCCAGAAAUGAUAGUUCAGCGGACAAAACAAAGGUGGUUUGUUUAUAGAAGCACCCUUCGAAAAGGGUAUUUUUUCAGCCAUUUUUCAAAAAGAUUUAGGAUCGAAACUUGAGUAACUUUCAAGAACUCGACUUUUGAUGUCAAUUGUUAGAAUGUAUGACCUAAAUAAGAGGAGGUGAAUUGUUUUCACAAGAUUUCCCCGGCUCGGACGGGGCCGGGCCGGGAGGGCAUCCAGGAUGGUGGGUAACCGAAUGUUUAGAACCCGCACGGGGGGUCGCCCCGGGGGUUCGCCGCAUGCAAUUGUUUUAUCGAAAGUACUGAUUGUUUAAUGCAGCAUAAUAGAACAAAUUAUAUAGCAGUUUAUCAGAGAAUAAAAGAGAGAUUUAUAGUAGUUCACUCUUAACCAAGAGUUACAUCCAAUCCUCAGUUAACCACUGAGAAUUCACUAUGAAAUCCAAACCAGAUUACAAAACCACACCAAAAAUGUUGAUCUUGAAUUCCUAAAGAACACACAACACUCUUAGCCAAAACCAUAAUUUCCAUAACCACUUUCAAAAAUUGUUUUACACAGAAUUACAGAUUCAAAGAAAGAAAUAGAAUACACCUGGGCUUUUCAAAGCAGUAGAAAUUGAAUAGAAAACCCAUAUUCCUACUUCACAUACAAGCAAUGAUCCAAGACUCUUAGAAUGAGUAAAAGCUCUUUGAUCUUUUCUUGAAAACAUUUUUAUCAAAACUCCUUAUUUUCCAAAUGAUAAAAAACCAACCUUUAUAUAGACUUUAAAAAGAGGUUAAAACUGUUAGAUCAUUAAUUGAAACAGUUUAAAAGCAUUUAAAAACAGUUUGAAAAACUGUAACAAAUUUUUUUUAAAAACACUUUAUUGAUUUUCAAAACAAACUAUUUGAUUUCUUUUUCUAGUAAAGACAACACAUAAAACAGUCAGUUCAAUUAUCGAAAUAACCGACUAUUUUGGAUUUACAUAAAAGACAAAAGGAAACAAAUCAUUUUUAAAUCCUUUUAAAAAAACACUAAGUGCAAUUCAAUCGGUUCUCAUGAUAAAUCAUCCAGAUGAACAACUUUUGUAGUCACCAUACUUUGAACCAAAGCUUUUCCAACUGAUUUAAAUCAUGAAACAACUAACUAAAGUUAACACAAAUUUUAGAAAACAAAACUUUCAAAAGAAAUUUAGAAUCAAAUGAACUUGGAUCAUAACUAGGUGUGAAUUAAUAUUCAAAAUCUACUAAACAACACAUACACAACAACAAAUCCUUCAAGUCUUUAAAGCAGAUUUGGAAACAUCAAAGUACCUUGUUCAACAAUAAUGAAUAGAGAUGUCACUUAGCCUAAGUGCAAUUAAGUUAAAUAAGGGCAUAAGGAUGAAAGAAAGGGAGAAAAAAGAAACCCUAGGAAGUAGUUGAUAAGUGUCUAAUUUCAGUAAUAUUUCAUAUUAAAAUAUAGGCACUUAUGAGGAUUUAUUGCUAAUUUACAUAUAAAAUAAUCCUUAAUUUAUGAAUACCUUUUUACAUUUUUUAUGAGCAUUAUUUGAAUAAGAGCAUUUUAUUCUCAAAUUUGGUGUUAAUUGCAGAUUUUUAGGGAAGAUUGAAGAUUUGGAGUAAAGGAGAAUAAUUUGAGCUAAAAAGAGAAAGUUGGAAGGUCCCAGAAUGGAAAAAGAUGCAAACAAAGAUUGAGCAUUUUUUUAUGUUUUAUCACUUGGCCCAUUAGCACGAUACAUGAAGCCACUUAACCCUAGAAAAUUAGGAUAAAUAGGGGGUUAGAAGUUCAACCCUAGUGUGUCAGAUUGAGAGGAAAACACCAUAGAGUGAAUUGAAACCCAAUUGGGAGAAUGGAAGGUGCUAGAAGUAUGCGUGGCUAAUUCUACCCUUUUGGAUUGGGAGUAAUAUGCUCAAACUUUUAUGUAUUGAGGUGAUAUCUUAUAUAUAAUAUUCAGUUCUUGAUUGAUUAUUGGUAUUGUUGUUUUACUUUUAACUUUCCGUGACAAAUUAAGAAUCUUAAAUAUGACCGAGAGGUAUUUUUAGGGUUCAUACCUAAACAUCAAUACUUAACAUAUUUGAGUGCUAGAGAUAGACUUGAAAUGUUAAUUGCCAUUAAUGUCUAAUUGUGAUUUCUAAGUUGUUUUUAUAAGUAUGCGAGAGUUUUAUAUGCGAGAGAUCGAUAGAAAUGAAUUUUCUACGACCAUCAAUUUCAAUCAAAGAACUCAAUAUUAACAUGCUAAUCAAAAUACAUGAGAGUGGGAGAGAUGAAAUCUAAUCCAUAUUUUUCCAAUUGAAGCAACUAAUUCUUUGUUUGUUUUCUUAUUGAUCAGUGCCACCACAAUCACUUCAAAACUAUUUUUAUUAUUCUAUUGUUAUAUUUAGCGAAUUUUGUACUCGAUAAUUCACUAUUCCUUGUGGGAUCGAUAUUCGUCCUUAGGGACAAUUAUUAUUUCUGACAAAUGCGAUGCACUUGCCGUAAAAUGUCAUCAGUAGUCGUCAGGGAGAAACAUUUUGGAUUUCUAUCUUUUGCUUUGGUGCAGGUAAUGGCCACCAUAGGUGGCUAAUUCCUUUUUUUUAGAUUGAAUGUAAUCUUUUUAAACUCUAAUGAAUCCCGAUAAUAUUUAUAUAUGAUAUUUUUUUCUUAUUUGAUAUUGGUAUUUUCAUUUUAUGCUUAAAGCUUGAAUUUUCAUUCAUGAACUUGAUUAUUGUUUUUUGUGCUUAAAAUUUGAAUUUUUAUUCAUGAACUUGAUGAUUGGAUCAUGUGCUUAGUGCUUGAAUUUUUAUUCAUGAACUUCAUUCUUGUAUUUUGUGCUUAAAACUUGAGUUUUUAUUCAUGAACUUGAUUCUUGAAUUUAACUGAAAAGUACUUCUAAGAAUCUGACUUAAAUGAGAAUAUUUGAUAUGUUUUGAUACUAGACAUGGAAUAUAUCAAUUGCUAUAUAACAUAUUUUCUCAAUGAUGAGAAUGUUUUCUAACUACUUAAGUCAUCAAUAUUUAGGAGAUAAUCUUAAUAAUUUCAUAAUUGAGACAUCAAUAUGAAUGACUCUUAUAUGUUGCAUCAUCAAUUAAUUCAAAAUAUUGGAUGUUUCUAUUUAUCCAUGAUUCAGAAGAGUGAGAAAGAUUAACUUCAAUCUUGAUUUUAUCAAUUGAGUUCUUCUAAGUAUGUACUCUGUUUUCAUUUAAUUUUCACGCAAAUUUAUUUUUAUAAUGUCAAUAUCUUUUCAAUUAAACUUUUGCACAUAUCUUGAUAUUUAGUGAACGUUAUAGAAAUAGGUAAGUUCUAACCACAGAGACAAGAAAGCCUACAUAGAAAAACCAUCAUCAAUCAGUUAUUUUUUUUUUUUCUACAAACAGGUUAAAAAAUCUUCUCCUAAAAUUAUAUUAAUAUCUGCUAAAUAACCUUUGGUAAAUAUUUUUUUUUUCUUAUAGUGGAAUGAGAUGACAAUACUUGAAAAAAUACUCUACCUCUAGUUUAAGAAUUUCCUUUAUUUCAUUAUUGUUUCUAACACUACAAAAAUACCUUUAUAGACUAGAUGUUAUAGAUUUCGUCAUAUUUCAUAAAAUAAUAGACUAUAAUUUUCUACAAGUUAAACAUUAUUUUUUGCCGGUAAAUCAUUCCUGAAUUACUUCCAANNNNNNNNNNNNNNNNNNNNNNNNNNNNNNNNNNNNNNNNNNNNNNNNNNNNNNNNNNNNNNNNNNNNNNNNNNNNNNNNNNNNNNNNNNNNNNNNNNNNNNNNNNNNNNNNNNNNNNNNNNNNNNNNNNNNNNNNNNNNNNNNNNNNNNNNNNNNNNNNNNNNNNNNNNNNNNNNNNNNNNNNNNNNNNNNNNNNNNNNNNNNNNNNNNNNNNNNNNNNNNNNNNNCAUCUCCAUCAACCAGGUUAUGGAUCCAAUCCGGGUAUAGAACUUGGAAAUUUUGUGGAGAAGACAUGUCCACAUUCUUUCUCCCACCAACCAUUUCUAACAACAGCAUUCCAUUCCAUAACUGUAAAUAUCAGACUUGUAAGACACGUUCCCAAAGUUUCUGGAGAAGACUUCAGGUGCAAUGUAUCCCAAAGUUCCUCUAGCAGCUGUCAUGGACACCAAACUGGGAUUCUUGGAACACAAUUUGGCUAAGCCAAAAUCAGAGAUUUUUGGAGUGAAGUUGUGAUCAAGUAACACGUUGUGAGGAUUUAUGUCAAAGUGAAUAAUGGGCUGAUUGCAACCUUGAUGAAGAUACUCAAUCCCUUUAGCUAUACCAAGAGCAACGUGUUGAAGCUUCUCCCAUCCGAGGAAAUGGUCCUUGUCUUCUGGUGGAAAUAUGAAGCUUUGUAAGGAACCGUUUGGAAAGAAAUUGUAGGCAAGUGCACGAUGGGGUCCAUCUGCACAGAAGCCAAGCAAACGCACGACGUUGAUGUGAUGGAUUUUGCCCAUAAUUCCGACUUCGUUGAUGAACUCAUUCCCCUCUCCCUCCGUAUUGUUGAGGAUCUUCACAGCCACCGGAAUCUCACUCGAAAGUUUUCCUCUGAACACAGCCCCAUGAGCUCCUUCUCCUAGCUUUUCUUUGAAGCCAUUGGUGAUUCUUUUCAGGUCAGCGUAGGUGAAUCUUGCAGGCUUUUCUGCCCUGUAGUCCUCUAAAAACUUGUCCACUCUUGCUUGGUCUUCUUGCUUUUUCCUAAAAUAGAGGAUGCUCAUAAAGACAGCAAUGACCACCAUCCCCAAAAGGAUCGAACCUAGAAUAGCAGUUGGAGACUUCAUUAAAAAAAGAAAGAUUUAUGUACUUGUUUCAGUCUUUACACUGAAACAUUACUUGUUUCAAUUCAUACGCUUAUACUUUAUAAGGCCAUACAAUUGUUGACAUCCUAAACUGUUGGAAUAAGGAAUUGAACUAUAUUAAAAAGCGAAUGUGUAAGAGUCUCUGAUGUUACCUGUAGAAGCAAAAAUAAAAGAUUUAGGAACGUGAAUUCUCUUCGGUUUGCAUUUAAAACAAUCGAUGUCUCCUGUAGAGUUGUUGGUCUUCCAUGUACAUCUCUUGCCUUUUCUUUUGCACUCAGCACAAUUUGGUUUGGACCAUCUCAAAAUCAAGUUAUAACAGCAAUAGCGUCAUCAGUGCAGAAUCAUGUUGGAGGAGCAACACACUUGCCAUUUUGAUUUCUUACGGGAAACAGCUGUUAACCGAGCUUCCUCUUUUAGUUUAUGCUAACACUUCUAAUCUGUAUUUGUUUUUUACAUUUGCAAUCAGUUGCAGAAACCACAGAAAAGAUAAAAAAGAAGACCUGCGAUUUCUCAUUAGUCAAAGUCUUGCUGAUAAAAAAUAAAUAAAAAAAUUAGUCAAAGUCUGCGUUUUAAAAUAGUUCUUUUAAUGGAAAAGUGAAGUCCCUUAAUUUGGUCCGUACGUGUCACAUUUAAUUCUAUGAAUGUCAAGGUAGGUGCAUAUUAAGUGCCAAGAAUUGACUCCGCCAAACAACAAUAAUGCAGUGAGAGUCACUCUCGUAUACAAGACCACCUUUUCAAAUUCUUGGAAAUUCACUGCCACAAAAGUCCUAUAUCUUCAAUGCGUAAUAAUGCAGAAAAGUCAAGCCAAAGACUAAUGAGCAGUGCAUGUGACAACAACAAAAGUUUGUUCCAAGAAACUCUCUCUUUACUUUCAAUUUAAAAAAAAAAAACUAAUGAAGUUAAAUAUAAGCAAAUUUCAACAUCGUAAACCAUACUUAUCUUUAAACAUAAGCGCAUCUUCCAAUAAAUAUAUUUGGGAUGUUUUAGUAAAAGUAUCUCUAUGGUUGAAAAUGAAACUAUUAAAUAAACUUAACUUAGAAGUGACAUUAAUGUGAAAAAAAAAACUUUGUGGUUCAUUCAUAAAAAAAUUAGUUGUUAAAAUUUCGAAUUUAAAGAAAAAAAAUAGUCAAGAAACUCGAUACAUCGAAAAGGAAUGGGUAAAGAGUUAUGAGUCUGAGGAAAAUCAUAAAAGAAUAGAAGAAAAUGUUUUUCUUUCACAAAAUUACUCAAUGGACAUGUAUUUUUUGCUUGUAAGAUAAGUGGGACAUUAACAACAUUAUUCUAGGUGUGUAAUUAGUAGUGUAAAACAUAUUUGUUGAAUAAAGGUCUUUAAAUAGGAUAUUUUUUAAAUUUGUGACACUUAUCGUUAUAUUUUGGUAACUUUCAUUUUAGUUUCUUGAAGUUUUUUUUUCCAAUUUCUUAGAGUUUCAUUCUUGCAAACAUACUCUCCUGUGAAUACUUAACGCGUUAGCUACAACAUUGUACGAGUUGAUACGCACAACGUUUAGUAUCCAUCGUCUACUACUAGGACUAUUGGGACAUCUAAUCUCAUUCGUUCCCCUAACUUUCGUCUCUCUCAAUGUUAAUGUCGGUCUAGCAAAGUGUUUUCGUCAUUGAUGUUUAAUUUUGUACCUUUAUUUUCAUCAAAUACUUCUAAUCUGUCUAAACUUUUUUAUUUAUUUUAUUUUAUAUAAAAUAACAUGUCUUCACUAUGAAUGUUAUAUUCUCACUAAGUUCCCACAUCAACACUCACCAAUCGUUGAGAGCAUGUUAAACCAAGAAAAGAAAAAAGAAAGCAAAUAUAAGGAGACUAUAUAGGUUAAAGUCAUGAAACAAAUCACUAAAUAAUAUUCUAGAAAGUAAAAUCUAUUUCAUAAAAAUAUGAAUACAUAAAGAAUUUCAUCAAAGAAAAUCAGAUUUGAUAUUAACAACCAAAUUAACUAAAGUAUCAACAUAUUUAUUUUCUUCCUGAAAAUAUGAGAAAUUUUAAAAUCCAAAAAAUUACUUAUGAACUGACAUUUAUUUGAUCUACUUCUAAUUGUCUAAGGGACCUUAACAUUGGUAUAAAAAGCUUGAACCACAUAUGAGUGAAAUUCCAACAAUAAUGAAUUACAUCCUUUCAAAUGGGUAAGUUCAAUAGCGAUCAUUAGCAAAAACUACAUUAACAACAUUGUUAAAAAUAUUAAAAGUGUAAUAUCCAAAAAUUUAUAAUAUUUUUAAAUACAGUAAUAUAACUGUUCUAGCCAACUUAAGGUCGGUCGGAAUCUGGAUGAGCUCCUUGUGGUCUCCCUGCAAAUGCCUUCUGGAAACGAGAGGGGACUAUUCCUGCGAUGACACUCUGACGCUCAAGUCAGUAAAAGCAUAAAUAUAAUGAGUAUAAUAUGAAAUAGGAGUUGAGAGUACUCCCUGUGUUGUUUAUUAUAUGUUUAGAUGAUGUCCCUUUCUGUAGAGCAUAAUCAGGUAUAUAUAGACUGAAUUGUAACCUCUCCACCUUUAGUCAUGACUAUGUCUUAGUUGAGUCAUGAAGGAUGAUUAAGUCUAAUUAUCGAGAUCUUUUGGCCUGUGAUCUCUCAUAAUGAUAGAUACACAGGUGGGGAAACGACGACCCAUAAAUGAUCAAACAUCGGGCCAAAUCCAUGAUCCAACAAUAACGUUUAACAAUAAGGUCUUUGUAAGAUCGUCUAAUAAUAAUAAUGAGACUAUCUAAUGAGGAAUCUAAUAAUUUGUUAGACGCUUAGCCUGUACAAAUCAUUAUUUGAAUAAAAAAAUAUUUUAUUUGAUUUUAUUAUUUUUAAAACAUAAAAUCAUAUAGUUUUAAAUCAAGAGAUCAUCUAAUCUCCUGAGAUUGAGAACUCUAAAAAAAAAUAAAAGAAUAACAUUCUCACAGAUAUCACAAUAAAAACUCACUCACUACAAUGAUUAAACACUUAAUAUAUAUAUAUAUAUAUAUAUAUAUAUAUAUAUAUAUAUCCAUUUUAUUUGGCUUGUUUUACCCUCUUCUACUAUUUCAAAUUCUUUAAAUAAGUGUUGUACUUAUUCUAUACUUUUCGAAACUAUUAAUUUUUAUUUUCUAUGAUAUUUCCAAAACUUUCAUCUUCUUAGCACUAGAUACUCAGAUUCAUCACGGUAAAACAUGAUUUGAAAAACAUAUAUGAAAUAUUUAAAUUCUUUAAAUUUAGAUGUUUAAAAUCAAUAAGAGAUACUCACAAUAUAUUAGAAAGACGUUACAAAACUUAAUUUGACAAAUUUACUAAAGAAAAAACAUAAUUCAUAACCGCACCAAAAAUAUGGGCUAACAGAGUAUGUUUGAACUGCAAUUAUUUCAAUAAUAUUUGCAAUCUAUCCCAGUAAGUUAAAAUUGGUUCAAAACAAUUUUUUUGGAAAAUAUACUAGAAAAACCUUUUGCUUCCUAAAAAUAUUCAUUGUUACUAUUUUCCUAUUUAAAUCACUUAAAGUUAUAUACAUUCAUAUUAUACAAAGAACAUAUUAGACGCUUUAAAACGGUCUAAUGCUCUUUAAUUAUCUAGUAGGUUACCUAGAAUCUCAACAAAAUAUAUACAUAUAUAAUAAUUAUAAAGAGGAUUUAUCUUAUCAAAUAAGAGAUAAGUAUAAUAAGAGUAAAAAUUUGUGAUGAUAAAUACUGUAGAUAAAACAAAAUUGACUAAGACUUAAGUUUAUACAUCAAUUAUCUUCUUAUAUCUUACCAAGUCAUCUUAACAUUUGUCAUGACACCUCAUCUAUUCCAAAACUAAAGAGUUCACAAAAGAAAAAUGUAAAUACCAAUAAUUUUUUUAUUACAAACAUAUCUUUCCAGUUAGUACUAUUCUAUUUUCUUAUAAUGAUUACUUUAUUGUAACUAUAAAAUUGUGUAUUAUUGGUUGCACUUCCUUAUAAAUAAUAUAAGUUUUACACACGAAAAUAUGUAAGAAUAUUUGAGUGUGACCAACUCAACAUCGGUUAAUGUACAACUUAAAGAAUAACUAUCUCGCGUUAAAAGGAGUAAAGGAAAAAAUAAAGAAAUUCACACAUAAACCUAUAAAUCUUAUGAAGACGGAUAUUAAUGAAAGUCGUAUAUUUGCCAUAAGUCUAGACGUGUGAGAUGGACUUUUGGUUACAUUCUAAAAAUGAACUUGUAAUAUAAAUUGUCUUCUUCGUUGUGGAAAAAAUAAUACAUAAAGGUAAACUCGAAAACUAAAAAAUAGACAUCAUAAUAUUAACUAAAUUUUUGUACCCGAACACAAAUAUUGCGUUCUUCAUGAAAAAAAGUAUCUUGAGAUGGAAGGAAGUAGUUUCUCUUCCCAACGAGUUUGUCGCAUGAUGAGAAAUUUAUUUGUAAAAAUGAUCUUAGGAUCAAAUUAAUUAGAAUCUAGAAAAUUAUUAUAAGCAUAUAAGUAAGUAUGAUAAUUAAAUAAAUAUUUCUUAUAAAUUUAAUUUUUAUUUAUAAGUAUUUUAACUUAAAUUGUGGUAUUCGAAAGAUAUAAGUUACAGAUAGUAUUACUCCUAACAUUAUGGUUUUUUUUAAUUUAGAAAACUUUUUAUAUUUAUAUAUGUUGAUUUAAUAUGCUUAUGUGGGCCGCAGCUCCAUUUCAAAAUUUAAAGUAUACACAUAUUUUAAAUUUUAUAGUUUAAAUGAAGUGAACAAAAUUAUUAAGUGUCCAUUGAUUUUUAAUUUAUAUAUGCGUACAUGCCUACAUAUAUACCCACUUAAUUUUUAGAAAAAAAAAAUACCCUAACAAUUUAUGUUUUAAGAAAGUUGUAAUUAUAACUCAUUUAAAUACACGUCUGCUAAAAUAAAAUAAGUAUAAAUUAUUACAAUUAAUAUUUAUAUAUUUUAAUCUUCUUGUCACAUCAUUUCUUUUUUUUUUUCACUUUUUUUUUUUAUAAUUGUGUUUGGUACGUAAGACUAAUAAGUUAACUAGUAGCUUCUUUGACUAGUUUAUAAACUACUUUGACCAACACAAAAGUAUUUGGUAAGAUAUAUAAAAGUUGUAAUUAUAACCCAUUUAAAUACACGUCUGCUAAAAUAAAAUAAGUAUAAAUUAUUACAAUCAAUAUUUAUAUUCUUGUCAUAUCAUUUAUUUCUUUUCACUUUUUUUUUUAUAAUUGUGUUUGGUAAGACUGGUUGCUUCUUUGACUAGUUUAUAAACUAACUUUGACCAACACAAAAGUAUUUGGUAAGAUAUAUACAUAUAUUUUACUUUGUGAGAUUAUAACUUAUUACUUAUAAAUUACUUCAAGUAUUUUGUAUCUUUUUAGCUUAUUUAAUUUUUUUUCAUUAUUCUAUUUUAUAUUUUGAUAUAUUUUUAUUAUCAUCUUUAUAUUUUUUUUUAUCUAUUUUUACUUUUUUUUUUAAUUUUACGAGGACAAAGUUUUUACUUCUCCAUCUUCAAUCACACUUUCAGUAUCUCUUCAUGCUCCAUCAAUUUUAAUGAUGUACUCCAAAUUUUUAAGUGUCUGAAAGACUUGAAUAGAACAAGUUUAGGAUAGAUAAAUGCAUUGUUAAAUUAUUUAUAUAAGAGAUGUAUUUGAUGAAACUCGUUAAACGCAACUUCAAGAGGACAUAUAUAUUGUUUAAAAAAAUUUCAAAACAUAUUUUUGUAAAACUAUCCUUUUUAAGUUAGGUGCACAUAAAUAACGUACAAUAUAAAUAGAUAAGAUAUUAGAGAGAUUUGCACACAAUAUUAUAUACUAGUUGAUUUGAAAUACUUAAAUUACGAUAAGGGUUUUGACUCACUAAAAGGGAAUAAUGUCCUAAUAUAAAUUAUAAAUUGAGUACUUUUUUCUAGGUUGCUAUGAAUACAAACAAUGUUCUUCCUCACAAAACAAAAGGUUAAUGAUUCCUUCAAAAUUGGAGAGCAUUAAGUGUUUUUCAAAGUACCAUCGUUGUCAACCUUUCUUCUUCGUAUAUAUAUCUUCUUUAUAAAGAGCUGAGAAGAAAAGAGUCAUUACAAAUAUUUUUUGGAGUUGUUAUGAGAAUUUGCAUCCUUAGUUUUCUUAGUCUUAUGUUUGACAAUGUUCAGCACGUAGACGCAUUGAAUGCUUUCCAUGAAACGUUUAAAACAUGUGUCUUCUUUACGCAAAUUCUCUUACACACGAUAUGACUUAUCUAGCUUAGGCAGAUUGUGUUACGUAUAUGACCUGAGAUAACUUGCUGACUUCAUAGGACUUUCAUUUCAUCUUUUCAGAAAGUUGUUUGCGUGGAGUAGCUUUACACAUGUUUUUUAAGAGAUUUUGAUUUUAACACUUUAAAACAAGAUAUAUUUGAGAGAAAUGAAGAAACAAACAUUACUUGUACACAAAGAAUAAGCUUUAUAAGUCUUCAAUAUGUACUAUGAAUGCUUAGGCUUUCAUAUCAACUUUAUUUGUUCAAAUAAAAACUUAUAAGACGAAGUAAUAGAGGACCACAUUAGCUAAAGCCACUUUUUCUUUCAACUAAGAGUAAAUGAUCAUUUUGAAAGAAUACAAAAAGUAAUAUCUACCUUAGUCUUGUAUAAAUUUGUAAAUAAUAGAAUAGUAUUUUUCUAGCUUUGUAUUUCUAAGCCAAUUAUAGAAUAGGAAUAUCCUUCUCUCCAAACAAGACUAGUCACCUCCAAUCAAUCCUUGCCAUGUGUCAACGCAAGAGUUUAGAGUUCCUUAUGUUUAGGAUUGUAACAUGGCAAACUAGGAAUUGAGAGUAUUGAUAAGUGCCUAAUUUCAGUAAUAUUUCAUAUUAAAAUAUAGGCACUUAUGAGGAUUUAUUGUUAAUUUAUAUAUAAAAUCAUCCCUAAUUUAUGAAUUUAUACCUUUUUAUAUUUUUUAUGAUCUUUAUUUGAAUAAGAGUAUUUUAUUGCCGAAUUUGGUGUUAAUUGCAGAUUUUUAAGGAAGAUUGAAGAUUUGGAUUUAAGAUGAAUGAUUUGAGCUAAAAAGAUAAAGAUAGAAGGUCCCAGAAUGGAAAAAGAUGCAAAGAAAGAUUGGGCUUUUUUUUAUGUUUUAUCAUUUAGCCCAUUAGCGCGACAUAGGAAGCAACCUAACCCUAUAAAACUAGGAUAAAUAGAGGGCUAGAAGCUCAACUGUAGUGUGCCAAAUUGAGAGUAAAACACCAUAGAGUGAAUUGUAACCCAAUUGGGAGAAUGGAAGGUGCUAGAAGUAUGCGUGGCUAAUUCUACCCUNNNNNNNNNNNNNNNNNNNNNNNNNNNNNNNNNNNNNNNNNNNNNNNNNNNNNNNNNNNNNNNNNNNNNNNNNNNNNNNNNNNNNNNNNNNNNNNNNNNNUUGAGAGUAAUAUGCUCAAUCUCUUAUGUAUUGAGGUGAUAUCUUAUAUAUUAAUAUUCAGUUCUUGAUUGAUUAUUGGUAUUGUUGUUUUACUUUUAACUUUCCGUGACAAAUUGAGAAUCUUAAAUUUGACCGAGAGGUAUUUUUAGGGUUUGGACCUAAACAUCAAUACUUAACAUAUUUGAGUGCUAGGGAUAAACUUGAAAUGUUAAUUGCCAUUAACGUCUGAGUGUGAUUCUAAGUUGUUUUUAUAAAUAUGUGAGGGAUCGAUAUUUAGGAAACAUUCUUAAGGAUUUUAUAUGCGAGAGAUCGAUAUAAAUGAAUUUUCUACGGGCAUCAAUUUCAAUAAAAGAACUCAAUAUUAACAUGCUAAUCAAAAUACAUGAGAGUGGGAGAGAUGAAACUUAAUCCCUAUUUUUCCAAUUGAAGCAACUAACUCUUUGUUUGUUUUCUUAUUGAUCAGUGCCAACACAAUCACUUCUAAACUCUUUUUAUUCUUAUUCUUAUGUUGUUAUAUUUAGCGAAUAUUGUAUUCGAUAAUUCACUGUUCCUUGUGGGAUCGAUAUCCGUCCUUAGGGACAAUUAUUACUUUUGACAAACGCGGUACACUUGCCGUAAAAAGUCAUCAAGUAUUUUGAGAACUCAAUAGUCUUUUUAGGAGUCUCCUUAGGCUAUAAAUAAGAGACUCCUCUCUUAUAAUUUUCAAACUUGAUUGAUAUAUGAAAUUGUGUUUAUGAAAUUCUUAGUGCAUUCUAUCUAAGUCUCUAUCUAUGAUGUUUCUUGCAUUAUUAAAAACUCAAGGAAGUUGGUCUAACCUCUUCCUUGACCCUUGCACCUUCUAAACUCACACCCAAACCCAUAAACCUCCAUAGUCAUUCGAUGUUUCUUCUACAAAUCUACAAGUCUUUCGCCGCUUUCCAUCAAUUACAUCCAAUACACAAGAAGAAUUGUAUCAUGAAGUGUACAAUGAAAGUGUUUGUGUGUUCAAUCAGAUGAAGUAAGAAUAAUUGCAUCUUUUCAACGAGACAAAAGACAUAAAAAAAAUGUUUAUGUAUGUCGAAAACUGAUACUAGUAAACUAUUAUGCUUUAUACUAUGUUGUUUAAGUACAAAAUAAAAAACUCAUUUAAAGAAUUCGUUGAGUAGGUAUCAAAUAUUUAUUGUAAUAUUUUUUUAUUGAGUUACUUCUUUAUUUGCUAUGUAGUUCAAAUUAAAGAAAAAAAAUCAACAAUGAAAUAACUAAUAUUUUAUUACAUAAUUUAUUACACAUAACUAAGAUUUUAAUACACAGAAUAAAAGUUGUAAAAAAAAUAGACGUAACCCUUAAAAUUGAGAAAUAAAAAAUUCUAAAACAAAUAAAAUUUAAAUGUAAUUAAUCAACUAGCUUAAAUAAAAUGACUUGACUAAAUAAAGAAAACAUAUCUAAUUUUAAAAUAAUAAAAAUGAUAAAUUUUUUGAUAAAAAUAUUAAAGACUUUUUAAAAUUUUAAAAUUAUAAUUAUAUAAAAUAUACUUUUACUGUAAAUAUAUAAAUUUUCUUUUACUGGUUUAUACACUGUUCGUGUGUUCGUGAAAUCUGUCUUUAAAUGUCAGCUUGGAUUGUGUUGGCAGUAGAAGUUUAAACAGAAAAGAGUUUGGGAGUAACCAUGUGGAGAGAGAGAGCUUUGAUAAUCUUGGUGUUUCUGCUCCACCUAAUUCAUGGAGAAGAUGCUUGCCCCCCCUCUUCCUGUGGGAAAAUCAGCAACAUAUCUUAUCCAUUCCGAUUGAAAGGAGACGCAAAAGGGUGCGGUCUCACCGGCUAUGAGCUAUCUUGUAAAAACAAUAUAGCGCUCUUCUCUUUGUACUCGGGAACAUUUCAUGUGCAGGCCUUCAACUACAAUAAUUUCACAAUCCGAGUGGUGGAUCCUGGACUUCAACAAACAAACUGCUCUUCUCUUCCUCGCUAUUUCUUCUCUCCAUCCAAUUUCACUCCUUCUUACCAACCAAUUCCUCCGUAUCUCCAUUAUUAUAGUCCCAAGAAUACUUCUUCUUACCAAACAAUUCCUUCGGUUUACCGGUAUUAUUAUACCGAGCCGCUUGUUUAUGAGCAUAUAGUGUUUUUGAAUUGUAGCCAUGGAGUGACUGAGAUCCCUAAGUAUGUGGAUACUGGUGGAUGCGUGACUUGGGAGUCGACCGGCUACAUAUACACUGUGGCUGGUGACCUAAUUGCAGAGGACAUUGAAGUUGGUUGUGAUGUGAAGCUGGUUGCUCCCACAUCUUGGUGGGGUUUGGACACAAAUACAUAUUCAUAUGCCAUGAUGCAUACUGCGCUAGUCUAUGGAUUUGAGCUUUCAUGGAUUCCUCUCGUCUGUCAUGAUCGUUGUGCAGAUACUGACUGCUAUUUCAGUUCUUCUAGCCAGACCCUUGAAUGCUACAAAGAAGGUAAGGCAGUUCAGACUCUGUUUUUAAUGUUUCUUUUUACAAGUAAAACUAAACCCAAUUGUUCGGUUAAAUUUGAGUUUGUUUAUUUUUUAUUUUUUAUAUUUACGAGCUAAACACUCUAUCUGUACAUUUUUUUAUUAUAAAUUUUUAUAAACACGUGUAUAUUAUUUUGUAUAUUAUGUGAGUUUUUUAUUAUAUCAAAAUAAAAUAAUAAAAUAUAUUAUAUAUAUUAUAUUGAAUUUACAUUAUAAAAAAAUUAAUUAUAAGGAAUCAAAUAUUUUAAAUAUUUAUAAUUUAAUUAAAUGUAAAAUGUGAAUAGUUAUUUUUUUAUAAUUAGUUCUUUUCCCUGUAUUUUAUAUUUAUUUUGUAAAUUUGUAUUGUAAUUUAAACAUAUCAUUAAAGAUAACAUAGAAAAAAUUGUAUAAUAAUAAAAUAUUAUUAAAUAUUAUUAUAAAGUAUAGAUAAAUAUAUCUAUAUAUUUAAAAAAAUCAAACCUUAUUAAAUCAUUUUAUAAAAAUAGUUGGCUUUCAAUUCACCUAUUUCCAUAAAAUGCUUCAAAGCCGUCUGAAACCGUUUAAUUUAGUUUGUUUUUCUUAUAGUAAAUAAAUAAAGUAAAAAUUAUUAAACAAUUUCUGUAAUAAUAACAAUAGUAAUGAUAUAAUCUUUAAUAAUCAAUAAAGGAUUCUCUUGUACUUAACUUUUUUUUAUAUAUUUUAUUAUAAUUUUUCUUUGAUGUUUUGGAGGCUGCUCUUUAUUAUGAAUUAUCAUAAUAACUAAAUUUUUAAUUCUCUAAGUUUUGAAUUUACGUUUAUGUAAUUGAUUUUGGUAUUCCCCUGAUAUAAUAACGUUUUGAUAACUAUUUCUUCGUUAUUCUGAUUAAGGUUAAGUGUUUUGCAUAGUUAUUGUAAACUUGUUUUUAGCAAGAUUUAAAGAUUUACUAAAUUCUUUUUCAGAUGUCAAUGCUUAUUGUAUUUAUUGCUAUAGUCAUAGUGAUUUCAUUCUUUUGAUUCAAAACUUCACACUUUAAAACAAUAAUCUUUGUCCACUCUAUAAUUUGCAAAUCUUUCUAAUUAAUUUUUUUUAUGUUAAGAGAAAUUGAUAUUUUUUCUUUCAUUAAUCACUGACUAAAGGUAAUUUGUAUUUAUCUCCAUUAUCUUCUUUAAUAAAUACCUAUAUUUAUUCAAUUAACUCCCCAUAUAAAUAAGAGAUAUUUAUCCAUUAUCACUAAAACCGUCUUUUACCUAUUCAAAAAACUAUAUUUUAACAUCUUAGAUUUCAGUUCCGUAUUAUCGAUAAAACAUCACUUCAUUAAUUAAAUAUUUUUUAAGAAAAGUUAAUUUAUGAUAUGCAUGAACUCAUGUAUAACAUUUUUUGGUUUCAAAAAGAAAUAAAAGCAUUUAGAUAGAUUAUGAACAUAACCUUUGUGAAAUUAUGUAAAUAGUCUUGCUUGUUGCGUUGUGCUUCUCUGAUAUUGAUACUCUGUUCUUUUUGUAUGAAUAGCUUGGUGGCUGCACUAUGUUUCAGGUCAGAAUUCUACCUCUUUGGAUUACCUAUGUUUGAAUUGGUACGUAAUACCAAAAACUAAUUUUGAUUCUACAUAAUUAUCAUGUUACCUAUUACACAUUUUUUCAUGCUUAAAUAUAGUUUUAAUCUUUUAAUUUAAAUUUGAAAUUUUUAUAUUGUUCUUUCAAAUUAAAAUUGUUUUCCCUUCCAUUUUAAAAUGAUUUUUUUUCCUAUUCUCGGUUUAAGCAUUCAAAUACUAAUUGUAAUUGAGAACAAAAGAUAACGACUUAUAUAUAUAUAUAGAGAACCCUUGUGAUAGGUUAAUACUGCAUCAGGUUUGCAGUUUUAGCUAUAGACCAUUCUCAAAUCUAUAUUGGAUAAGUAUAACUUCAACACUAGAAUCUUUUUACAUUCCUAAUCUAGUAAUUGUAUGUCACAUCCUUAAUCUAGUAAUUGUAUGUGAUGUGGUGCUUAGGCCUACUCUAUUUCUAUUCAUAUCCUUGAUAGAGUUGUAAGUAUUGUUGCUCAAAGCUAUGUCGAGCCUCCACUGCAAUAGAGAAGUAAUUCACUUUUUUUUUUUUUUUAUAUCCAUGCUCAUGUACACACACCUUUCCAACCUUUGGUUACCAAUCAUGACAUAGAGUUAUUCUCAGAUAUUAUAACAUGAAAAAAAAAAAACACUCAUCAUCCUCAAAGAUCCUCAAAGAGGUGACUUUAACUACACUAAAAGUUUUACCAAUUUUUCUAAGGAUAAUCAUUACAAUUAUGCAAAACAACAAACAUAUAUUCCAAACAAGAACCAUCACAGAUAUUCAACAAUUCAACUACUUCUUCCUUCGUAUUCCAGUAGGUUUUUUUUUUUUUACAUUUUUUACAACUUGGAACUAAACAACAUUUGAGAUAAAAAAACAUAACCAUUUUCCCUUUUCAGUUCCUUCACUCUGCAUCGACAACAAAUAUAGCCAGUAACAAGGUCACUCUGCACUUUCAAGCCCUUCCCUACAUUUUUGUUACAACUUAUAGCGACAAACUCUACAAUAUUUUCACACCCCUCUACCACUUCAUUUUAUUCACUAGUCACAAGUUUUUUUAUAUAUAACACCCAAUCCGAAUAGGAGAAAUUAGUUGUAGGCACGUUAUGGGUCAGCCAUACCCACACAUUCAGUUGUGUCAUACAAAAUAUUUCAUGUAUACUUUCCCUUCCUUAAAGAUAAUCUUGUUUCAAUGGUUCCAAAUUGUCCACACAAUAACUAUCCAUACUUCCUUCCAUAUUAUUUUUAUCUAUCAUUUAAAUUCACAUAGUUUAAAGUUUGGAAAUGUUCCAUUAUGUCCCAGUUGUGUACAAAUUAGAUCCUAACCAAUUUAUCACACAUAACCUAGACAAUAUAAGAUUUAUUACAGUGUAGUAGAAUAUGAUUAAGUUACUCAUUUUCCAUUUUACAACCACAACUAGAAAUAUCACCAAUUUGUAACUUGCCUAAAACUCUAGUUACUAAGUAAUUUAACCCAGAAAAAUAAACAUGUCCAAUAUAUAAAGAUGACAGAGAUGAUAAAUCAAUAGUGGAGGUUGUCACAACUAGAUUCUUUAACUCAUCCAAUAUAUAAAGUCCCCUUAUCUACAACUUUCCUAUUCAGCCUUCCAGAUUGAGGAUCUUACACAUAACAAUUAGUAGAAGAAAAGGGAAACAAGUUAAAGGUACAGUUGAUUCCAUAAGGGAGGUUGAAUGGAGCCUAAACUGAAAUCUCAAACCUAAAAAACAAAGCAAAUGCAAAAUCUAACAAGUAAUAAAUAAACAGAGAGAAAUGCACACAAAAUUUAUAUUGGUUCACCCAAUAAUAAGGGUUAUGUCCAGACCGUUUGAGUAGGCUAGUCAAGAGCCUUUUAAUAUCACAAGUAUUAUACGUCUCUUCAGGUUAUACAAAUAUUGUCCACCUCUUAAGGUACACCAGUAUUCUUAUAGUUUUACAGGUCACCAGUCCCAAUCUCUCCCUUAGAUCAAGACCUUUCAAUAUAAUUAGAAAACACUUUCAUUUUAAGAGAAAAAUAAAAAGUCAUAGGGUAUACUUCAUAGUUUGAAGAAUUUACAAUGGUUAAGUUCACAACCCAAUUCUCACAAAUCACUCUACAAUAGCUUAUAUGAAUGUGUAUGCACAAAUCUAAAGCACAACUUUAAAAUCAUUUAUGUACUUUUUGAAUGUUCAUCAUCUUCAAGGUCUUUAUAUAACUUUUUGAAUAUGAUCGUUGAGACAUUAAGGUUCUUCACUCUUCAUAAUAGCUAUUAGACGCUCGAUUUUUAGAAAUAAUUACUCUUGAUUGAUCUUUGCAUGUUUUGAGCAUGUGAGGCAUUUCAAAUUGUGUCUUUUUGUUCUUCCUAAUCGAAAAAAAUGCACGCGGAAGCAACACACAUAAUCAAAAAUCAACUGCAGAAAAUAAACAACACAGGAUUUAACGUUGUUCGGUCGCCAACUGCAACCUACAUCCACACGGACAACUAUUAGGUUUUCAUUUCUGUCCUAUUGCACACCAAUUACAAGUACAAUGAUCUCUUUAAAUAGAAAUUAUAAAGGGGACACAAUGAUUAAGUCCAUUCACUAAACAUGGUGUCUAAUCGGCCCAACCCAAUUGGUCCUGACUUCAUACCCAACAAUCUCCCACUUGAAGCCACAUAACAAUGUUCACCUGCAUUUCAACUGUGUACAUGUACUUCUGUAAUCUGUCGACGAAACUCAAUGUUCCACCACUAGUUGCCACCAGCCUUCUUAAUCAUUUUGAAGACUUCGUUAAAACUCCCCUGAGUUUCAACACGUCAGUCAUGAUUGAAACUGUCACUGACCCGUUCUCUGUUCCUACCGGCUCCCACUUGCAAGAACUGACGGAUCCUGGAACAACCUGAGAACAAACACUUUCCAUAUUCAACAAGAAAUUUUCUGGAAAAGUUUCAACAGCUAGAAUACUGGUUCUCCUAACCCACUACCGUCUAAGAACCUCAGCUGAAGCAGGACUCGUGCUCCCACUGCCAUAAGUACCUCUAACUGGUCUACCUGAACCUUUCCAUGCUCGUUCAUCCUGAAUCUGACUUGUGGCUCUAGGUUUCUCUCUUGUAAAGACAACCCUCUUCUGCCCACGAGAUUCUGUGAACCGGACUUUGUUUAUCUUCUGAACUGGGACGGUCACUCCCUCAGACGGUAAUCCGACCAUAUACAGUGAACCUCCCUUUCUUCCGCAGGCCAUGACAAGAUUUCCCUUGACGACCUUCCACUGCUGAUUUCCGAACUUCACAUAAUGUUCCUGUUCGUCCAACUACCUAACAAAAAUCAAACUUUAAGUCAAGCUUGGAACAACUCUGACAUCCUUCAAAGUCCAAAAACUGACUGACGUCUUCAACACUAUGUCACCCAUGCCCGUAACAUCAAUAGUUUUGUUGUCUGCUAGUCUUACCUUUCCAAAGUCUCCAAUAACUAGAUUAUGCAAUGCUUCAGAACUCAUGACCCAGGAAUUCACACUGCUAUCCGCGCAACAGACUAAAAGGUCCUCGUCCGCGAAGUCUUCUGCAAUGUUGACUUAUUUAUCAUUUGGGCAUUGAUUCCUGAAAUGCCCCACCUCCUUGCAGAUCCAACAUGUUACACUUGAGCAAUUCCGAGUCUUUCACUAACUCCUUCUUUUGUUCUUGCUUCCACUAUCCCUAAUAUUUUUCUUACCUCUAAUGACAUAUAGUGAUUCACUACAUAAUUCCCCAUAACUCCUUCUUCGAACAUCCUUACCAAGAAUGAGAUCACGAAUCUUCUCAAAAGUGAAUCCAUCGGAUCCUGCUGAAGUGGUAACUGUUGUAACCGUUCCAGACCAACUGUUAGGCAAAGACAAUAGCAGUAGUAAAGCUUGAACUUCAUCAUUGAACUUAAUGCCCACUGACAUAAGUCUGGCUAAGAUCAAAUUCAUUUUAUUAAUGUGCUCAGCAACUGAACUGUCUUAAAUUCGUGUCGCAACGAAAAGCAGCCACACCCUGCACCUAGCACCGCACCGUCACUACUGCACUAGCAGAUUAAAGCACGCGCCACUCUGCGUCUUCCGUUACUGUUAUCACACUGCACCUCUAUGUCGUCUCGCUCACCGCAAGAACCUGCACGUGUUAGCCGCGAAACACGAUCCGUCGUCGCACUGCCUGGACAUGACCCUACUACGAGCAACCCACACCGCUACACGUCGCACCGCCUACUGUGUGCACCUACCGCGAGUCGGAGGUCUGGGCUGUCGCGAAUCUUGGGCCACUGUGAAACCCUAACUUUGGGACGCCGCUGCAACCCCUACGAAACCCUAGCUUUGUGACACUGCUGCCGCCUCUAUGAAACCCUAACUCUGGGAUGCUAUUGCAACCCCUGUGAAACCCUAGCUUUAAGACGUUGUUGUCGCCUCUGCGAAACCCUAGCUUUGGGACGCUAUUGCAGCCCCUACGAAACCCUAGCGUUGGGACGUUGAUGUCGCUUUGCGAAACCUUAGCUUUGGGACGCUGUUGCUGCCUCUGCGAAACCCUAGCUUUGGGACGCUACUGCAACCUCAAUUUUCAUGUCUUGUCAUCGAUUAAUUCUGCUGAUUAGAUCUCUAGUGUCUAAACGAACCAAGCUCUGAUGCCACUUUAUGGGAAAAGACGCACGCGGAAGCAACACACAUAAUCACGAAUCAACUGCAGAAAAUAAACAACACAGGAUUUAACGUGGUUCGGUCGCCAACUACAACCUACAUCCACACGGGCAACUAUUAGGUUUUCAUUUCUAUCCUGUUGCACACCAAUUAAGUACAAUGAUCUCUUUAAAUAUAAAUUAUAAAGGGGACACAAUGAUUAAACCCACUCACUAAACAUGGUGUCUAGUCAGCUCAACCCAAUUGGUCCUGGCUUCAUACCCAACACUUCCAAUAUGAAUGCUAAGGCUUUAAUACUCUUUAUUGAGAUAUCCUCUUGAAUCUUCCACGUUGUUCUUCUCCUUGAAUGCACUAGACGCUUGAAAUGAAAACUUCUUCUCUAGUGCAAUCUGCGCUUUCUUGAGUCAUUGUAAACAUUUCAAAAUUCUUCUUUAACUAUAUUCAAUCUAAACAUUGAAGCUUGAAUCAUUUCUUCACUUGAAUAUUCUUUUCUUUGUAUUGUUCAUCAUCUUCCACGUAUUAGACUCUAAAUAUGGAAAUAUUGGCUUUGAUGAGAUUGAUGAGUCUUUAACAUAUAUUUGUUCUUCAAAUACUUUCUUUAUAUGUAUGAACUUUGUCCCUUGAGAUUUGAACCUCCAUUGACUUGAUUCUUUCCUAUUAUGCAUUAUUCAUCUUCUUCUUCAUGGUACACACUCAAAUAGGAAAGUUUUUAUAUGAGCCUAGAUGUCUGCCCAACCUGGCGACCUGGCAACCCUACUAGUAGUGCUAAAUGAGUUAUAGACUUUAGUUCCAUGAAAUAAAAAAAUAUAAAAAUUCAUAAAAGGUGGGAGAGAAGAGAAGUUGUAGGGAUAUCGUGUGCGGAAGCGUAAUAAUUUCAACCAAAGAUUAUGAGAAAUUAAAGUAACAAAGAAAAUGAGAAUGAUACCAGAAAUUUUUAGGUGGCAAACCCCUUUAAAUAGAGGUAAAAAACCACCGGCGAGAGAGCCAAAACUUCCACUAUAAUGGUACUGGGAGUACAAUGAAUUCCUCCCAGACUAAUAGAUAAAUAGCCCUAAAACAAAUCCUCUCUAUAUGGGUUAAACACUUACACCUAAGAGCAGAAAUAGAGAGUAUAGGAGAAGAGAGAGGAAGCAAGUGUGUGUUGUUGUUUGUUGUGUGUUACAUUGCUUGAAGGAAGCCACUAUAUAUAGUGGUUCUAGGAGACAACAAUAAUAAAUACAAUUAAUGGUAAUUAACCUCCCUUUUGAUGACAAUUAAUUGUAGUAAGAAACCUCCAUUUGAUGACAAUUAAUUGUGGCAAGUAACCUCCAAAUUAUAUCAAGAAAAUGGAAAAGUGAGUCAUAACCCACAAAUCUCCACCUUGACUUGCCUUUGACCGGAACAAUCUCUCGCCAAGAAGCCUUGAUUAAGUAUGGAUAAUACCAGCUAAGUUCAGGCAAUGAUCGAACUUAGCCGAUGGAAGUGGCUUGGUCAACAUGUCUGCAGGAUUUUCGGCUGUAUGAAUUUUUUCAACAAUUAUAUCUCCUGUAUCAACAAUGUCUCGGAUAAAAUGGUGUUUAAUUUCAAUGUGCUUGGUCCUUGAGUGAUACUUACUGUUCCUGGUUAAGUGGACAACACUCUUGACUAUCACAAAAUAUAACAAGAACAUCUUGUUGAGGACCAAGUUCACUUACCAAGCCUCGAAGCCAUAUAGCCUCUUUCAUACCUUCUGUAGCAGCAAUAUAUUCUGCUUCAGUGGUGGACAAAGCCGCAAUGGCUUGAAGUGAAGAAUACCAGCUAAUAGUAGACCCACAUAGGGUAAAAAUGUAGGCUGAAAGUGAACUUCUCCGAUCUAAAUCACCAUCAUAGUCAGCAUCAACAUAGCCAACUGCUCCUCCGGUAUCGGCUCUAUGUUGAUCAAAUACCAAACCAAGAUCUGGAGAACCUUUCAGAUAACGAUGUAUCCAUUUAAUGGCUUCCCAGUGUGCCUUGCCUGGAUUAUGCAUGAACUUGCUAACAAUGCUAACAACAUAAGCUAAAUCAGGUCUAGUACAUACCAUAGCAUACAUGAGACUUCCAAUUGCAUUUGAAUACGGGACAUGUGACAUGCGAUUUUUGUCCUCGUCUAAUUUUGGACACUGAUAUGAUGACAACUUGAAGUGGGAGGCAAUUGGAGUAUUAACAGCUUUGCAAUCUCGCAUUCCAAAUUUGUCAAGCAUCUUAAGAACAUACUUCUUUUGUGAUAGAAAAAGUUUUCCAGCUUGACGAACUAUGUUGAUCUCAAUUCCUAAAAUUUUCUUGGUAGGACCUAAGUCCUUCAUAUCAAAUUCACUACUAAGCUGAGCCUUUAACUUGUUAACUAAAGAUUUAUCUCUUGCGACAAUCAACAUGUCAUCAACAUAUAACAACAAGUAUAUAAAUGACCCAUCAGAUGUCUUUUGAAAAUAAACACAAUUAUCAUAGCUACUUCUUAGCACGAGGUUCUAAUUUUCCCUCGUUUACAUGAGAAUAAGCAGGGCAACCAAAUAUUUUAAGAUUAGAAUAAUCAACAGAGUUACCUGACCAAACUUCUUCUGGAAUGUUGCAAUCAAUUGAUUUGUUAGGAGAGCGGUUUAUCAGAUAACAUGUCGUUGAAGCCGCUUCAACCCAAAAACAUUUGCUCAAACCAGAAUGGGAGAACAUGCAACGAACUCUCUCCAGGAUAGUUCUAUUCAUUCUUUCUGCAACCCCGUUCUGUUGUGGAGUCCCUGGAUGGUGAGGUGUCUGGAAAUGCCUUCUUUCUUGCAGAAGUCAUUGAAUUCAUUCGAACAGAACUCAAGGCCAUUGUUUGUCCUUAGCCUCUUUAUCUUCUUGCCAAUCUGAUUCUCAAUCAAUAAUUUCCACUCUUUAAAAGUGGAAAAUGUUUCAUUCUUAUGUUUAAGGAAAUACACUCAUAGUUUUCGUGAGAAAUCAUCAAUAAUUGUCAUCAUAUAACGACAUUUACCUCUGGAGGGAACUUUUGACGGACCCCAAAGAUCCGAAUGAAUAUAAUCCAAAGUACCUUUGGUUUUGUGUAUGGCUUUAGAAAAACUAACCUUUUUCUGCUUACCAAAAUGCAAUGUUCACAGNNNNNNNNNNNNNNNNNNNNNNNNNNNNNNNNNNNNNNNNNNNNNNNNNNNNNNNNNNNNNNNNNNNNNNNNNNNNNNNNNNNNNNNNNNNNNNNNNNNNAUUCCCUUCUCACUCAUGUGGCCUAAUCUCAUAUGCCACAACUUGGUGUUAUCUUUGUUGGGUGAGGCAACAGCUGCAGAACCUGUAACGGUUGAAUCCUGCAGCACAUACAAACUAUCACAUCGAAUUGCCUUUAGUAACACAAGAGCUCAUUUAGACACUUUUAAAACUCCACCUUCAGCUGAGUAUCAGCACCCAUGAGAUUCAAGGGUGCCUAAGGAAAUGAGAUUGCGUUUCAACUUAGGGACAUAUCUGACACCUGUUAAAGUUCUAACAAUUCCAUCAUGUGUCUUGAUUUUGAUUGUUCCUUCACCAGCAACUUUGCAUUGAGCAUCAUUUCCCAUCAAAACAAGACCAUUAUAAAGUGGUUCAUAUGUGGUAAACCAAUCUCUAUUGUGAGACAUGUGAAAAGUACAACCAGAAUCAAGAAUCCAUUCAUUUUUAGACUUUUGUUCAGUGUUGGAAGCUACAAAACAAUCCCCAUCAGAUUCAGUUUCAACAAUACUAGCUUCGGCAAAUUUUUCUGGUUGUUUACCAUUUCCCUUAUCUUCUCUAUCUUGCUUAUUUUUCAAUUUAUAACAUUCAGAGAUCUCGUGUCCCUUUUUCUUGCAAUAACGACAAUAUUUGGAGUUCUUGCCUCUAGAUUUUGACCUAGAUUUAUGUUUAGUGUUCCUACCUUUCUCUUGGUUUCUCCUUCUAACUACUAAUCCUUCACCAGAACUUUCAGAAUGAAUUUGAGUAUCAAAAUUUUCUUUGGCUAGUAAAUUAGUCUUGACAUCAUCAAAGCUUAAGGUAAGAUAAUUACCGUAUAACAUAAUUUCUUUGAAUUGUCGAUGCGAGGGUGUUAGAGAAACAAUAAGUAGAACAACUUUAUCCUCAUCAUCAAUUUUAACAUCCAAAUUUUCCAAAUCAAUUAUGAUGGAAUUAAAUUCAUCAAGGUGAGAUUGGAUGGGAGUACCUUCAAACAUUCAGAGUGUAAAGAGUCGCUCCUUUAACCAGAGUUUGUUUGCAAGACUUUUGGUCAUGUAUAGAGACUCCAAUUUAAUCCAUAUGCCUGUUGUAGUUUUCUCAUUGAUGACCUCACGCAACACCUCACGGGACAAGCAUAACUGGAUUGCAGACAAUGCCUUUUCAUCCAUCUCAUCCCACUGCUCCUCCGUCAUAGUGGUUGGUCUCAUCAUUUUACCUGUCAAAACUUUCUUUAAACCAUUCUGGGUGAGAACAGCUAGCAUCUGGACUCGCCAGAUAGCAAAACUGAUUUUACCACCAAAUUUCUCAAUAUCCAAUUUUGACAUUAUUGAACAACAGAUCCUGGUUGAAGUAUAAUGGUACUGGGAGUACAAUAUGAAUUUCUCUAAGACUAAUAGAUAAAUAGCCCUAAAACAAAUCCUCUCUAUAUGGGUUAAAAACACUUACACCUAAGAGCAGAAAUAGUAUAGGAGAAGAGAGAGGAAGCAAGUGUGUGUUACAUUGCUUGAAGGAAGCCACUAUAUAUAGUGGUUUUAGGAGACAACAAUAAUAAAUACAAUUAAUGGUAAUUAACCUCCCUUUGAUGACAAUUAAUUAUAGUAAGAAACUUUCAUUUGAUGACAAUUAAUUAUGGCAAAUAACCUCCCAAAAUCAUGUUUUAUUUCUUUUCUAGUUUAAAAUGUUGAAAACCGUCUUUAAAAUUUAAAUUUAGACAAUUAAAAAUCGCAGUAAAUUGGAAAUCCAAAAUUACCUUCCGCGUCUAUGAAGGAUAAAAUAACAUUUUGUAAAUUACGUAAACAAAGAUUUCACAAUAAGAUAUAACAAUGGAAAGUUAUAACAAUGGAAAAAACGAGUAAAACACCAAAUCGUUCCCUAGAUUUUAAAUUACUUUUUAUUUUGACCUUUUAUGUAAAAGAAUAUUUUAUUUUAAUUUUGUCAAACUAUUUAUUAACUCAAAAGAUUUUUUUUAUUUUUUAUUUUUUGCAGAGACUAUUGGUGAUAUCAUAUACGGUGAGUUCCUCUAUUUCUAUAUAUAUUUUUUAAGUAAAAAGGGAAAGAAUAGUUUACUUUGUCUCUAUCCCACGGUUUUAUUCCUCUAUUUCUAUAAAUAAUAAGUAUGAUGUAACAAGUUUUUUUAUAAAUAUAUUUAUUUGCAUAAAAAAUAAAUAAAUUCUUUUAAAUUUAAAACUAAUUUAUAUGUAAACUAUUUUUUAGACAUUCUUUUAUAUAACCUUUUUAAAUUUUAAUUUCUAAUUUAUAAAUAAUUUUAUUUCAUUUUUAUUUUUUUUAUUUUCUUUUAUAAAAAUAUUUGUAAAACAAUUUUCCAAAUAUAACUAAUAUUAUUUGUACAUACUAUUUUUGGAAAAAUAGUUCUAUAAUAAUUUCACUUUAUUAUUAAUUUUUUAUUGAUGAAAUCUAUCACUUUGAUUCUUGGACUCUUCCAAUAUACUUUUAAUAAUAACAAUUUGUGUACAGGUGCUAAAAGAGUAACUUUUUUCCAUUCUAUAUGUUAACAACUUUUUUUGGGAAAACUCAUCCACAUUUUUAUUACAUUAAAAAAAUAUAAUUUUAAAAAUAAAUAAUUUUCUAAACAAGAUAUUGAAAAAGAAUAAAAUUAUAAAAUUUAAAAUGUAUAUAAUUUUGUUAAAAUAAUACUAAAAUAACAUAUGGUGGCUAUCUAUACACUAUAUAAAGGGCACAGAGUUUUUAACCACCCUUAGUGUUUUCUUUGUUUUAUUUGAAUAAAAAAAAUUGGAUACAUAGGCGCGCAUGUACUAAAAAAGUUUUUAACCACCGCUUUUUAAGUAAAAAAGUUAUUUACAUAUUUUUUUUAAUAGAGAUAAAUUAUUUAAUUAAAUAAAGAAGUAUUUUUUUUAUAAAAUUCAUGUUAUUUAUUUAUUAAAAGGUAAAAUUAUAUAAUUAUAAAUAACGUCAAAGAUAGUUAUCAAAUGUUUUUUUUUAUAAUGAUAUAUUAUUUUUAAUAGAAAUAAGUUAUUUAAUUACUCAUUUUAUAAAAUAAAAAAUUAUGUUUUAUUUAUUAAAGUAUAUAAUAUUUUAAUUAAAAUAUAACAUAAAAAUAAUUAUUUAUAUUCGCACUAUACAAUAGUAUAGAUAAUAAUAAUAAUAAAUAUAAAUAAAUUUAAAAGUUUAAAGAUUUAUUAUUAUUUUAUUAAUAAAAAAAGUUUACAAGUGAUUUUUUUAUUUAUUUUAAGGAAGGUGUGAAUUUCUUUUUUCUUUCUUCAUUACAGUAUGAUGACAUUUGUCAUAUUAAUUCACAGGAUUAAUUUUAGUAAUAUAUGGGCCAAACCAAAAUCUUAAACGUUACGGUGCAUAUGGCUCAGUAACGAUUACAUUGGGACACUAUGUUAUACCAUACUUCAUAGUUAGAUAUGUUGUAGGCACGAUAUUGCUUAUUGUUCUUUUGAUAUACAAGUGGAGAAGAAGACAUUCUUCAGAAUAUGAAAAUAUUGAAAGUUAUUUAGAGCAAAAUAGCUUGAUGCCUAUUCGAUACACAUACAAGGAAAUUAAGAAGAUGGCCAAAGGUUUUGGUGAAAAAUUGGAUGAAGGAGGUUAUGGCUCUGUAUUUAAAGGAAAGUUGCGUAGUGGAUCUUGUGUCGCUAUAAAAGUGUUACAAAACUCAAAAGGUAAUGGACAAGACUUUAUCAAUGAAGUUGCAACAAUUGGAACAAUACAUCAUCAAAAUGUAGUGCACUUAAUUGGAUAUUGUGCUGAGAGCUCAAAAAGAGCCAUUGUUUAUGAGUUCAUGCCCAAUGGAUCUCUAGAUAAAUUUAUAUUUUCGAGAGAAGAAAAUCCACAUUUAACCUAUGACACAAUAUAUAAUAUAGCAAUUGGAGUAGCACGUGGGAUUUCAUAUCUACACCAUGGGUGUGAGAUGCAGAUUUUGCAUUUUGACAUUAAACCCCACAACAUCCUGCUUGAUGAAAAAUUCACCCCAAAAGUCUCUGACUUCGGAUUGGCAAAACUAUAUCCAACAAACAAAAGUGUUGUGACUAUGACAGCAGCAAGAGGGACAAUUGGAUACAUGGCUCCAGAAUUGUUUUAUACAAAUAUAGGAAGAAUAUCAUAUAAGUCUGAUGUUUAUAGUUUUGGAAUGCUUCUGAUGGAGAUAGCAAGCAAGAGGAAAAACUUAAACCCCCAUGCCGAGCAUUCAAGCCAACUUUACUUUCCCUUUUGGAUUUAUGAUCAACUUGACAAAGAGAGAGAUAUAGAAAUCCAAGAUGUCAUAGAGGAUGAGAAGAAAAUUACAAAAAAGAUGAUGAUAGUUUCACUUUGGUGCAUACAAUUAAAACCAAAUGAUCGUCCUUCCAUUAAUAAGGUAGUCGAAAUGCUUGAAGGAGACAUUGAGAACCUUGAAAUACCUCCAAAGCCUUCUCUGUAUCCAUAUGAAACAUUGAAAAGAAUCUUCUCUGACCAAACAACAUUGCCUGACUUCAUUAGUUCUUCAAGUUAUUCCAUGGAGAUUGCCACUAAUGCUCCACUAGAUGCAAGUAUUUGAUAUUGCAUAUUAGUUAUUUAUUUGCAUGGAACUUAUUAAACAUUGUUCAUCUAUAAUAUUUACAAUAUUUACAUUGCCUGAGUUAUUUCCUAUUGAAAGUUUAAAAAUAAUUGUUACCAAAUUUAAAAAUGUGUUCAAAGUUUUCCCAUAUGUUCAUUAUACUAUGGUAUUUGUAGCAACCUAGUUCUUUUAAUUGUAAUUUAAAACUUGAUCAAAUAUAAUAAUAACUGAGAAACUAAAUUUGGUUAAAAAUAACAAAUUAAAUAGGUAUAUUUUUUGGUAAGUGUCUCUUCAAAAUUCUACAAUAGAGAUUGUGUAGUAAGCUAGAUAACAGAAAAGGAUAUAUGAAAGUAAUCAAACAAUCAAGAAAUCGUCAAAUCAAACAUAAUUGGUUACUUUAAUUAAUUUUAUUUCAAUUUGAUUCUAAACACGUAUUUUAAGAAAAGUUUUGAUGAGUGUGAAAUUUUUUUUUUAUCAGCAAAGAAUUAAUUUAAUUAAAACUGGGACACUUAAGGGGUGUCCCAACCCGUAUACAAAAAGUACUUAUAGCUACUUACACGUGUGAACCUGUAGAAACCUUAUAGAUAUAGCUACAAGUGACUUCUACCAUCCAAAACCAUUUGCUGCAUAAAAUCCUUUAAGCUUCGGCAGUAUGGGAAAGCACAAUCCCACUCUUCCAUUCAUUCCUAUUACUAAAUCACCCAUAAGCAUGGCCUAUCCAAGAUAGCAAAAUAUCGGGAACCCCAAUCUGCACACAGUUUCAUUCCUUCGUAACCAGAAACCUUCCACAGAAAAUCUAUUUUCCAUCCACAGAGAAUGCAUCUGUUAUCUUUCCCUGUUAUGGUAUAUAUCAGUGGAUGAGUGUGGCGCACCUACUAACCUUUCACCAUUCCAUUCCUUAUCUGCACUAUACCAAUCCAAACCUACACCUGGGAACUCCUCUAUUCCAUCUUGCACCGAACUCAGCCAUUGCAGCGCCCUCAUCCAAACUGGCCAAGUCCAUUUCACCUUAGCACCUAUAAGCAGCAGCUCCAAUCUUCACAGUACCUGCCAACAACCAAUGCACCCAUUUGCUGCAUAUCCUCACGCCUUUCUCAGCCCUUUUGGUUAAUGGUCCACGCCUUAUAGCAGUUUACAGCAGGCAUAUACUCAAUGUUCUGUUGGACCGUGCCUUCCUGCUUCCCUCUUAUGUAGUUAGACCCCUGUCCAUCGCUAGCAAGUAAAACUCUCCUCUGCCCCGAGCUAGCCUUGUCAUCCUAACCGCCUUACACCAGCUGUUCUUCACCCUCAUUACUGCAAUUCCUUGCCACUCCAGUACUGGUCCAAGAUAUUCUUCUACACCAUAGCCGCCCUUCCAGUUCUGCUACAUAUUACUACCUGCACUUUGGAGCUCCCCUAGUUACGUCCCAAUUCACUCAGGGCCAACCUAACCCCCUUGACCCCUCUGCUGGACAUGAAAAUCUAUUUAACACUCUUUAUACAACUACCCGGGUUAAUUGUCCAAUCUGAGAAAGAGUAAUUAAAAGACUUGGUUCUAUGUUUUAGCCAAGACCAGGAUUUUAGCUGCGCCAUCUGAAUCAUCUCCUCUACAUCCACAACUCCUUGUUUGAACAGAAUGGAAUUUCUCUGGUCCCAAAUACCUCUUAUAAUCGCUGCCCAAAUACCUUUCCACACCAAGAUUUGUUUUCCACUGGCCUGAGUACAAAGAAAACUCUCAAAAUGGGAUUGAAUCUCAUUAUUUUGUACUAACACAAUUCCCAGCCACUUUUGGCAAAGGGACCAAACAUGCUGCGCAAACACACAUUCAAUGAAUAGAUGCUGUGAUGAUUCCUCCAUAUUCCGACACAGAACACAAACUGUGGAUUCCAUCUGCACACCUCUUCUCACCAGGGCCUCCCGUGUUGGAAUUCUGUCUAUGAGCACUCUCCACGCUGUUACUAGCACAUUAGGGAAUGCUGUGGCUUUCCAGAGGAGAUAAAAAAUCACGUGUUGUGUCCCUCUUAAAUGCUUGCCUAGGCAAAUGUAGGCUAAGCUCACCGUGUACCUCUCUAGCUCAUCCUUCCCCCACACUUGGGUGUCGUUUACAUAUCUCUUCACAUCAGAACCUGAAAUUCUUUCACUAAGAUUUCUCUCCAUCUCAGAUUCCCACUCAAAUCUCUCCCUCCUCCAUUGUAUCCUCCAAUGCCAUUCAGAUCCCUCCCACUCUCCAGCUUCCUUAAUUUUUUCCUCCUGAUUCGCCGCUAAGGAAUACAAUCUUGGAAAACCAGUUUUAAGACUUGUAUUACCAUUCCACACAUCCUCCCAAAAACUAAUCUUAUCCCCCUUUCCUAAUUUCCAUCGUAGCUCUUCUUUGAACCAACCUUCUCCUUCUCCCUCCCUACAGAUCUUCUUUAAAUCUCUCCACCACCAUGAUUGAUAUUUCACUGGAAUCCGUGUCUCCUCUAGUUGCAAACCAUAUUUUGAUAGAAAUACCUCCUUCCACUUCCCUGGCUCUUGUGAGAUGAGCCGCCAUCUCCAUUUUGCUACAAGGGCAAAAUUCAGCUUUCUAAUAUCCUUAAUUCCCAGUCCUCCAUCUUCUUUCUGCUUGCACACCUCUCCCCAACUUACCCAUGAAAUCGGCCUGUUUUCUUUUCCCCACCCCUAGAGAAAUUUUCUCCGAAUACUAAUUAUGCUUUUGUAGACCGAUUCUGGUGUUUUAAACACGGACAGAUAAAAGAGAGGUAUUGCAGUGAGCACAGACUUAAUUACACAGGUCCUUCCUGCCAAGGACAGAUACCUCCCCUUCCACACACUUAAUCUGGCCUUCAAUUUUUCCAAAACAGGUUUCCAGAACGUUUCUUUCCUUGGAUUUCCUCCUACUUCUAUUCCCAAGUACUUAAACGGGUAUCCCAUCUGACCACAAUUUAAGAGUUUUGAAUAGCAUCUAAGAUUCGAAUUGUCAACAUUUAUACCUACUAGACUUGAUUUGUGGAAGUUAAUUUUCAGCCCAGAUGCUAUCUCAAAACCCCUUAAAAUUGCUUUCAUACUCACUACAUUGCUCCAUGAGUCUUCGCAGAAAAAAAGGGUGUCAUCCGCAUACUGCAGGAAGCUCACAACUACCUCCUUACUUCCAAUCUUUAUUCCCGCCAAAAGGUUGGCUUUUAUCGCCUGCCUGACUAGUCCAGCAAGACCUUCAGCCACAACUGUGAAGAGGAACGGUGCUAAGGGAUCUCCCUGUCUCAAACCUCUUGUCGGUCUGAAUUCUUCAGUUGGACUCCCGUUGACUAGGACAGACACUGUGGCUGACUCCAUACAUCCUCUGAUCCAUUGAAUCCAGGUAUUAUGAAAACCCAUCCUAUCAAGCAUAUCAUACAUGAAAACCCAUCCUAUCAAGCAUAUCAUACAUGAAAACCCAUCCUAUCAAGCAUAUCUUACCGAAUCAUACGCUUUUUCAAAAUCAACUUUCAAGCACAACCCGCUUCUCCCCUUCCUUCUAAGAUCCUCAAUCACCUCGUUUACCAAUAUCACACUAUCCGUGAGACCCCUAUCCUUAAUAAAAGCAGACUGGCUCUCAUCUAUUAUUGCCGGUAACACUUUCUUUAACCUUCCUGCUAAUACCUUAGCAAUGACUUUAUAAAUCGCACCCACUAAGGAUAUGGGUCUGAACUGAUCGAGCUUGCAAGGAUCCUUAACUUUUGGAACAAGUGCUAUGAACGAAGCGUUGCACCCUUUGGGAAUACACCCUGUUUUAUAAAAUUCCGCUAUUGCAGCUACAAAAUCAGCCUUUAAGUACUUUCAGCUUUUCUUGAUGAACUUAAAAUUGAAUCCAUCCGGGCCUGGACUUUUUGAGCCUUCACAUUGCCACACCGCCUCCUUAAUUUCUUCCUCAGAGAAGAUCUCUAUCAUUCGCAAGUUGUCUCCAGAAGACUUUUAGCUUCUCUUCGAACAGUACUAGGCUCCUCACACCAUAGGCCUGCUACCUCUACCCCUUUCACUUCAUUCCUUAGUCUCCUCCACCUAAGAGUUGAGUGGAAAAACCUAGAGCAAGAGUCACCAAAUCUGAACCAGUUUGUCCUAGCCUUUUGACGGAUAAGAGACUCUAGCUUAUUAUCCGUCUCCCAAAGCCUUCUAAUCAGAUUUGUUCUAGCUUGCUUCUGACUUUCCCCCAUUUGGCCGUUACAAUUUUGACCAUCAAAGGUCUCAAUUUCCUGCAUUAUAGAGCUCUUGAUCAAGUUCAAAUUCCCAAAAACGUCCCUAUUCCAAACUUUCAGAUCCACCUUCAGGAGUUUAAGCUUUUCCUUAAGCCCUUUAACUGCACCUCCUUCGGUUGAAUAUGACUUCCACUUUUCCUCCACCAUUCCAGCAAAGCCUUUUUCCGAGAGCCAUGCAUCUAACGACCUAAAGGGCUUGGGACCCCAAUCCUUGUCCAGGCAUUUAAUCAUCAAAGCACAAUGGUCUGAGACCUCCCUUCUUUGAACAUACUGCUUGCAGGUAGGCCAACACUGUAGCCACUCCUCUGUUACAAGAGCUCUAUCUAUCCUGCUCUUUGCUGUUCCAUUUGCUUUGAACCAAGUAAACUUUUUCCCAACAAUGGGCAAAUCCAUCAGCAGAUUUGUCUCUAUAAACCCAUUAAACUCCUUCAUCUCUUUUAUAAAUUCUCCCCUAUCUACCCCUUGUCUUUCAGCUCGUCUUCUUAUAGCAUUGAAAUCCCCACAGAAGCACCACAUCCCAAUCUGUGAAUUUUCUUUACACUUGGACAAUUCCUCCCAGAGAAUUUUCUUCUCUUUUAGAGUGCAUGCUGCAUAGACAUUAACCACACAACACCUUCGAGAUGAUUUCCCAUGCAGACCCACAACAGCUAUGUACCCUUUCCCCAUUGAAUGACUUUCAUACUUAAACACAUCUUUAUGCCACAAAGAGAGAAGACUUCCUCUGCCACUCUCCCCUCCAUUAUGGAUCCAACCAAUGUUGUUAUCCCCCCAAAUAGAGAAACACCUAGCAUCUGUUAUUUCUGUAGUCUUUGUUUCCUGUAAGCACAUGAAUUCCACUCCCUCCGUCAAAAUACACCUUCUCAAAUAACGCACUUUUGUUCCUCCCCCCAUACCUCUAAUAUUCAGGUUAAAAAUCAGCAUCUAAAUCUCUUUGUCUACCCUACUCUGCAUUAUUCUUCACUUCCUGAUCUCUAUCUUCCAUUAUGAUAAAUUCUUGAACCACCUCAUCUUCCUCUCCUCUGUAGGCUAACCCAAACCGUUUUCCAACUGCCCAAAGGUUAUCUGACUCCUCCCUGCUUUCUGGACUAUGUACUCUAGCAUUACAUAACAAUAUGUCCCCGUCAGAAAUUGAUGCUGAGAACAUACCUUCUCUGUUCACCAAGUCAUUCUUCUUUUGGAAUAUUUUCUCGCUCAACCGAAUAGAACGCCUGGGGAAGGUAUUUGCGUCCCCCAGCUCACGAAGUGCUUUCUGUUUCCGUGGUUGGGUUUUGCUUGCAGUACCUACUUCUGCUACCUCUUCUUCAGACAGGCCAUGCGCGUUCACCCCUUCCUGAUUUUUUCUCUCAACAGUAAGUCGUCCCUCCUGAUUGGAAUUUGGUUCAAUAUGGCGGCUCUCGCUUCCACUUCCCGCUUCCAUUCGACACAGUGCUUCAGGAUUUCCCUCAUGACGUUGUUCAUCAUCUCCCUCUGACUCAUUCGCCCUUCCAGAUGUUUGUUCGGUUUCCUUCUGUGUAAGGUUCAAUCCUUCCUCACUCCCUAUUUCCGUAUGGGCCUUCCCCUCACCCUUCUGGCCCAGAUGCAUAUUGGGCUUUAUAGGCGGGUUUGUGCUUUCUAAUUCCACCACUAACUUAGCCAGCUCAGCAUGCCCAAAAAGGUGACUUUGCAAAAAACAUGCUAUCCUGUGCAGACUGAAAUACUAAAGCUGCUUCCUCCUUUCCCUUAGUUUCCUCUUCAGUGUAUACCUUGGUUACUUUAUUCUGCCCCUUAUUCCCAUUCAUAUCAGAUACUCGAGAUUGGGAGACUUUUGUCGUAUUCGCGUUUAGGUCUUCGUCCUCCUCCUCCUUCUCCUCCGGUUGCCGAACCCUCCGUCCACUUGAGCCCUCCUCCUCACCGUUGAACACCGGGGUAUCAGACUCCUCCACAUAGGUCUUUGAAGAUGAGACGCUAUCCGAAGUAUCUAGAUAGUUCCGAUGACACAUACACUGCCCUUCAAGUCUAAAGGGUUGUUCUUCUUCGACAUAAACGGACACCUCCAGGCCAUUAAUCAGCAUAGUCUUAACCAUUCUGGCGUUAUGGUUUUUGCGUAGGCGAACUUUGAGUCUUGCAUACUCCAAGUUUUCCCACAUGACCGUUGUUGCAUCUAUAGACACUAGAGAUGCUUCCUCUCCAACUAUUUUUGAGAAGCAAGCCUUGGUCCACAGCGGUAGAGGCAGACCAUAACAACGUACCCAUACUACUCUGUGCUCUGCAAUAGACUCCUCCGUCCAUGGCUCGAUUUUUUGGAACACACUCUCAAACCACCCCUUAUUGAGGUCUAUUACCUCCUUCAUGUUCACCCCUUCUCGUGGAGUCAGGAGAGCAAGAUUAUCUCCCAGGGAUCUAACACAAACUAAGCUCAUACCCCCUUUAAUAAAUUCGUCGUCAAGUUCUUCAGAGCUUAGUUCUUCCCUUAACUGCCCUACCAUACUGUACUCCAUCCAUGGUAAGACGUUCUUCUCAGUGGUAAAGGUUGACCCCUCCCAUCUUCUUUGAGCAUCGCCUUUGAUAGCAUCUGCAUAUGACUUGCUCCCUGCCUUCACUCUCCAUACCUCCGUUUUUCUCUUCUGACCGCUGAUAGCUAAUGGCUCCUCCUGCGGUUUCCUGUAACUCUUUCCCUGCUCUUUAUGGUACGCUCUGUUUUCACUCCCCUGACCUUUAGCUUCCAGUUCGCUCCUCCUAUAUUUCGGAACGUUUACAUGCAGCUUUUUGUUGCCUAUGUAGAUCUGAUCAAGAUCCUUCUCCAGCCUCCCCACAUCCCUGACUUCAAAAAAUCGAACAAACUCGAACCUUCUUCCCCAUUUGUUAAGUCUUCUUGAGAUAAACACUUCUUUAACCCUAGCCCACCUUCUAAAAAUCUUGAUCAUAUCCAGCUCCCCAUACCCGUUUGGGAAAUUUGCAAAGAAGAACGUCGUCAAACCAUUUGAGUUUCCGUAAGCGUGUCGAUUACUACCAGAUCCUCCGUGUUCUCCUUGCCUCUGCGUCAUGUUCUCUUUGAUGAGUGUGAAAUAAAAUAGUCGUUCUAAUAUUCCAAAUGAUAUUAAACCAUUAACUUAUAUUUUGGCGAGUUUUUUAACUAAAAUUUCUCCAAUAAGUAAAGCCAUGUGUACAAUGUUACCAACUUCCAUCGUACGACGAAUAUUCACUGCCUAAACUCAUAUUAGUGGAACACUAUUAGUAUCUUUAUAAUUAAGUUGUUACACAACAUCUCAUUGACUUUUUUUAAAGUAAUAAUCUUAAUAAUUUUAUACAUUACAAAAAUUUAUGUUUAGUGUUUUUUUAUUAGCAUUUUAAACCCGUUAAACAUAUUAUUCACAAUCGUAAGAACUGUCGGCAAAACAUUAGUGAUAAACAAUUUACUACCAGGUUUUUAGAAAAUCCUUAUUAAUACCAAAUAUCCCUAGUAUUAUCUGCCAACCAGUAGACAAUGCAAUUUUGUCACCAUAACAUUAUAUGUAGUUUUCUCGUUAAUGUGUGAUAUAACCGACAUUUUUUAAUCAUGUUAAUGCCAUAAAAUUGGAAUCUGUCAUUAGUGAUUCAUUUUUAUCCCCAAUUUCAAUUGUGUUCAUUGUUGCACCCCAUCCAUAACCAUUUUCAUUCAUGUUCAAGCCCCCUCAACAUAGUCAAUCUCAUUUCGCAGCACACUUAUCUCUCUUAUCAAUUUUCACAUUUUUAAUCAUACUUGUACCCAUUAGUGACUCAUCUUUUUUUUCUUGAAAACAUACUUGGUAUACUAGUUCACGAUCUAUCACUAUUGCUCUAGUAGAAAAUAUAAUUGAUAAUAAAAAGUGCAUAAGUUAGUAUAAAGUCAUGUCAGCAAAAUAUGAGAUAGACUGGUGAAUGACAAAUGCUAUUUCAAAUUUGCACAUAGUAAUGAUAAAUGCAAUUUUAUCUAGCAUUGUAGAGAAGACUAUUACUUUGAAGAAGAUUUGGGAGACAUUCAUCAAAUUGUACGAGGUUAAGUCACCUCAUAUAAGAAUGUUCAUGAAGAGAAAAAUCUAUACUUUUCAAUAGAGUGAAUUUCUAAACCUUGAAGAUCAAGUCACAUCUUUAUUUGAUGUUUCCAAAACCUACAUUGUACAUUGGAUGACAUGAAUUGUGUGUGUUUAGGAAGAUUUUGAUGUAUUUUGGUUGUUUCUUCUUAACCAUGCAUUAUGAUCCAAGUUUGCUCCAAGAUUUUUUUUAAACAAUUUGUUUUAAAAGCUUCGUAGUUUUUCAACUCGUUGUCUGAGAUAUUAAUUUGUUAAAAAUCAUCUUUUUGGACUAUAAUAUGUAUUUUUAAUUGAUUGAUUUAUCACAUCAAAAGAUUAAAAUCACUUAAGGUUUUCAACUGUUUUGCUUUUGUUCUCAUCUAGUCUAUUGUAUUUUGUGAAGAUAAACUAUGUCUUAAAAAAAUCAAUCUAUUUCAAGUUGUUGAUUUCUACUGUUAAGUGAAAUCAACUUGUUAUUUUGUGUUAUCAACUUGUUGAAUUUUAACUUUUUAUGUUUAUUAUAUCAUAAUAUUUUUCAACCGUUAAAACUUUUGAUUUUUCAUAAAAUUCUUAUAAAAUAGUUUAUUUUUGAAUUCAAAAAGUUGAAGUUUUUUAAUCAAAAAGAAUAGAGAGACUUUGUUUUGAAAUCUUGGAGAAACUCUUGUGUUUUUGGAUCAUUUUUGUGUUUGUGAAGGAGGUGCAUAUGAGAUUUUACAAUAGUAAUGUUCUUUGUUGUCUCUCAUGUGUUUUCAAUCCCUUUAAAAAAAAAUUUGUAGUGUGUUGGGCAGAUUUAGAUAGUUUUUUUUUUUGCAGUGGUUUGUAUUUUGUUUAUGUGUAAAAGUUCUUGUCGGGUUUAAAAAGUUGUUUCUUGAUAGUAGAUUUUGUAAUCUUGUGCUUUGAUCCUGCCUGUUGACCGGAGCGCGGGAGAAUGCCUCGUCAAAGGAUCGUGCGCGCCGCUUCUCACCUCCGUUCCUCCUCUGGAUCUAUCUCAAGAACCUGCAAAGAAACGAUACGGCGCCGCUGCGGCCGAUCGCACUCUGACGCUCAAGUCAGUGACGGAAUCACCAAAUACUAAGAAUGAGAACCGUGCAAAUCCUCUCUCACUCGCAAGCGUAAAGUGUAUGAACUGAACGUGCGUACCUCAAAAAGUCUGUUAAGAACUCUUAUAUACCUGGUGGUUUUCUCUCUCCUGGCAGUUACAGACUUGGACACGUGGCUCGCAUCCGUCUGUACACGUGCCAUCAUCUGGAGGCUCACUGACUUGGCGCCGCUUCUACUCUUAUUUUGGCUAAGUUACUUAUGCAUGGUACUGCCCAGUGCAUAGCUAACUUAGGAGUGCGAUCUCUACUGAAACUGGCGAGUUAGGGCCUUCAUACACCCUCCCUGUGGUCUCGCCGGCCGCCUUCAUAAUCUGUUUCUCCUUCACCUUCGGCGAUGUGCUUGUUCUGGCGAUCUCCGACUUCUUGGUCGCCUGAGUCUGCAUCUGGCGACUCCAUCUGCAACCAGGCGAUCGCCCAUUCUGAUAAACUGGAAAUCGGAACACGCCAACUUAACAAUCGGCGACCACACGUGCCUCCCGACUUCCUUCCUAUCUGCCAACCUGGCGCCUUGUCAACACGCCUACACUGUAGCAGGAUGCCACGUCAUCACACCCGUCCACCAGGGCGGUACAUGCUUUUUAGUGAAAACUGGUGUGGCUGAGGAUUGGAUGUACCUUUUGUGGUGAGAGUGAACCUGUAUAAAACAUUUGUGUGUUUCUCUAUAUCCUUUUCUUUACAUUUUUAUUUUUGUUGUAUCUGUAGUUCUCAGUUUUUCAAUUGGCUUAAAAAGUACAAAACUAAUUGAUCUUUCGUUUUUUAUUGUUAAGCACUUUUAUAAUUCAUUGAACACAAAAAUCAAUCAAUUGAUAUUAUAGAGAGAGAGAGAGAGAUACUCAACAAUUUAUACUGGUUCACCGACCAACAUGGACUAUGUUCAGUCCCUUUGAAAAACCCACUUAAUUCUAAAUAUUUACAUGAUUUAGAGGAAACUUCUACUUUCUCUUUCUUUUAUUCUAAAUAUUUACAGGAUCCUGGGUUCCAACUCUUUUCAAAGUUGCUUGCUAGUUGUGUUAUCCUUGGUAUUUUCUGAGAAGUUCUUGUUGUAUCUUGAGGGAGUUGUGCGAUACACUACGGAUAACUCCUUACAGACAGUGAUCUAUUGCUGAUAAAAAAAAAAAACAGACAGUGAUCAACCACACCUUAAGAAAUCAACAUUGUUCAUGUUUUAAAAUUUUAGUUUACAACAAUCAUAAGGACUUAUGGCUAACAAUACAGACUACAACAACAACUCUACUUCAAAGACAUCAAACGUUAUUUCCACAACGCAAACCAUUUUUGCGAAUCCAUUUUUGGACGUCUCGAAAAUUGAAGUCUUCACCGAUCAGAAUUUUCAACGUUGGGAAGAACGCGUGUUCAUUCUGUUGGACAUGUACGAAUUCACUUUUGCACUUACAACUUCUAAACCGACUCAAUCAUGCCUAUGAAACAAAUUGAUGUUUGGGCCCAUGCAAGUAACGUAUGUCGUCACACCUUACUCGGUGUGUUAUCUAACGAUUUGUUCAAUGUCUAUUGCUUUUACAAGGAAGCAAAAGAUAUUUGGGAUUCGCUUAUCCUCAAAUACACUGUUGAAUACGUCGUUAAACAAAGGUUCGUGAUUGGAAACUACUAUUGUUGGGAUUUGAUCAAAGACAAGGCCAUAAAAACUUAGAUAAAUGAAUACCACAAGCUGUUUGAAGAUAUCAAAGCAGAGAGAAUAGCCUUGCCUGAUGAAUUUGUGUUCGAACUGCUGAUCGAAAGCUUUCGCAAUCUUGGAAUGAUUAUAAAAACAAUUGUAGCACAAGCACACAAAAAUGUCACUACUACAUCAUCAUAAAAGACACCAACAGAAAGAAGUGUGUUGCUACAAGGGUCAAAGCUUUGUCUGCCAAAACAAACAUUGUAGAAGACAAACCAGCUCCAUAAAGGUACGAGAAAAAACCUUAUCACAAAAAGAAAUAUAAUAAUAAAUUUUCUCGUCCCAAUGAAACUAACUCCACCUUCAAUAAAAAGAGAAAUUGCUUUGUUUGUGGAAAGCCAAGUCAUCAUGCACCUCAAUGCAGACAUAGGGCCAAAAACGAAAAUCCUUCUAAGGCAAAUAUAUUCGAAGGGGAAGAUACCAUUGUUGCAGUCAUUUCACAAGUAAAUCUUGUGACCAAUGUGAGUAAAUGGGUGGUAGAAUCUGGAGCUACCAGAUACAUCUGUGCAAAUAUAAACGUGUUUACCUCCUACACAAGUGUGGGGAUGGAGAAAAACAAGUUUAUCUCGGUGAUUCCAGGACAACUACUGAUGGAAAAACGCUAUUCUUCUAGUAGUGAUCUUUGUAAUUUCUUCUUUGGAUGGAUGAUGAAGGAGUUUUGGGGAGAGGAAGCAUUAAAGAAACUCAAGAGGAGUUUCCAUGGAUUAAAGUGGAGUUAGGAAUUUUUGAGAGUGAGAGGUGAGGCCAAUUCACUAGGAAAAAGUCUAAGCUAAAUCUUGAAGGAGACUAGCCUAGGGAGAACUUAAGAACAAGUAGAAUGGUCAAAAUUAGGCAACAUUUCAUUACUAAUUCCAAGUUGAAAAUACAUGUACAAGAGACUCCUAUUUAUAGAGUCUAUCAAAACCUCUCAAAUGAGAGUGUGACAACACCACCUUAUUGGUGCAAAUCCUCUCCAUCGAGGAGAAGACAUGUGAAGCCUCAUGCCUUCCUUGCUUACAUUUCUAUUUGCACCUCUCUUUUACUAUUUUACACUUUACUUUUAUACAUCAUUCUCUACUUUGGCCCAAAAUACAAGACCCAAAACUUCCUAACUACUUUAUACAAUGUUUACAAGGCUAAGAAGAAGAAAAAUACUCUACAAAAUUUUCAUUAAAGCUCGAUCUCCGUCUAUCUUAUUGGCCGAAAGUUUCGAGGGUGGACGGUUGCCAUCAUCCCUUCCCUCUUGAAAAGGAUCUGUCCUCAUAUCUGAAUGAUGCUCAUUGACAACAACCUCUAUUUAUUUGAUUAAGUAUUUUCCUCCAGGGUCAAAUAUUAACCUACAAUAAACAUCUAAGAAAAAUGAGAUAAGAAAGUUAAGACAACGAUAUUCAAAUAAAAGAGUAAGAAAAUAAGGCUCUUUAUUUUUAUAAAAGUUUUGUUGAAAAGAAAUAGGGUCCUUUUCAAAAAUAUUUUUUGUUUCCUUUGUGUUUUUCAUUGCUCAAGAUAAGCAACAACAUCAGAAAGUGUUGUUUUUGUGAUUUUUUAGAAAAAUAGUAAGCAUCAUGAUUUAAAGGAAAAGGAGAGUUCAAAGUAUUCCAAUCUCUCUUUAAGGAUUAUUUUUCAACUAUGCUUGUAAGAGGUGUUGUAAGAUACUCCUCGUCCUUUCUAGAUUCCUCUUCUUCUUUUUGUCCAGGCACAAAUUUUUAUUCAAGCAUAUUCUCCCAAGGGUUUUCUAUAGAAGAAGAGUUUAUGUCAAUGUCUUGUUCAACUCCAGAAAAAGGAUUUUCCUUUAAUUCUUUUUUGUCUUUCUCUUUUUUCCUGUAUCUUCCUUUCUUUAAGAGCUUGUAAUUUUUCUCUAAAUUCUUUUUCUCUUCUAACAUUUAUUUUCUCCAUUUAUAAAAUUUCUUCCUUUUUCUUCAAACUCUUUCAUUUCUUCUCUAAGCUUAUUCUUUUUCACAUAUGAAGGCGAAACACAUUUUCUUUUCAUACACAUCUUCAAUUCAUCCCAAUUCAGUACUUUUGAUUUUCUGCCAAUUCUAACAUCUGUUUCCCUUUGUGUCCUCCAAGACCUAGCAUAUUCUUGAAAACUUAGGGUAGCCAAGGAAAAUCUACUAAAUUCAUCCAAUUGGUGUUUUUCAAAAAAAUUAUCAACCUUUGUCUCCCAUUUUAAAUAUGCUUCAACAUUUUUAUUUCCAUCAAAAUAGGGAAUGUAUACUUUAGUCUAUGUAGGAAGAGCUAAACCAGUUUGCAUACAAUGAAGUAUGGUCUUUAGUUCCAAGAACAUCUGAGAUGAACAUCAUAGGAACCAAAGGGUGUACAGAUAUAAGAUGGAUGAACAAGGGGCUAUCACCAGAAACAAGGCAAGGUUGGUUGCUAAGGACUAUAACUAAGAAGAUGGACUAUAUUUUGAUGAGACUUAUGCACUAGUGGCACGACUAUAAGCUGUCAGACUUCUCUUAGCAUUUUCAAGCAUAAAAGGAUUUAGGUUAUUCCAAAUGGAUGUAAAGAGUGCAUUCUUAAAUGGAUAUAUCAAUGAAGAAGUGUUUGUUUCUCAGCCUCCAGGAUUUGAAGACUACAAACAUCCAGAACACGUGUAUAAGCUAAAGAAGGCACUCUAUUGACUUAAGCAAGCACCCAAACAAUGGUAUGAGAGGCUAAGUGAAUUUAUGCUUUCUCAAGGUUAUAACCGUGGCACCUAUGAUAGAACCUUGUUCAUAAAGAAGAAAAGAGAAGACAUUAUACUUGUGCAAGUCUGUGUGGAUGACAUCAUCUUUGGAUCCACAAAUAAAAAGAUAUGUGAAACAUUUUUAUAUGCAAUGAAAAGUGAAUUUGAGAUGUCAAUGUUGGGAGAAAUGAAUUACUUCCUUGGAUUGCAAGUUAAACAACUCAAGGAUGGAAUCUUCAUAAAUCAAGCAAAGUACUACAAGGAAUUGCUUAGGAAGUUUGAGAUGGACAAAUGCAAAGCAAUCAGCACUCCAAUCUCAACAAGUUGUCAACUGGAUCAGGAUCAUGCAGGAAAAUCAGUGGAUCAAUCAAAAUAUAGAGGUUUAAUUGGUUCUUUACUGUUUUCUGGUUAUUGACCAACAAGUUUAUGACAUUCGUGUGUGGAAAUCCUAACUGAUUUGAUACAUUUAUUGUGCAACAUAUUUGAUUUGUUAGCAAAAACAUGUUUUCAAUAUAUUCAUGCAUCAUUCAAAACUGCACCCUUCUGUACUACAUAAAAUCAAAUUUGUACUGCAUCUGGUUUCUUGAUUUUGUUUUCAAACCUGUGAGUUAUGAAAUACAAUUUGUUGCUCUACAUAAAUCUGGUUUAAAACAAUUGUAUCUCACACUUUCCUUCUUUGCUACAAGUUAUUCAGGUUCACAUUCUUUACUUUAUUAGGUUUUAUAUUUCAUCAUAUGAACUUUGCACUAACAUUCUUUCUAGCUGGAACUAUAUCUCUUGAGGAACAAGUGUAGAUAAAACAGAUUAGCAAUGACAUCUUCUUCACACAGAAAGAAGAAGAAAUCAAGAGAGAAACAACAACAACCAAGGUAUUCUGGAAAACUGGUUUGCUGGAAUUCUGAAGCUAUGACAAAGUUCAUACAUGAGACAAGCAGAAAGAAAAUCAAUGUACCCAAGGUGUUGGAAUUUUCAUGGCUGAGUAGUGAAAAUCUGAUAGAAGCAAAAACCUUUCUCAAGCAUCAAAAGCUGAAACACUUCCUGGAAAUGACUGGAAAUGUCUAUCCAGACCUAGUGAAGGUGUUCUAUAGCAACCUUGUUCAAGAUGACAAGAAUCUUGUUUCCUAUGUGAAAGGAGUGAAGCUAAAAAUCACAAGAGAGGUCUGGAGCAGCAUUGGUGGAAUUAAGUACUCAGGGUUGAAAGUGAGCAAAGGGAAUAUUGAUGGGAUUCAAAAGUUCAACAUGAUGCAGUUUUAUAGAAGCUGUGUGAGGAAUCCCACUGAACCAGUGGUCAGAUUUCAUGAAGGUAAUUUGACUUUAAUUCCAAGACUCUUAGCUCACAUAAUUGCAUGUCAACUCACUCCUAGAGGUAGCAAUCAUGGUGUUCUUCAUGAGGAAGACUUGAUAUUGCUUUACUGCAUAAUGAAUCAACUCAAGGUAAACUGCGUGAGUACUAUGGUGGAACAUAUGCUCAAAUCAACAAGGCUCCCAUAUUAUCGCUUUCCAUAUGCAAUAUUUGUAUCCAAACUAAUUGACUAUUUUGAAGUGGAUACUACAAAUGAAAGAAAUGAUACUAUCAAAGCAUCAAGUGAGAUAGACAAAUCUACUCUCAUGAAAAUGGAUUUUCAUAAGGAGGAAGACAAUUGGGUUUUUAGAAGGAAUGUUGCUCACGGAGUUGAGCAUGAAGCCUCCAAUCAUGGAGAUGCAGAGGAAGAUAAUGUUGGAGUGCCUAUGGAAGAUGAAACUGUGCAGGCUGCAGAAGCAUCAUGCUAUAUGAUGCAUCAUUCAUCAUCACACAGGGUGGAAUCACCAACUCAACCAUCUAUGCAUCACAUGGAGGAAUCACCAGUCCGUUCAUGAAUGAAUGAAGAUGUUGCUGCCACAAACUACAAUGCACUGGUUGCAAACCAAGCACCUGAGUAUAGAGGUGAACCUUUAUCAAUGUUUGAAAGACAUGUUCUGGACAGGCUUGAUACUCUCACAGAUGAUCAAAAGACCUAUUUUGAAAUUACUCAAGCUAGGUUUCAACACCUAGAUUAUCAAAUUGAAGGAGUCCAGGAGCAGCUAGUUGAAAUUUACUACAAGCACAAGUGAUCCUUUUCAAAUCUUUCACUUUUAUGUCUUGUUGAACAAUUUGCUUUUUAAUUUUCUGCACUGGUUGUGUUUUGAUUUCUGAAUUGUAAUAGCACUUCAUGGGUUUUUAUUUUGAACUGUCAUGUAUGGCUAUGGUGUGUUUUUUUUUUUAUUCUAUGCUUCCAUUCUGUCUGAUGAAUCCAAAGGGGGAGAAGAAUAGCUCAAUACAGGUUGUUUUUAGUUGAAGAAUAGCUCAUGUAAGUUGCUGAUCUUGUUCAGGUAUUAAAUUGCAGGGAGGUAUAACACUUCUCAUAUCUGUUAUGCUAUGUUUUACCUUUAAAAGUUUUCUGUGUAUAUUCUGGAAUCUAGUGCAGUACAGGUAUUGACCAUGACCAUCCUUCAAAGCUAUGCAAAGCAAUAUGGAUUUGUCUCCAUCAAACAGGGGGAGAUUGUUGAAGAUGGAUGAAGUUUCUUCUCUGUCAAGUCUUAGUGUGUGUUUGACGAAGAAAAUAGCUAGUUUGCUUUGAAGGUUGUAAUGUGUAAUUAGGUUAUCUUGUAUAUAGGUUAGAGUGAGUUUAAGGUUGCCUUUUGCUUCAUGACCUACCCUAUAUGCCUAAUCAAGGUGGUAAGAUCAAGCACUAGAAGUCAUUCAAUGUUUUCCAAAAAUCUCUUUAAAGUUUCCUAAAAAAAUCAAGUUACUGCACAAAAAUAAAUCUGUUUAUUUGUAAAAAAAUAGAUUUAUUUUUGAAGUGUAGAAAUGUUUUUCAAAAUUCUGUUAAAGCACCAAAGUUUGUUUAAGCAAUUAUUUCAGUUAAGAUGAGCUAGCAGUCCUUCAGAAAAACAAUUUGUUUGUUUGGGAUUUAACCUGUUCUUUUUAUAACAGCUUUUCAACUGUUUUUUGAAAAGUUGUUAGAAACUGAUUUCUAUAUAAAGAAAGGAAUUUCUCACAUGAAAGUUUGUUGUGCAAUCACGGUUUAAAAAGAGAUCAAACGUUUUUUUUUUUUUGUGAGAAGAAGGAUUUGAAUGAGUUUUUGAAAGGUUUUCAAAAAGAACUUCAAGAGUGCUUGUUCUUAGUGUGCCUUGAUCUUGGUGAAGGUGCUAGUGCAAUUGUGCUGCAAUUUGGGCUAUUGGUUUUUAGUUUUUGCAUCUUCUUUCAGGCGUUAUCCUUCCUUAAUUCAUUCUUGUAUAAAGGUGUUUGUGUAAGUCACUUCUUGAUAUAUGGUUUCUUGAAGUGCAAGUAGUACUGAAAUAGAGCUUUUCAGCUUUGGUUACCUAAUUCUUGUAGGGUUCAAGAACUGCAAGGUGUUGUAUUUGUUUGGAACUGUUUUUAGUGAAUUUCACCUUGGAGUGAGGUGAAACUGGAUGUAGCUCGUUAUGAGUGAACCAAUAUAGAUUGUGCUUGCAUCAUUCUUCUCAUCCCUACACUCUUUUCUGAUUAAUUGGAUAAUUUGUCCGAAAAUAAAUUUGUUCGUUUAAAAUUGAAUCUGUUAUUUCUGGGCUUGCUCAUAUUGUUCUAGAAAAUUCUUUUAAUUACAAAUAAAGCUUUCUGAAUCUGAGUGUUGAUUGAUUUAAGGACAAACAGUUUCUUUAUAAUAUCUUUGUUAAAGAUUCACUUUCUUUAAAAGAAUUGUAUAAAAAAGAACUUGUGCUUGAUCUAUUGGUGUAAAUCUUGUUUUUAUAGCUACUGUAAAAAUAACUCAUUUGUUAUGAAGAUUUCUCUGUUUGAUCACAAUACUAAUCAGAACAAGUUCAGGUUUUGUUAAAGUGUAUUGAAAAAUAAAUUUAUUCUUUUCAAGAUCAUUUUGUUCCUUUUCUUAUGAAAUACUGUAAAUCAGUUUGUGUUUGCAAAAAUUUUAUAACUUCAAUUCACCCCUCCCCUCUUGACUACAAGAUACUAAAAGAUCCAUUUUACAUCCUUUAAGUAAGAGUCUUUUAGAUAUUAUUAGAAUCUUGCACGUAGACAAAUGUUAUGCAUAAUAGCACAUUCCAAAAAGGUUUUGAUUUUGUAAAGCCAUUUCAAAAAAUUAGGAUCUUUGUUUUGAAUAUUUCUCAUAAAAUAGCUCUGAGGCCAAUUGUUAUAAAAAGAUGGAUGACUUGUUUUAACUCAAGAGAGAGUGAAUUGAGUUUCAAAUAUUUUUAAAAAAUAAUCCCCUUUCUUUAAGUUCUUUAAUGUAAUUAUUUUCAAACUAAAAAUAUGAAUGCAAUUAUAAUGGAAGCAAAAUUAGAAGAAAUUGGAUUGUAGCACAAAUAUAAUAUGAAAAGGAAAGAAAGAUUGCAUAAAGAAUUUUAUAUUGGUUCGUAUCAACAAGAUUGUGCAUCCAGUCUAAACAAUUGAACCUAAUAUUGUUGAUUCCACUAGUUUAAAAAAGUUAUUACAAACAAAUCAAACAGUUACAAGAGGAUAUCAACAACAGUCCUUGAUCCAAGAAGAUAUUAGCUUUAUAUCAGAUUUUAUAACCCAAUAGAAUAUAUAGUUUAUUAAUUCUUGAUCACCAAGAACCAGAACAAUGGAACAAUUCAGUUAAAAAAACAAAAGAAAACAGAAAAAGUUAUUACCACGCUUUCCAUGGUAGAAGCACACAAUGAUGAACACUUGUACACCCUUGAUUUUGAAAUCUUAAGAGCUAAAAAUGUAAAAGAAAUUUUAAAAAAGGUGAGAUUAUCUCACUUUAAAUUGUAAAUGUGUUAUAUGAAAUAUUUAUCAUGUACUCUAUUUAUAGUUUCAAAAUCAUAGUUUAAAAACUAAUACUAAGGUUUUUAAUCAAUUAUAUUAGCUUUUAAUCCUCUAUUCGAUUUAAAAAAAGUUAGAACUUUUUUCUGUUUUAAUUGGUUAAAAUACUUGUUCAUUGUUAAAAUAGAUGGAGAAGGAGAGGGUAAAGCUAUGAGUUUAAUGAAAAUCAUAAAAUAAAAUAAAAAAGAGGUUAUUUUUUUAGAAUAUUGCUUAAUGAACAUGUAUAUUUGCUUGUAAGAUAAGUGUUAUUAACAACAUUGUUUUAAGUGACCCGUGUAAUUAAUCGUGUAAAAAAUAUUUAUCGAUAUUUGUGUAUUAUUCUAAAAAAAUUUAUAUUAAUGGAUAUAUGACUAAUGAAGUACAUUUAUCUAUGUCUUUGUUAAAUAACUUCAUUUUGAGGUUGUUCAUGUCUUUUAGUUAUCUAUAGUUCCUUUACUUUAGAUUUACUUGGUUAAAAAUUUGAGUUUAUUUUCAUCAAGUAUACUUUUCUUUAUUCUAUUUUAUAUAAAAAAAAAUGCAUUCACAAUGAAUAUGAUACUCUAACAAAAUGUUACGACAUGUUAAACUAAAAAAAAAAAUAUAAGAGAAUUAGGUUAAAUUUAUGAAAAAAAAUAUAAAUAACAAAAAUUUCAAAAAGUCAAAUCUAUCUAUUCAUUAAGAAAGUUGUCCCUUAGUAACAUAAUACAUAUAUAAUAUGAAAGCUUUUAGAAAAAAAAAAAAACAAUCGAAUAUAAGAGUAAAGAAUUUCACCAUAAGAAAAUCAUACUUGGUAUUAAUAGCCAAAUUAGCUUUAAAAUCUAAAAUUUCACUUAUAGACUUCCAUUUACUCUAUAUACUUCUAAUCUUUCAAGAGACCUCAAAGUUGGUAUAAAAAGCUUGAGCCACAGUAGUGAGUGAUAUUCCAACCUUAAUGAAUUACAUACUUUCAAAUGUACAAAUUCAAUAGCAAUCAUAAUCAUGUAAAACUUAGCAAAAAUUACAUUAGCAAUAGUGUUAAAAAUAGUAAAACUACCAGUAAACCCAUAAGUUAAACCUCUAAAAUUACCAACACUAAUAGAAAAACCUCGACAACCCCUAGAGAAGUAACAAACUAGCUAUAGAAAGGAUUUCAAUUUUAUUAAUUUUUUCUAUUUUAUAUAACUAGCUUCUUGGUUGUCUCAUAAAUUUGAGUUUUUAUUUUGUAAUUAGAUUUGUUCCAUCAUUCUUGAAUCACUUCCAACUGCAAAGGUCGUCUUGUGGAACUGAGUCCCUUAGCUGUAGUGGAAGUUGUUGAGUGAAAUGGAUUAGGAGGCACACCAAGCUGGUUUUCCUCUUCAGUUUGUAGCAUGUGUAUCACAGAUUUUAUGGAUGGACGGUUCACUGGCUCCCACUGAAUGCACCAAAGCCCAAUAAUUGCUAGUUUCUUUGCAAUCUUAACAUCACCUUCAUCCUCAACAUGGAUAUGUACAUCUCCAUCAACCAGGUUAUGGAUCCAAUCCGGGUAUAGAACAUGUAAAUUUUGUGGAGAAGACAUGUCCACAUUCUUUCUCCCACCAACCAUUUCUAACAACAGCAUUCCAUAACUGUAAAUAUCGGACUUGUAAGACACGUUCCCAAAGUUUCUGGAGAAGACUUCAGGUGCAAUGUAUCCCAAAGUUCCUCUAGCAGCUGUCAUGGACACCAAACUGGGAUUCUUGGAACACAAUUUGGCUAAGCCAAAAUCAGAGAUUUUUGGAGUGAAGUUGUCAUCAAGUAACACGUUGUGAGGAUUUAUGUCAAAGUGAAUAAUGGGCUGAUUGCAACCUUGAUGAAGAUACUGAAUCCCUUUAGCUAUACCAAGAGCAACGUGUUGAAGCUUCUCCCAUCCAAGGAAAUGGUCCUUGUCUUCUGGUAGAAAUAUGAAGCUUUGUAAGGAACCAUUUGGAAAGAAAUUGUAGACAAGAGCACGAUGGAGUCCAUCUGCACAGAAGCCAAGCAAACGCACCACGUUGAUGUGAUGGAUUUUGCCCAUAAUUCCCACUUCAUUGAUGAACUCAUUCCCAUCUCCCUCCGUACUGUUGAGGAUCUUCACAGCCACCGGAAUCUCACUCGAAAGUUUUCCUCUGAACACAGCCCCAUGAGCUCCUUCUCCUAGCUUUUCUUUGAAGCCAUUGGUGAUUCUUUUAAGGUCAGCGUAGGUGAAUCUUGCAGGCUUUUCUGCCCUGUAGUCCUCUAAAAACUUGUCCACUCUUGCUUGGUCUUCUUGCUUUUUCCUAAAAUAAAGGAUGCUCUUGAAGACAGCAAUGAC